rnacentral:lncRNA from 1 species
AGCCAAAUAGAAAAUUAUGAUAUAUAAAUCACAGAAAUUUUAUUUGAAGUAAGAAGAAGCUCCUGACUCGAGUUCUAGCAACCUCUCCUCGUCUACGUUUAGCAGAGGGAGAAUAUCGUACAGGACUAAAGGUAACACAACUGGAGGAGGUUAUGCAUACAAGAAAGCUAAGUGAUUAAUCAAUAGGUCUUUAAAACGGAACUGGUUUACCCUUAGGGUAAUCGACAUAAACCCUCCCCUUGUAGCGUUGAGCUGCCUCGUUGCUGUUGAUAACUUCUGUUGCAGGAACAUCGUAAUAUGUGGGAUGAGCAUAGGGAACCUGCAUAACUGGUGGCCGCCUCUUGGCCCGGACGAAGUGCUCAUCAAUGGUUGCAAAACCCUCCUGCCCAAUCUUAACAAGACGAUCUGCCUGACGUGCCAUGUUAACUACAAUUAAUCAACACACAAAGACAAGUAGCUGUUUAUAGGUUUUGUUGGUUUUCUUGCUUUGGCUAAUAUGUAGGAGGCCAAGCCACCUUUAUAUAGAAAGGAAAGGUUUGGUUGACAACAGCUGUGAAAUGAAUAAUGUUAGACAGUACUCCUUUUUGUAAUAAAAGCACCCAACAUUUGUGUACGAUAAUACUAACCAUUGCAGAGAGAAAAAUCAAUAGAUUUUCUUCAUCUUAUCACUACUAACGAUAAAACCACCAUAAAAUGAAAAAAAAAGUCAUCAAAAGUUUAUCAAUAUCAAAUUUACACACACAAAAAAAAAAAAAACUAUUAUAUUUGGAUGUUUUCAAUACUUAAUAAAUUUUAUAUAUAAGAAAAUUUUACUGGUUUUUUUUUGUCGUCCGAUGACCAUCGAGGACAAAACCAUCACCAAGAGUUUAUUAUUAUCGACUUUGGAUUAGAAUUGAAUGUUCUAAAUACUUAGUAAAUUCAAAAAUAAGGAACGCAAACAUUGCUUAUGAACAACUGUUGUCAGCCAAUCAUUAGAGCCACUUUUAUGAAUUUGUGCUGGGCAUGUGAUCAUGUGAUUAAAGAAAACAAAAGCUUCCCUUCUUUUGGACUAAUGCUGUUUCUACCGGUCAGGAAUCAAGUCGGGUCCAAAAGCAGGAGUAGCAAAAACACUAAACCUUCUCAAAAGCCAAUUAUGAAAGAAUAUUCCUUCUGUUCUCUAAUCAGAAUAAUCUCAGUUUAAUUAUGUGACGAUAUUAUAGUUUCUAAUUAAUGGCAAUAAGCACAAUCGGGAUGAGGAUUUCAACUGCACUUGACAUUAUUUUUUGCUUCUGGCCGUUCUUAAUCCCAGAGCCCUUCUUAACAGUUAUAUUAGGGGUACGCUAGUAUUAUCUGACCUUGAUCUCGGCAUUGGAUAACCUCAAGCAAUGUUUGUUCAAGAACAGCAAGCAACUGUUGUCUCGGAACCUCAUAUGUAAACAAAAGGGAAACUUAAACCAAAUGAAAAUCCUUAACAGAAUUACCGAAUCCCAGUCCAAUUACAAGUGAAAAAAAUUAAAAGGCAAUUUGUAGGAAAAACUCAAUGAUCUCUGAGCCAAGCCCCCGCACGGUAUUCCAAGCUUAUUUUACAGAAUAUUAACUCACCCUAGUUUUUUUUUUUCUUCCAAAAAACUAUAAAAGAAUAGAAUUAUGGUCUUAAUGAGCACAAAUGGCAAACAAAUGGCCUUCAGUACAUUUGAAUAACGAUUCAGUACUUAGUGGCACAAAGGUUCUCUCUAGUGCCAAGUUCAAUUAUUGUAAAAUUGAUUCCUUCCAACUUGUUUCCUAGAAUCUGAUUCCUUAUAACUAAACUUUUCCUUUCCAAUUUAUUUUCAUAAUCUUUUUUUUUUUGCUUUAACUGAUCUUGAUUCUCUCUGAAACUAGAUAUCUUUAUUUCUUACUCUAGUUAACUUCAUGACAUAAUCAAUGUGACGCAACCUGACCACCUCAUCCUAACAAAAAAUCUAUUUACAAACCAUCUAGGUGGUGGUCCAGUGGUAAGAGUUUGGGACCAAGAGGUUUGCUCCCUCUGUGGUCUUAGGUUCGAGCCCUGUGAUUGUUCAUAUGAUGGCCACUAGAGACUUACAUGGUCGUUAACUUCAGGGCCUGUGGGAUUAGUCAAGGUGCGCGCAAGCUGGCCCGGACACCCACGUUAAACUAAAAAAAUAUAUAUAUAUAUUUACAUCUCAAAUCCGAGUAACCAAGUUGCUUGCAUUAAACAUUUUGGUUUAAUAGAGAAUGGAAUUUUGGUCAAAAAGUUGCCUCAGAUUCUAUUCUUUGACAUAGACAAAUUGACCAUAUAAUAAUCAUAAAUAUAACUGUGUAUGAAAAAUAAUAAUAAUAAUAAUAAUAACGAAAACAAUAACAAUAAUAAUAAUUUGAUAAUGGAAUUUUGGUCAAAAAGUUGCCUCAGAUUCUCUCCGAAACUAGGUAUCUUUAUUUCACAUCUCAAAUCCGCGUAAACAUGUUGCUUGCAUUAAACCCCAAUAUUGAAGGAAUAAUAGAGAAUGGAAUUUUGGUCAAAAAGUUGCCUCAGAUUCUAUUCUUUGACAUAGACAAAUUGACCAUAUAAUAAUCAUAAAUAUAAUUGUGUAUGAAAAUUAAUAAUAAUAAUAAUAAUUUUAGGAAGUUUUUUUCAACCAACAAAACUUCAAAAAAAAAAGAAUCUGGUGCAACCUAAGAAAGAUAUGGGAGAAGCAGUCUAUAUACUGAAAAUAAAAAUCUACAAGGAUAGAUCUAGAAAGUUGCUUUAACUGUCUCAAUCUACAUAUAUAGAUAAGAUGUUGAAACAAUUUAGUAGCUUUAUCUUUUUGUGGGUUGUUGUUGCUAUCUUGCUUAAGGUUUUAGCUAGAACUAGGUGUUGUUGUUGAUAAUUGUAGGGUUGUUAUGUGGUGGUUUGUUUUUAGGUGUUGAAGGUUGAUUUCUAAGCAGCCUAUGGUUGGUUCUAGCCAAUGGUAAAGACCGGUCUAGUUCUCCACAAUAUCAUUCAUUCUUUUCCAUUUUUUUAGCAAAUCAAAAUAGGACUAAGAAGGGGAUGAUGUUUCAAGAUUGAGAUUUUAAGUUAACCGAGUUGAAGGUAAUAUUUUGGUUCUUGUUAAAUGGGAUUGUAGGAUUGAGAUCUCAAGUUGACCGAGCUAAAGACAAAGACUAAGGUUCUAGUUAAAGAGGGGUCUCUAAAUUGAGAUUUUAGGUUAACCGAGUUGAAGACAACAUUUUGGUUAUGGUUAAAGGGAAUCGCUUGAUUAAAGGGAGUCACUAGAUUGAGAUUUCAGGUUAACCAAACUAAAAGAAACAUUUUAGUUCUAGUUAAAUAGGAUUGUCGGAUUGGGAUCUCAGGUUGAUCAAGCUAAAGACAAAGACCAAGGUUCUAGUUAAAGGGGUUCUCUAUAUUGAGAUUUUAGGUUAACCAAGCUUAAAACAACAUUUUGGUUCUGGUUAAAAGAAAUCAUCAUAUUGGGAUUUCAGGUUGGCCGAGCUGAAGACAAAGACCAAGGUUCUAGUUAAAGGGGGUCUCUAAAUUGAUAUUUCAGGUUAAACAAGCUGAAGGUGACAUUUUGGUUCUACUUAAAGGGAAUGGCUAGAUUAGGAUCUCAAGUUGACUGAGCUAAAGACAAAGAUCAAGGUUAUGAUUAAAGGGGAUCUGUAGAUUGAGAUUUCAGGUUAACCAAGCUGAAGGUGACAUUUUAGUUUUGGUUAAAGGAAAUCACUAGAUUGGGAUCUCAGGUUGACCGAGCUAAGGAAAAAAACUAAGGUUUUGGUUAAAGGGGGUCUCUAGAUUGAGAUUUCACAUUAACUAAGCUAAAGGCGACAUUUUGGUUCUUAUUAAAGAGAAUCAUCGUAUUGGGAUUUCAGGUUGACCAACUUAACGACAAAGACCAAUGUUUUGGUUAAAGUGAAUCGCUAUAUUGGGAUUUCAGGUUACCGAGCUACUUUUCAUAUUUUAGUUCUAGUUAAAGAGGAUCGCCAAAUUGGGAUCUCAGGUUAACCGAACUUUUGGCAAUGAUUUUGGUUUUGGAUUAAGGAAAUCACUAGAUUGAGAUUUCAAGAUAACCAAGUUGUACACAGUUUGAUCGUAGUUUCCGUUGAUGGGGAUUGCUACGAAAACAAAGUUUCAGGUCAACCGAACUAAAAGCUUUGAGAAGAACAGUUCGUUAGUCAAGCACAUAACAAGUCUUUGUUCCAUAAGUAUUGUAAAGAAGGAGCAUCUAUUGCUACCUCAUAUUUUUACUCAAUUUUAAAAGAUUUAAAAAAAAAACCCAAAAAAAUAUGUUUUUAAUGUAUUUGCGUCAUUUUCAAUGUCUUUUUCAAAGAAUUCAAAAUACAAAAAUCUAUGUUCAACACAUUUAGUUGUUAAUGUGCUUAUUAAGUCAACAUUGAUAUUGCUCUUUUUCAAAAAAAUCAAAAUACAAAAAAAAAAUUAAAUUGAACAAAGGGACCAAAUGUGAAAAGAAAGAAGUUGAGGGACUAAAUUAUUUUUGGGUUAACUUGGUCACUAAGUUUGCUUGGAGACCAAGCAAUUGAAAAAAACAAACUUGUUUUGCCUAUAAAUAGGUGGUUGCACUACACAAAAAAAAAAGUGAGUUUUGGGGUAGAGAGCAUUAGCAAAAAAAAAAAGGAGUGAAUUAGUUAAAGAGGCUAACAAAAAAUCACUAGAAACAAACCUUCUAUCUCUAGAAAAAAAAAGCAAAAACAAAAACAUGACCUCCACCCAUUCCAUCUUCCAUACACUUAUCUUCUUCUUCCUCACGGUCCAAAAAAAAAGCCUAGCCCCAUUAUACUGAAACCUAGCAGCCAACAAAGAUUACCUUCUUCCUUAAGCCCGCUGCCUUUUGUUCUUUCCUUUAGACCAGCACCAACCCAAACCUAUCUCACUCCCCCAGCCUUUCUAUCAAUUAACUCUUGAUCGAUCCUUUUUAAUGGAAGGGGUGUAUGUGUAAUAAACUUACUGGCAUUGCUUGGCGAAAACAAAGACAUCGUUUACAUUGUGGAGUCUAGCUUUGGAGUUAAUUUCGACCAGACCAUAGUGGGGAUCUACUCUGAUUCCUCUGUCGGUGGUGUCAUACCAAUAAUAUUUGAAUAAAAACACUCUAUUAUGCUCGCUAUGAUAUUGCAAUUCAACGACCUCUUCUAAUUUACCAUAAUAGUCAACUUUAAACUCAUUACAAGUCGAUCCCCUAACACAAACACCACUGUUAUAUGUCUUUCUUUCAUGCCCGUAUUCUUCGGUAUGAAACACAUAUCCAAUGACAAAAUACCCAUUGUAGCACUUUACUUUUCUUUCAGGACCCAGGCUUAGUAAAGAUAUUGAAACACUAGCAGUCCUUCCCAUUUGAUAAACCUUGUACAUCAAGUACAACAAUGAACAAUAAACGAGAAUUCUGUAACGAAAUUAAGUACCAUGAUAGAUAAUGAGUUUUUGAUAGUACUUACAUGUGUUUUGAACCAUGUGGCAAAUUGUUCAUCUUAUAAUCUAAAGAUUUGGGAUUUGGUCAGGUGUGAGUUAUUAGACAAUAAAUAUUGUCGAUGUUGCCUACAAGGUUUUUAAAAUUGUAUGAGUUUGUGAUAUUACAAUAGAUAAAUAGUCCAUUUAUAACAAAGUUUAAGUAGUAUAUAUACUUACUGAAUAAAAGGUCUCAAUUCAUCACAAUUAAAUAACAUAUAAUUGUGUGCUUGUUGGAACUCUAUUUUAGACAAAUAUCUUCCCCUUACAACAUUAUUAGGUGUGGGUCAUCCAAGAUUGGAGAAUAUUAACAAGUUCCCACUUGAAGGCACUUCACCACCAUCAUUAUGUCGUGGAACGUGGUUGAUUCUCGUUCUUAAAUGAGGCUCAAAAUAGUACGAGAUAAAUGUUGAGAUCUCCUCAAUAAUAUAGGCCUCACAUAUCGAAGCCUCAACAUGCGCCUUGUUCUUAACCUUUUUCUUAAGAUUAAACAAGUACCUGCUUUGAAUUAAACAAAUAUUUUCAAUUAAGAAAAACAAUGAAAAUACAUUAAUCAUUACAUUGCAUCUGUAAUAUCUAACCUCUCGAAUAGAUACAUCCAUCUACACUGGACUUGGCCUUCAACUUUUGCCUCGUACGGUAAAUGCAUGGGUAGAUGCUCCAUCCAGUAAAAAAAUGAUGGAGGGAAUAUUCUCAAGUUUGCAUAUUAUCUCGACGAUAUUCAUUUCAAGCCUCUCAAUGUGAUGUGUGUGCAACUUGCUGGCGCAUAUAUCUCUAAAGAAAUGAUUGAUCUGCGUGAGUGAAUCCCAUAUCCCCUUUGGCAAUAAAUCACGAUAAGCUAAUGGAAUGAGUGUUUGCAUGAACACAUGGCAGUCAUAUGGCUCUUCAUUCCAUACAAUCUACAUUCCUGCAAAUUAACCAACCUUGAUAUGUUCGAGGCAUGUCCAUUGGGAAAACACAGACUCUUAAGUCAUUAGCAGACUAAUAGUUGUGUAUUCUUCUCUAAGGCGAAGCUUGAUUUCGGCUUUGCAACUCGUGACCCAUUAAAAACCAACUCCAUAUUUUUACAGUGAUAAAAAAAACGGUAUAUCCAUUCAUUCUAGCCUUGAUGUUGUCUUUUGUCUUCCCCUUCACGUCCAUGACUGUGUUGAAAAUGUUUUUAAACACAUUUUUUUCUAUGUGCUUGACGUCAAGGUUAUGGCGGAGGAGAUUGGUCUUCCAAUAAGAAAGCUCCUAGAAAAUACUUUGUUUUACCCAGUUGUGGGUCAAACCAAAACCAAGAAACUUCUGCUUACCGGAUUGGAAACCAAACACAAUGUUACUGUACUCUGACACCACGUCAUGCAAUUCUUCACUAGAAAGACGCGAGGGUGCAACAUCAUUUUCAACGCUGCCAACAAAGAAAUCCUUUUAGUUCUUUCUAUAAUUGUGAUCCGUUGGCAAGAAACACCGAUGGUAGUGAAAAAAAGACGCUUUACUUCUGCUUGUUAGCGUGAAUGCCUUAUUGUUUUCCAUGCAGUAUGGACAUGCUAGUUUUCCAUACGUGCUCCAAUCAGAAACCAUUUCAUAAGCUGAAAAAUCAUUGAUAGUACACGUCAAAACUGCCCUUAUAAGAAAAUUAUGUUUUCUCAAUACAUCAUAAGUCAAAGCCCUAGAAGACCACAACUACGUCAACUCAUCAAUCAACUGUCGAAGACAAACAUCUAUAUUCCAGCCCAGACUAUUAGAACUGGGUAUGACCAUAGAUAAAAACAUGAACUUCAGCCUCAUACACAUCCCUGGUGGUAAGUUGUAAACCAUUAGUAUAAUCGGCCAACAAGAAUAAGGAGCAGUAAAUGACCUAAAUGGGUUGAAUCCAUCUGUACAUAACCCAAGAUGCACGUCCCUUGAUUCUGCUGAAAAAUGAGAAUGCACAAUGUUAAAGUGUUUCCAUGCUUCACCGUCAGAAGGAUGCACAAUCACUUCAUCAAGUGAUUAAUGCUAUAUCAUGUGCUCAAUAGUCUUUGGUGACAUGAAUAACCUCUACAGUCUAGGUGUGAUUGGGAAGCAUCUAAGUUUUUUAUAUGUCAUAAGAGUCUUUCCCAUGCCAGUUAUGGGUUUGUAACGGGAAUGCUCUCAUGUCAUGCACUCGGUCAGCUCAGCAUUUUCAAGGUAGUACAUCAUGCAAAAGUUUGGAUACAUGUCAAUUUUCUAGUAUCCUAAACCGAGGGGUUUCAUCAUGUACUUAGUAGCAUAGAAGUUCUCUUUCAGCCUGUUCCCUUCAAGUGGAAUGCUUCUCGCCCAUUCGAUAAUUUUUUCAUAACCGGUCUCACUCAACCCAUAAUCCGACUUGAUAGUAAACACAUGUGCAACGACCGAUUAUUUACUGUGAUUUGUGCAACUAUCCCAUAAUGGUUCAUCAGAAUCUUUCAACAAAUCAAAAAACUUGGUCGCGUCUGCAUUAGGUUCUUCUUCUAUAAUUGGACAUUGACUAGCAUUACAUUGAUUCAUUCUCAUUGCAUCCAUAACCAUAUUCCUGUAAGGAUUACUAUUGUCAUUUACAACUCCAUGCACAUUACUAGCACUAGAAGUUGACCCAACCAUCUUUUCUACCAUGCUCUUGUUACGAACAAAUAAUUCUUUGUGUGCAUACCAACACAGGUAAUCCUCCAUGAACCCUUUGUGUAGAAGAUAUAUCGUUACAACAUCUGGAUGCAAAAACUUUUUAUUUUUACACCUCCUGUAUGGACACUUAAUACCGCCUCCACUAAAAUUUCUCGGAAUAUAUUUUGCGAAAUUAAUAAAACUCUGAACCCUAUUAUAAUAAUCCAUCCUCCGCAAUUCUUGGGGUGAAUCUCGAUACAUCCAUGAAUGAUCAUCCAUGACUUCUAUCAAACCUCUAUAAAAUAAUGAUGACAACAUGUAUUACANNNNNNNNNNNNNNNNNNNNNNNNNNNNNNNNNNNNNNNNNNNNNNNNNNNNNNNNNNNNNNNNNNNNNNNNNNNNNNNNNNNNNNNNNNNNNNNNNNNNNNNNNNNNNNNNNNNNNNNNNNNNNNNNNNNNNNNNNNNNNNNNNNNNNNNNNNNNNNNNNNNNNNNNNNNNNNNNNNNNNNNNNNNNNNNNNNNNNNNNNNNNNNNNNNNNNNNNNNNNNNNNNNNNNNNNNNNNNNNNNNNNNNNNNNNNNNNNNNNNNNNNNNNNNNNNNNNNNNNNNNNNNNNNNNNNNNNNNNNNNNNNNNNNNNNNNNNNNNNNNNNNNNNNNNNNNNNNNNNNNNNNNNNNNNNNNNNNNNNNNNNNNNNNNNNNNNNNNNNNNNNNNNNNNNNNNNNNNNNNNNNNNNNNNNNNNNNNNNNNNNNNNNNNNNNNNNNNNNNNNNNNNNAAUGAAGUUGCAAUUGCUAAAAAUUUAAAAAUCCCUAUAAAUAAAUCAACUAAAAAUAAGUCUCAUAUGAAAAAAAAAAUCUCACAACAAAAUUUAUACAAUUAUUAAGAACAAAAACAAUUAAAAAUAGAAUAAAAAACAAAUAUAGUGAAAACAAUCAUGAAAAAAGAAGAAAAAAGAAAAAUAUUACCUUAAUGUAGUUGCAAGUGAAGCUAAGGAGAGAAAAAAACAUUCGUAAAGCAUAUUAAUUAAAAAAAACUAAGAGGAUAAAAGAAGAAAGAAGAAGAAGAAGACAUACCCGAGCAUGGAGGAAAAGAGAAGAAGAUGAGGAGAGAAAAGAAGAAAAAGAAAUAGAUAUUGAUAUUUUUUACAUAUAGUGAACAAGAAGAAGAAGAAGUAGUAGUAGAAGAAGAAGAAGAAGAAGAAGAAGUAGAAGAAAAAUUAUAAGAAAUGAGCCUGUCUCUUGUGAAAUAAGGGGAUCCAGACUUUUUAUUAGGACGCGUUAGCGACGGAUUUACCGACGGAUAAUUGAAUAUUAAUAUUUUUUAAUUAUUCUGUCGGUAAUUUCAUCGGUAAUAUUUAAUUUAAAUUUUCAAUUUUGUAAAAUUUUUCGGAAACCGCCAACAAUUAGCGACGAUUUUUCAAUCCGUCGGUGAUUCCGUCUGUAAUAUUUAAAUGAAAAUUUUAAAUUAAUUGAAUUUUUAAAAAAAACCGCCAAAUAACACCGACGACUUUUCAAUCCGUCGGUGAUUUUGUCUGUAAAGAACAACAAUUAACAGUGCAAUUGGAAAGUUGAACAGUUCUGGAGCUCUCUGGAAAAUACCGACGGAAAUUCCCGUCGGUGAUUCCCUUUGUAAUUGACAUGAUGAACAAUGUUCACAGUUUAUCAACGGAUUUACCAACGGAAACAUUCCGUCGGUAAUUCCGUUAGUAAAAAUGACACGUCAUCAUUUUUUUUGCUUUGUUUUAAUUUUUUUUUCCCACGGUUAUUCCCUCGGUAUAUACCGAGGGAAUAUUUCCGUCGGUAAAAUCCCUCGGAAAUUUACCGAAUAUUUCCGUUUGUAUUUAUCGAUUUUCUGGUAGUGUUAAUUAACUACGUUAAGUAAAUAAAUUUGCAAAAAUAUUGGUUUAGCUCAAGAUUAUCCAACUUACUUUCAAACUUCUCUUAAAUAUUCAUUAUCAAUUAUCUACGUCCAUACAAAUUUAUAUACAUUAAUUUACGGAAAUUACAACUCGGCAAUAAAAUUGACAAAUUAAACGGACCCAUCAAACAAGUCAUUAUUUAUUUCAUCACAACACACCUAAGUUGAUAAUUCGACAUAAAUUUCAACAAUUUACAAACAAAUACAAUUUUACAAAAUCUAAAACAAACCAUACCAAGUACAAAAUUAUAAAUCCAUACUACAAGUUUGUUUGAGAAAAAUAAUAAAACAAGUAAACACUAAAAAAAACAUUCAAUAUAUUAACUAUUACCGAUGGAAUUACCGACAAAAUAUUUUUGUUUGUAAAUCCAUCAGCCAUUCUGUCGGUGAAGUAAACACGUCACUGUAUGAACAUCCCGGUUUGAAUCACUCUGUAAUUCCGUCAGUAACAUCAUUCACAAAAACUUCCACGUCAUUGCACUGCUUUGUUUUUUAAAAUUCUUUAUAUUCUAUGUGGGAUUCCCUUGAUAUAUACCGACGGAAUGUUUCUGUCGGUAUAUACCGACGGUUUUAGCAAGGGAAGUAAUUCGAUCGGUAAUUAUCACCGCAAAAUACCGACAAAAACAGUUUGUCGGCAAUUCCGUUUGUUGAAUUUCAUGUAGUGAUUCCUUAGAUUCCUCAGUACUUUCCAUGCAUGAUAGAUCAUUUUCUUUCGGGGAUACCCUAAAGAGGACUUAAAGAUUUCAGUUGUAUAUGUGUGAUAACAGAGCAGAAAAAGAAAACUCUCUCGGAUAGGACCCCAUUUGUGGCAGUUUCAUGUCAUCUAAAGUUCACCGAAAGGCGAUGCUUGCAAUCGUUAUGUUNNNNNNNNNNNNNNNNNNNNNNNNNNNNNNNNNNNNNNNNNNNNNNNNNNNNNNNNNNNNNNNNNNNNNNNNNNNNNNNNNNNNNNNNNNNNNNNNNNNNUUAAAGCACAUCUCAUGUUUUUGAUGGGUCCCAUUUAUAUGAAGGGAUUGGGAAAGAUCAAGAAAAGGUAUAACUCGGAGCAUUUCCCAUUUUUCUCUUUUUUCUGUAAAAGAUAUGUGUAAAGCAAUGCUUCAGAGGGAGGCUUACUAAUAUCAUUUUCAUGGGAGAUAAGAUAUUUUUACUAGAUACACUUGCUCAUAUGGCUCGGAUUGGGAAUCAUGUUUUUCAAAGAUAUGUGUAAAGCAAGCUUAGUUAAAGAGAUGUGAAGGAAAUUUUGGUUGUAGAACUCAGAAAUGAUCCAAUCAUGGUCAUGAUCGCUGAUAUUCUUAGAUAUCGUGUAAAUUUCUACUCUUUUUUUUUCUAAGCUAUUGUUUUACCUUGAACUCCGUUUAUUAUUUCUUUAUCCGAGACGCUUCCCAUGGCUCAUCAUUUUAUCCUUGUGCUCGGGACAAUUCUAAAAUGAGGUGAUAAUUCUAAACUCGAAAUUAUUCAAUGAAAUCACACCUUGAAGAGCUUCAAAGCAUUUGAACAGCAAAUUAAUUAUUUGUUUGCCCUAAACGGACUACUAACAGAUAUGUUCAUGUACUAGUGAAAGAUAUUUAGGCCACGAGAAAGCAUGAUCACGCAAGACCAGAAUAAUAGCCUAAAAUAAUGAUAACAGGAGAUAUUCUAACCGUUAAAUCAGGUUUAAAUUUUUAUAGAAGAUUCUACAAACCGUUUCCCAUUAAAAACCACUCAGUAGUUAUCAGAGCAUUGUAUCUCCAUAAAGUAGGCUAAUUAGUUAUUAUUUAGGAUAAUUUUGUUAUUUUUCCUUAAUUUUCGCAGAUUUAUUGUUUAUUUUAAAUUUUAUGUUAUUUUCCGUUAUGUUUUGGGAUUCUGAUUUUGUUUCGAAUCUUGGUCAAUUUUUCUAGUCUAUAAAAGAUUGUAAACCUCUUUAGAAGGUAAACUUAAUCAAAUUAAUAUUUUAGAAAUAAGUUUUAGGAUUCUUUGUGUUUUAGCAUUAUUUCAGUUUAUCUUGUCUUUCUAUGCUUGCAGCUAUAUUGCUGUGCUUCCGCUUGCAUUAAACUUUCAAAACCACUAAGUCAGUUAUCAAAGCAUUGGAUCUCCUAUAAAAGGGAUUGUAAACCUCCUUAGUAGGUAGACUUGAUCAGAUUAAUAUUUUAAAAAUAAAAAAAGAUUUAAGGAUUUUUGUUGUUUUAACCUUAUUUCAGUCCAUAUUUUGUCUUUCCAUGCUUGCAGCUAUAUUGUUGUGCUUCCGACUGCAUUAAUCUUUCAAUAUUUGAUGCUAAGUAAUAGGUGAAUAAGGUGAUAAUCAGGGGAGUAGAGAGAUAUUUAUGACCCGCCAAAUAGAAAAUUAUGAUAUAUAAAUCACAGAAAUUUUAUUUGAUGAAGUAAGAAGAAGCUCCUGACUCGAGUUCUAGCAACCUCUCCUCGUCUACGUUUAGCAGAGGGAGAAUAUCGUACAGCACUAAAGGUAACACAACUGGAGGAGGUUAUGCAUACAAGAAAGCUAAGUGAUUAAUCGCUAGGUCUUUAAAACGGAACUGGUUUCCCCUUAGGAUAAUCGACAUAAACCCUCCCCUUGUAGCGUCGAGCUGCCUCGUUGCUGUCGAUAACUUCUGUUGCAGGAACAUAGUAAUAUGUGGGAUGAGCAUAGGGAACCUUCAUAACUGGUGGCCGCCGGCUCCUGGCCCGGGCGAAGUGCUCAUCAAUGGCUGCAAAACCCUCCUGCCCAAUCUUAACAAGACGAUCUGCCAUGUUAACUACAAUUAAUCAACACACAAAGACAAGUAGCUGUUUAUAGGUUUUGUUGGUUUUCUUGUUUUGGCUAAUAUGUAGGAGGCCAAGCCAACCUUUAUAUAGAAAGGAAAGGUUUGGUUGACAACAGCUGUGAAAUGAAUAUGUUAGACAGUACUCCAUUUUGUAAAUAAAAGCACCCAACAUUUGCAGAGAGAAAAAUCAAUAGCUUUUCUUCAUCUUAUCACUACUGACGAUAAAAGCAUCACAAAAUGAAAAAAAGAUUAUCAUCAAUAGUUUAUUAAUAUCAUAUUUAAACACAAAAAAAGUAAAAACUGUUAGAUUUGGAUGUGUUCAAUAGUUAAACAUUAUUUUUUAUUUACUAAACAUUAUUUUUUAUUUAAUAUAAAAUAAAAGAAGUAAUAUAUAUGUAUUUGAAUUGAUAUCUCUAAUAAUUGCUCUCAAGUUAGUUCGAAAGUAUCUGUUAACACUAUGGACAGUUAUUGUUAGUACUUGGUGGCACAAAUGUUCCCUUUCGAGUGCAAAGUUCCUAAAAUAUAUAUAAAACAAAAAUCGCAUUCAAUUAUUAAACAAAUGAUUCAUUCCGACAAGUUUCGUAGAAUCGAUGACUCUUUGGUUUAAUGGUGAAUCUGAUUCUUUUUUUGGUAAUCUUUUUUUCUAUUCUUUUUUUUUUCCUUCUUUAACUGAUCUUUAUUCUUUCCAAAACCUAUAUCUUUAUUUCUUAUUCUAGUUAACACGAGAUGACUUGCCCGCGCGCUGCCGCGGGCUUAUAAAACAAAUGCACUUGAUAGUGUUAUAAUUGUGAACCAGCGCUAGAUAAGUAAUAGAAAUUAAAGGUAUGAUGAAGCAAAUAUUUCUAACACGAGAUGACUUGCCCGCGCGCUGCCGCGGGCUUAUAAAACAAAUGCACUUGAUAGUGUUAUAAUUGUGAACCAGCGCUAGAUAAGUAAUAGAAAUUAAAGGUAUGAUGAAGCAAAUAUUUCUAACACGAGAUGACUUGCCCGCGCGCUGCCGCGGGCUUAUAAAACAAAUGCACUUGAUAGUGUUAUAAUUGUGAACCAGCGCUAGAUAAGUAAUAGAAAUUAAAGGUUGUGUUGGUGAUCAAAAACUUAGAGACUGAACAAAAUGAUUUGUAGCAAUCUACAGUGUUUUGUGAGGAAAGAUACAGUGUUUUCGCCACAUGAUUUAACUUUUCAGUUAAUAAAAAGCAAAAAAAAAAACUUAAUAUUAAAAAAAAACCAACAAAGAUAAUUUUGGAAGGAAAAAAACCUAUGAGAAAAAAUGUUGCAGCAAUUGACAAUGUUUUAUGAGGAAAACUAUAGCGCUUUUCCCAAUAAAAUAAACAAAAAAACUAUUUAGAGAAAUAUUGUAGCAAUCCACAGUGUUUUGUGAGAAAAACUACAACGCUUUCCUCAUAUGAUUUAGCUUUAUUGUAAUUAUAAUUCUUAACCAACUCAAUAUUAAAAAAAAAUCGACAAAGAUAAUUUUGGAAAAAAUCAUAAAAAAAUCACAUGGGAAAACACUGCAACAAUUCACAAUAUUUUAAAGAAAAAAAAUAACAAAGCUAAAUUCUUAAUCGGCUCAAUAUUAAAAAAAAAUCAACAGAGAUAAUUUUAGAAAAAAAAAUAACAAAACAAACACCAAAAAAAAGGGAAAAAAUCAUGUUGGAAACACUGUAGCAAUUCACAGUGUUUUGUGAUGAAAGCUACAGUGCUUCCCCACAUGAUUUAGCCUUAUUUGUAAUGACUUGUAAUUGUAAUUCACAAACAACUCAAUAUUAAAAAAAAUUUGAAAAAGAUAAUUUGAAAAAAAUUAUAACAAAAAAAAAUUAUGUGGAGAGACACUGUAGCAAUCCAUAAUGUUUUAUGAGCAAAGCUACAAUAAUUUCCCCACAUGAUUAAGCUUUAUUACAAAGUUAAAUUUUAACCAACUCAAUAUUUAAAAAAAUAAAAUCGACGAAAAUGAUUUUGGAAAAAAAUAUUACAAAAAAAGAAAACACAAAAGAAACUGGAAAAAAACCAUGCAAGGAAAAACUGUAUCAAUCCAUAGUGUUUUUUGAGGAAAAACUUGUAUUUACUUGUAAUUACAAUUCUUAACCAGCUUAAUAUUUAAAAAAUAAAAUUGACAAAGAUAAUUUUAGAGAAAAACAUAACGAAAACAGGAAAAAAAUCAUGUGGGGAAAAACACUAUAGAAACCAACAGUAAUUUUCAAGGAAAGUUAAAGUGUUUUCCUCACAUAUUGUAACUGUAAUUUUUAACCAGCUCAAUAUUAAAAAAUAAAAUAAAAAAAGAUAAUUUUGGAGAAAAAAAAAAACAAUGCGGAGAAACAUUGUAGCAAUAAACAAUGUUUUAAAGAAAAAAAUUACAAAACUAAAUUCUCAAUCAGCUCCAUAUUAAAAAAAAUCAAAAAAUAUAAUUUUGAAAAAUAAAGAAAUAAAAUAGAAAAACUAUGUGGAAAAAUAUCGCAGCAAUCCACAGUAUUUUCAAGAAAAAAAUUACAAAGCAAAAAUUUUAACCAGGUCAAUAUUUAAAAAGUAAAAUCAACAAAAAUAAUUUUGGAAAAAACAAAAGAAAAAUUAGGAAAUUUCAAAAAAAAAUUUGAAAAAAAAAGAACAAAAAAAAAAAAAAGGAAAAGUUAGCACAAAAAAAAAGGAGAAAAAUCACUGUGAAUUACUGUUGUAAUCCAUAUAUAGUGAAAUGUGUGGGGGGGAAUAGUAAUUCCCCCACACCAUUUAGAGUAUGUUUUAAUGAGAUAAUUAGUACAAACAAGUUAUGGCUAUGGUUAUCCUUAGAAGGGGCAAUCCAUUGAGAUCUUAUGGACAUAUGGUUAUCCUUAGAAGCAUUCUGGACAUUGUACCUCUCACUCCCAAUAUUAUAGUACAAACAGUUAGUUAUGGCUUUCCGUUUUGUUAAUAACAAUAGGAAAAUAGAUUCUUUAUUUACUUAAGGAUGUUGUAAUAAAAUACAAUGUCUUUAAUUGUUUUUAAAGAUAUUUUCUCAACACGAGGUUAUAUUCCAGAAUUCAACAAGUUUUUUUUCUAAAACAAGGGUUCCAGAAACAGCUAGACCAAGAUCGAAAGGAAAUACCAGCAAGCUUUACAAACACAGAAAAAUACUAUGGUUUUUUCAGCACAUAUUGAUUGUAAGAGUGCAUGGUAUAUAUAGGUUGUUAACAUGAAACAACUAGGCAAAAAAUAAAUUAAAAAAUUAAAGAAAUAAGUUGUGUAAAAGUGCAUGGUAUAUAUAGGUUGUGUAAUAUAAAGGAGACUCUAUGUUUACAAGAAAUAAGUUGUAUUUUUUUAAAUAUAUGAUAAAAAACUUAUAAAAUAAUCUUCAUUAUUUACAACACUAGAUUCUAAAGUAAGUGGCAAUCCAUUGAGAUCUUAUGGAUGUGAACAUAUGGUUAUCCUUAAAAGCAUUCUGGACAUUGUAUCUCUCAAUCCCAAUAUUAUAGUACAAACAGUAAGUUAUGGCUUUCCGUUUUGUUAAUAACAAUAGGAACAUAGAUUCUGAGACCCCUUCAUGUGUUCAUAUGCUCACAUUUUUUAACAUUUUUUUGAUACUGGGACAAGAUAUAUCGUUUUAUUUGUGUCUAAUUCCUCAGGACUUACCUUGAGAGACCAUUUUCUUGGAUGGGUACUCUGAACAGAUUUCAGUUCUAUGUCAGAAAAAGAACACUCUCUCGGAUAGGACCCAUUUUGUGGCAGUUUCAUGCCAUCCAAAGUUCACUAAAAGCCGAUGCUUACAAGUAUUCUCAAAUAGUAUUAAGUAUUAAAUUCUUAUGUAAGGUAGAAUGAAAUUUGAAAAGAUUUUCAAAUAAUUAGAUAUGCUAGAUUAAUCAGUGAAGGCACUUUAUUCUAGCUUAAGGAUGUGCUAGAUUCUGUAGUAAGGAUCAAUCCAUUGAGAUCUUAUGGAUAUGGACAUAUGGUUAUCCUUAGAAGCAUUCAGGACAUUGUACCACUAAAUCCCAAUAUUAUAGUAUAAACAGUAAGUUAUGGCUUUCCGUUUUGCUAAUACUAAUAGGAAAAUAGAUUCUGAUACCACUUCAUGGGUUCAUAUACUCACAUUUUUUUGAUACUGGGACAAGAUUUAAGAGAUCAUGGUAUGUUGCAUUUGAUAUUUAAAUAUAAAUCUAUUAAUUUUUUAGAUUGAUAAUAAGUUAAAUUACUUAAUUUAUUUAAUCUUGUUUUGAAUAGGAUUAUGAUUUAUAUUUGUGCUAAUAUAUUCGAAACCUAAUAAUUCACAUGGAUGAUUAAUCAAGCAUGAAUUGUGUCGCCCAUGUGCGCGUGAUGUUGCAGCAUCAGGAUUAAGGAGUCGCCACCUAGUUAUGUGGUUCAGAGUCAUUAGAAGACCCAAGUAGACUGAUCUUAUCUGAAAUUUCAGGGUAAAGGACUAGUAUUGGCUAGAAAAAGGUGUUAGCAUCCUUACUUGAGGUAAGUUAUAUUGUGUUGUCAUGAGGCGGUUUAAACGUGUUGAUGGGUUCCUAACCGGUAGCUCAUUUAUGGCUCAGAAAAAAAAUUACGCCCACAAAUAAAUCUGACAUUUCAAAUUUUUUAUGGGCUCGUAUGCUUAGGUAAAUUCUUAUAAAAAAAUUCAUGUAGGUGCUCUGACAGGAGUCACCUAUCCUGAAAGGCGAAAAUGUUUUCCACAACUCAUAUAUUGUGAUGAAAAAAUACUCACAAUUAAAAUUGAUGAAUAUCCAAAAUAAUUCUGAAAAUUUUCUAGUUAACUUCUGGUACUUAAAUACUAGCCUAUUGGUAGGUCUAACAUUUAUACCAGAAUGUUGACCUUUAAUUUUUAGAAAUUAAAAUUUUUAGGGUUAUUGAAAUAUUGGCCAAAUCCUUAAGGAAUUUUGAAAACUUAUUGUAAAUUACAAAAAUUAAAAAAAAAACAAUGCUAAAAACAUUUUCCCCUCCUUUUUAUAAAUAAAUUGCAAUGUUAUGUAAGGAUUGAGACGUAUGCAACAAACCAAAAUUAUUUUCUGUUUUUUUUUUAUUAUUAACAGAACUCUAAAACACGUGGGUUUUCUACUAUACAUUAAUACAUUGUGGACUGAGAGAUAAUUCAUUGUGGACUUACUGUACAUUCAUGCACUGUGGACCAAGAGACAAUUAACUGUGGACUUGCACAAUUGUUUCGCUAUGUAUUAAAACUUACAUAGUUGCUUUGCUAUGUCUUAACACGAAUGAGGAUUUUCUACUGUACAUGGAUUGUGGCUCAAGAUACAAUGAAAUGUGGACGACACUGUAGCACAUUGGGGGGUGUUCCUUACCUGUGUUUUUAGUCAAGAAUUGCAGCUGGGGUGGCUCAUUUGACUUUUGUCAUUAAGAUGGGAGUGAUGCAGCGGCAGAGGUGACAUUUAAUUAGAUCAGACUGUCGACACCUUGCACUUGGGUAGCCAAGCCAGGGUGUUAGGGCCAGCCACGCGCCCCUAGCCGCGACCCCAAGGCAGCAAACACUUGGCGCUAUGGCUGGCCGAGGCCUCAGCAUGCAAACACCUGGCGCAGGGUGUGACCAGCCUUGAGCGCUAUGGGCAGACCCGCGUGCUUGGAUGCAGCCCCAGGGCGCUUGGCGCUUGAUUAUUUGUUAUGAUAAUAUUUAUAACACAAAUUAUAAUAUUUUUAUAUUAAUACUUAGAAUAAUAAUUAAAAUAAUAUAUUUAUAACACAAAUAAUAAUUUUUUUGAAAUGAAUACUUUGAAUUAUAAGAAAAAUAAUUAUAUUUAUAAUACAAAUAAUUAUAUUUUUUAUAUCAAUACUUUGAAUUAUAUUUUUAAAUCUUUAAAAAAUGAUGGUUUUUCUUCAAUAGCAAUAAUAGUAUUUUUAAAAUUUAUUAAUGAUAAUAAUAAUAAUAAUAAAUUUCCCAAAUUUAUUAAUUAUUAUAUGAAUAAUAUUAAUUAUAAUAAAAAUAAUAAUAUGUAUAAUACAAAUAAUAAUAUUUUAAAUUAUAAUAAAAAUAAUAAUAUUUUUAAUAUUAAUACUUUUGUAUUAUAAUUAAUGUAAUUAAAAUUAAAAUAUUCUUAGUUGUAUUAUAAAUAAUAAUAAUAAUAAUAAUAAUAAUAAUAUUAACAUUAAAAUUAUUAUUAUUUGUAUUAUAAGUAUUUUUAUUUUUAUUAUAAUUAAUAUUAUUCAUAUAAUAAUGAAUAAAUGAAAAAUAUUAUUAUUUGUAUUAUAAUUAAUGUUAUUGAAAUUCAAGAUAUUCUUAUUUGUAUUAUAAAUAUUGUUAUGUUUAUUGUAAUUAAUGUUAUUGACAUUAAACAUAUUAUUAUUUGUAUUAUAAAUAUUAUUUUUUUUAUUAUAAUUCUCUUGGGUCCUGCUACCGCACCCAAGAACCCAAGAGAAUUGGGUCAUGCAUCAGGACCCAAUUCUUUUAGGUCCCGCGGCAGGACUUAAGGGUAAUGGGUCCUGCGUCACGACCCAAGAGAAUUGGGUUUUAGCUUUCUAAAUAUAAUUAUUUUUAUUAUAAAUAUUAUUAUUUUAUAAUUAGAAUUAUAAUAAAAACGCAGCCAUGGAGCCAGACCAAAAAAAAUACAACAUCAAAAAUAUUAAUUUGAAGUAAAGAAAACAAUUAAAAAUUUUCAAAAUGUUUUCAAAGCAUUUUUGAAACGCAAAAACAAAUAUGCUUUAAUAAGAAAAUUCAAGAAGAGAAAUAUCAAAAAUAUAUAUAAAAAAAGUAUUCAUAUAAAAAAUAAGAGAAAAUAAAAAAAAAUUAUUAUUUUCUUUUUACACGAAUGAAUAUUUUGAUUUGAGUAUAUAAAAAAUUGAUUUUCAAACAUAAAAAAUAUAUUAUUAUUUUUAAAUAAUUUGAUAAAAUAUGUGUUAAAUAUUAUUAUUAAUAUUGUAUCAACUUUGGUCAAGCAAGUUUCAUAUUAUUAUUAAUGUGAUAAAUAUUAUUAUUUGUAUUCUAACUAUUAUUAUUAUUAUUAUUUUAAUUAAAUGUAUUAAUAUUAAGAAUAGACAAAAAUUGAAAAAAAACAAAUAUAAUAACAAUUAUUAUUAUUAUUAUUAUUCUUUAAAAAACAUUUUUUGAAAAAAAUCUUAUUGCACGCCCAAAGCGCCUGGGUGGACGCACACCCCCUAGGGCUGCGAAUACCUAGCGCUUGGGCUGACAGGCCUGGGCGAUGGGUUGGCCAUGUGCAACUGCGCACGCCCCAGGCUGCUGCCACCUGGAGCUAGGGCUGGCCGAGGACCUAGCAUGUAGACACCUGGCGUUGGGUGUGCCACGCCUGGGGUGCUAAGGGCAGACCCGCGCGCCUGGCUGCAGCCCCAGGGCGAGCGGGUCUGCAGCCCCGCAACCCUGGGGUCUGCAGACACGCGAGGUAGGGUCUGCACCCCGCGCUCCUAGCCUCCUGACCCGCGCACUGGGUGCAGACCCAACCGCCGAUGUCUGUUCUAACCGCCCUUGGGUUUAGAGGCUCGCACGGCUGGAUCAGCAGACCCUGCAGGGGAAAAAAAAUACAAUAACAAUUAUCAUUAUUAUUAUUGUCUCAUUGUUAAUUAUCAUAAAAAAAUUUAAUAAUGUAGAUAUUAUUAUUUGUAUUCUAAAUAUUAUUAUCUUUAUUAUAAUUAAAAGUAUUAAUGUUAAGGAUAGAAGAAAAUUGAAAAAAAAAUAUAACAACAAUUAUCGUUAUUAUUAUUGUUAAUAAUUUUUUUUUAAAAAAAUAUAUUAUUUUAUCAACUUUGGUCAAACAAGUUUCAUAUUAUUAUUAAUGUGAUAAAUAUUAUUAUUUGUAGUCUAAAUAUUAUUAUUUUUAUUCUAAAUAUUUUUUAUUUUAAUUUCAUUGAAUGUUAAAAAAAAUAUUAUUAUUUGUAUUAAUAUUAAAAAUAGAAGGAAAUUGCAACAAAAAAAAUUACAAUAACAAAUCUCAUUAUUAUUAUUAUUAUUGUUGUUGGUAAAAAAUAAUUUAUGAAAAACAUAUUAGUGUAGGCCCCAAGUGCCUGGCUGGACGCACAACCCUUAAGGAUGGGGAAGCUUGGUGCUUAGGCUAUCAGGCCUGGAAGGGGGGCAGGCCACGUGCGCCUGCUCGUGCUCUAAGUUGCUGCCACCUAACACUAGGGCUGGCCAAGGCCCUAGCAUUCAGACACCUGGCACGGGGCCUGCCAUGCCUUAGGUGUUAGGGUAGACCCGCACGCCUGACUGCAUCCCCAGUGCGAGCAAGUGUCCAGCCUUGCGACCCUGGGGUCUGCAGACCCACAAGGCAGGGUCUGCAACCCCACGCUCCUGGCCUAUGGACCCGUGCGCUGAGUGUAGACCCAUCCACCUAGGUUUGUUCUAACCGCCAUUGGGAUUAAAGGCCCCACAAAACCAGCCAUACAAAAUCUCAAUAUUUUUUUAAAAAAUAUAUAUUAAAAAAAUAUAAAAAAAAUUAAAAUUUGCAAAUUUCUUGGGUCAUCGCAGACAAACACAAUGCCAACAUUUAAAAAAAAUACAAAAACAUAAAAAAAAAAUUAAUUUGAAGUAAAGAAAAAAACUUCAAAAUUGUAAACAAAAUUUCAAAGAAUUUUUAAAACGCAAAAUUAAACAUGAUCUAAAUAAUUUGAAUUGAAGAGAAAAAUAUCAAACAAAAAUUAAUUUGAAGUAAAGAAAAAAAUGAAUUUUUUUUUAAUUUCUUGAGACUCGUCUCUCAACCAGACACAAUCUUAUUAUAUGUUUUUUAAAAAAAUAUUUAAAAAAUAAUACAAAAACAUGGAGAAAAUAAUAUUUUGAAGAAAAGAAAAAAAUUAAAAAUUUUAAAAUUUCUUGGGUCUGGCGUCACCGCCACACAUAAUCUCAACAUAUAUUUUUUAAAAAAAGUAAUACAAAAACAUAACAGAAAUAUUAAUUUCAAGCAAAGAAAAAAAACUUAAAAAUUAUCAAAAAUGUUUCAAGGAAUUUUCGAAAUGCAAAAUCAAACAUGAUUUAAUUAGGAAAUUCAACCUAACCUGAAAUGGAAGAAAAUUAUUAUCACUCAACUUUCAUACAAUAUAAAAAAAAUCUCAUCAAUUUUUUUUGAAAAAUAAAUUUAAAUCAGAGAAGACAACAAUAAAGAAAUUUAAUUGGGUAUUGUUGUUGGGUCUGAAAGUCAGUCAUCCUUAUUGAUCAAUGGUCUUGCAUUAAUAUUCAAUGGUGGUGUUAUAUUGUAGUGAAAAAGAUAUAUAUAUAUUUACGAUGUGCAGAGACAUAGAGAGGUAUGGGGAUUGAAUUCUCACAUACGUGAUAACAUGGAUUUCCAAUCCAUCUACCAAAGAAAAUCAAUUUUUUUUUUUUUCAAUCUUCCUAUGUCGAUGUCCCUAGGAUGGAUUACUUAUACUAUAGCUAUUUUGGUCAUGCAUGGUGCAGGACUCAACACCCUCCAAAGGUGUUGGGUUUGGCUGCGCAACCAUACCCAAGGAUAUUGAGUAUGGUUGCAAAGCCAGACCCAACAGCCAUACACCCUGGGGGUCAUACCCUGCUAUGUUUUUGGUCAAAAUUUACCGCUAGGGGCUUUGCCUUGUCUUCCCAUAGCUGCUAGGAGACCCAACAGAGUGGUUGACUGUGGGCUAUUGGGUACUGCUGACACCUGGACCCAAUGACGUUGGGUCCUCCUCAACCCUUUAGAGUUAGGACCCAAGAGCUGGGGGUGUUGCCUUCUCUACCAAAAGACCCAACAACGUUAAUAUUUUGAAUUUGUAAUUUUUGAAAUAACUUUUCACAAGCCAGACCAGAGAAAUUUGAAAAUUUUUAAUUUACUUUAAAUUAAUUGUUUUUUGAUAUUUUUAAAAUAUUUUUUUUCAAAAUAUAUAUUGAGAUUGUGUCUUGAAAAUUUUUAAUUUUUUUCUUUACUUAAAUUUUUUUUCCAUGUUUUUCUAUUAUUUUUUAAAUAAUUGUUUUUAAAUUUGUUUUUAGACUGUGAAGCAAAAGCCAAGAAAUUUGAAAAUUUUUAUUUUUUUUUAAUUCAAAUUGAUUUUUUAUAUAUAUUUUUAUAUUGUUUUUUAAAUAUUAAGUUUUUAAAAAAUUAUACUGAGAUUGUGUCUUGAAAUGUUUUUAUUUUUUUCCUUUACUUUAAAUUACUUUUUUCUAUGUUUUUCUAUUAUUUUUUAAAUAUUUUCUUUUAAAAAAUAUGUUGAGAUUGUGUCUUCAAAAUUUAAAGUCAAGAAAAAAAUUAAAACUUUUUAAGAUACAAUCUAAAUAUAUAUUUUGAAAACAAUCUUUUAAAAAUAAUACAAAAAUGUCAAAAAAUAUUAAUGUAAAGUAAAUCAAAAUAUAAAAAAUUUUCAGAUGUCCAUGGUGCUGAUGGAAAAUUAAUCUUUUUCCAGAAGUGUAAGGCUAAAUAGAUAUUAUGAGACCAAUAUAUUUUUCUUAUUGUCAGAUUUUCUUUUUUCUUCUAUAGUUUCUAGUGCUUGGUAUGUAAAUAUUAUCAUAAUAGGUUUGCGUGAAUUCAUAAAAUAGAUGGGAAACCUAACCACGCACGCAAACUAGAGGCAUGCAAACCAUGAAAUAUCUUGAGUAUUUGUGUAUUACAUGGCUUACAAACAUGUAUUAAUUUCCUCUUUGGAUUUGUAUCUUCUUCUUCGUUAUUUUAAUUAUAAUUAAAUCAAUUAUUAUUAUUAUUAACAUGGAUCUAGCAUCCCCUUCCAGACCCAAAAAACUAAGACUUGACAAGAGCACAUGACCCAUAGUUUUAAAAAUACUUCCAAAAAAAGUUAAAAUUUUUUAAUUAUGUUCUCUAAUAUAUAUUGUCAUAUUAAAGUUGAUGGAGCUCUCAAGAAAUUUUUUAUUUACAUCAUACACUUUAUAAAUUUUUAGUAUUAUAUAAGAGAUUUUAUUUUGGGUAAUAAAAGAUAUUUCACUACCAGAAAUUCGCUAAAUACCAACGGAUUUACCGACGGAAUAUUUCUGUCGGUAAUUUGAGGUCGAAAUUACCGACGGACACUUUUCCGUCCGUAAUUCAGUCAGUAACUACCGACGGAAUAUUUUACGUCCGUAAUUCAGUCGGCAACUACCGACUGAAUUACGGAUGGAAAAGUUUCUGAAUUAAAAAAAAGGCGGGUCGCUGACGUGGAGGUUUUGGCGGUUAUUUGUUUUCCGACGGAUUCAAAACGACAGUCCGUAUAGUGACAUGAUCGGUUCGCCGUUUAAAUUGCCGACGGACUCACCGAGGGAUUUGAAAUGGCAGAUCCGUACGGUGACGUGUCUAUGUUUUCGUCAGAAUCACCGACGGUUUCACCGACGGAAUUUCCAUCGGUGAAACCAUCGGAAAAAGUUAAUAUAUGACAGCUCUGGCGACCCACUCCUCCCCUAUUUCUCCUUCUUCUUCCUAAUCCCAACUCUCCCCAUCUCCUUCUUGAAGUUUUGUGGUCACAGCAUCCGUGUUCUGAUUUACCGACGGAUUUUAUCAAUUUUUGUAAGUAAUUCUAUCUUUUUAAAUUUUAACAUUUAAUUAAAUGUCAAUUUUAUUGUUUUUUUAGUAUAUGUAUUUUGGUAGCAGAUGUACAUGUUUUAUUGUUAUUUCUCAAACAAACUUGUAGUAUAUGAAUGUAUAAUUCUAUACCUGUUAUGGUUUGUUUUAGAUUUUGUAAGAUUGUAUUUGUUUGUAAAUUGUUAAAACUUUAUGGAACUACCGAAGUACAUGUGCUAUUUUGAAAUAAUUAAUAGCUUGCUUAAUGGGUCCGUUUAAAGUUUUAUCAAUGGUAUUGCAGAGUGGUAAUUUCUGUAAAUUUAUAUAUUUUAAUUCGUAUGGACGUUGAUAAAUAAUAAUGAAUAUUUAAUAUUUAUGAAAAGUUGUGAUUGGUUUGUUGGAUAAUCUCGAGGUAAAGUAAUAUUUUUGCAAGUUUAUUUACCUAACUUAGUUAAUUAAUACAUGAUGUCAUCAUAAUUUUAUAGAGGUUCGAUAUAAGUCAUGGAUGAUCGUUCAUGGAUGUAUCGAGAUUCACCCCAAGGAUUGUGGAGGAUGGAUUAUUGUAACGGGGUUCAGGGUUUUAUUAAUUUCGCAACAUCUAUUCCCAGAAAUUUUACUAGAGGCGGUAUUAGGUGUCCAUGCAGGAAGUGUGAAAAUAAAAAGUAUCUGCAUCGAGAUGUUGUAAUGAUGCAUCUUCUACACAAAGGGUUUAUGGAGAAUUACCAGUGUUGGUAUGCACAUGGAGAAGUAUUUGUUAGCGAGAGUGAGAGGAGAAUGGAAGAAACGAUGGUUGGGUCUACUUCUAGUGCUAGCAACGUGCAUGAAGCGGCAAAUGACAACACUAAUCCUUACAGAAAUAUGGUUAUGGAUGCAAUGAGAAUGAAUCAAGGUAAUGGCAGUCAAUGUCCAAUCGUAAAAGAAGAACCUAAUACAGAUGCAGCUAGGUUUUUUGAUUUGUUGAAAGAUUCUGACGAACCAUUAUGGGAUGGCUGCACGAACCAUAGUAAAUUAUCGGCCGUAGCACAGGUGUUCACCAUCAAGUCAGAUCACGGGUUGAGUGAGGCCAGGUAUGACAAGAUUAUUGAAUGGGCAAGAAGCAUUUUACCUGAAGGGAACAGGCUGAAAGAGAACUUCUAUGCUGCGAAGUCCAUGAUGAAACCCCUCGGUUUAGGAUACCAAAAAAUUGACAUGUGCCCUAACUUCUGCAUGUUAUACUACCUUGAAAAUGCUGAGAUGACCGAGUGCAUGACAUGCGGGCAUUCCCGUUACAAACCUAGAACUGGCAGGGGAAAGACUCUAGUGGCAUAUAAAAAACUUAGAUACUUCCCGAUCACACCUAGACUGCAGAGGUUAUUCAUGUCACCAAGGACUGCUGAGCACAUGACAUGGCACCAAGCACACCAUGCGGUUGAUGGAGUGAUGGUUCAUCCUUCUGACGGCGAAGCAUGGAAACGCUUUAACAGUGUUCAUCCUCACUUUUCAGCUGAAUCAAGGAAUGUGCGUCUUGGGUUGUGUACAGACGGAUUCAACCCAUUUGGGUCAUUUGCUGCUCCUUAUUCUUGUUGGCCGGUCAUACUCACAGUUUAUAACUUGCCACCGGGAAUGUGUAUGAGGCCGGAGUUCAUGUUUUUAUCUACUGUCAUACCCGGUCCAAGAAGCCCGGGGCGGAAUAUAGAUGUUUGUCUUCGACCGUUGAUUGAUGAGUUGGCGCAGUUGUGGUCCUUCGGAGCUCUGACUUAUGAUAUAUCAAGGAAACAAAAUUUCCUUAUGAGGGCGGCAUUGAUGUGGACUAUCAAUGAUUUUCCAGCUUAUGAAAUGCUUUCUGGUUGGAGCACGCAUGGGAAACUCGCAUGUCCAUACUACAUGGAAAACAACAAGGCAUUCACGCUAGCAAACGGAGGUAAAGCUUCUUUUUUUGACUGUCACCGUCGCUUCUUGCCACUUCAUCACAGGUACAGAAAGAACAGAAAAGAUUUCUUGAUUGGCAGAGUUGAAAAAGAUGUUGCAUCCCCGCGUCUUUCUGGUGAAGAAUUGCAUGAUGUUGUCUUAGAGUACGGUGACAUUGUGUUUGGCCUUCAAUCAGGUAAGCAAAAGUUUCCUGGUUUUGGUUUGACCCAUAAUUGGGUAAAGCGAAGUAUCUUUUUUGAGCUUCCUUAUUGGAAGACCAAUCUGCUCCGCCAUAACCUUGAUGUCAUGCACAUCAAAAAGAACAUGUUUGAGAACAUUUUCAACACCGUCAUGGAUGUGAAGGGGAAGACAUAGGACAACAUCAAGGCUAGAUUGGAUAUAGCUUUAUACUGUAACCGUAAAAAUAUGGAGUUGGUUUAUGAUGAGUCACGGGUCGCAAAACCAAGAGCAAGCUUCGUGUUAGAGAAAAACGCACAACUGCUAGUCUACAAAUGGCUUAAGAGUCUGCGUUUUCCGGAUGGACAUGCAUCGAACAUAUCAAGGUUGGUUAAUAUAGAGGACUGUAGAUUGUAUGGAAUGAAGAGUAAUGACUGCCACGUGUUUAUGCAAACACUCAUCCCAUUAGCUUUUUGUGAUUUGUUGCCGAAGGGAAUAUGGGAUGCACUCACGGAGAUCAGUCAUUUCUUCAGAGAUAUAUGCUCCAGCAAGUUGAAUGUUGAUAACAUUGAGAGGCUUCAAACGAAUAUCAUCGAGACACUAUGCAAACUUGAGAUGAUAUCCCCUCCAUCAUUUUUUGACUCAAUGGAGCAUCUCCCUAUAUAUCUACCGUUCGAGGCAAAAGUUGGAGGACCGGUCCAAUAUAGAUGGAUAUACCCAUUCGAACGGUUAGAUAUUACAGUUGCAAUGUAAUUCAUAUAUAAAAGUAUUUUAUAUGUUUUUCUUAAUUGAAAAUACUUGAUUAAUAUUUCAAUGCAGGUACUUGUUUAAUCUCAAGAAAAAGGUUAAGAACAAGGCGCAUGUUGAGGCUUCGAUAUGUGAGGCCUAUAUUGUUGAGGAGAUCUCAACAUUUAUCUCGUACUAUUUUGAACCUCAUCUGAGAACGAGAAUCAAUUAAGUUCCACGGCAUGAUGAUGGCGGUGAAGUGCCUUCCAGUGGGAACUUGUCAAUAUUCUCCAAUACUGGACGACCCACACCUAAAAAUGCCGUAAGAGGAAGAUAUUUGUCGGAAAUAGAGUUCAAACAAGCACACAACUAUGUUCUAUUUAACUGUGAUGAGCUGAGACCUUUUAUUCAGUAAGUUUAUACUAAUUAAACUUUGUUAGUAAUAUACUGUUAAUUAUAUAUUGUAAUAUCAUACACUCAUUAUCACUUGCAGGCAACAUCGUCAAUAUUUGCUAUCCAAUAACUCACAGCUGACCGAAUCCCAGAUCUUUCAAUUACAAGAUGAGCAGUUUGCCACGUGGUUAAGAACACAUGUAAGCACUAUCACAAACUCAUUCUAACUUGCAAAAUUACUGUACGUAUGCAUGUCAUUACGAGAUUCUCGUUCAUUUACUAUUUAUUGAUGUACAUUACAUACAAGGUUUAUCAAAUGGGAAGGAGUGCACCUAAGUCAUUGUCUUCACUAAGCCUGGGGCCUGAAAGAAAAUGUAAGUGCUACAACGAGUAUUUUGUCAAUGGAUAUGUUUUCCAUACUGAAGAAUACGGGCAAGGAAGAAAGACAUACAACAACGGUGUUUGUGUUAAGGGAUCCACUAGUAGUGAGUUAUAAGUUGACUACUAUGGUAGAUUAGAAGAGGUCGUCGAACUGCAAUAUCAUAACGAGCAGAAUAUAGUGUUUUUAUUCAAAUGCUAUUGGUAUGACACGACUGACAGAGGAAUCAGAGUUGAUCCGCACUAUGGUCUAGUCGAAAUCAACUCAAAAGCUAGACUCCGCAACAUAAACGAUGUCUUUGUUUUCGCAAAGCAAUGUCAACAAGUUUAUUACACAUACACCCCUUCAUUUAGAAAGGAUCGAUCAAGAGUGGAUUGGUUGUCCGUUUUAAAAACGAAACCCCGGGGUCGUGUCGAGGUUGUUCAGGAUGAGAACGAAGACACAAGUGUGCGAGAUGAAGUCUUUCAAGUUAGUAAGGUGAUUGAACCAUAUCGAGUUGCUCCUUCGAUUGAAUUGGAAGAAAAUUCAAAUUUUCGUGUUUUCGAUGAUAGUCUUGUUGAUGUUGACGCAGAGGAGUUAAAUUUUGUUUUGAGCUCUAGCGGAUAACCAAACAUCGAUGAAGAAGAUUAUAUUCAUAUUGCAGAUUGCGAUGAAGGUGAUGACAAUUCAAUUGAUGACGAAGAAGAAGAAAAUUCUUACUAACUAUCAAAAUGAAGCCCUAUGUAAAACCCUUUUUUUCAUGUAAUUUAGAUUAUGAAUGAUAUAUAUAUUUUGAAACACAAAAUAUUUAUUACUUGAAAUAAUUAGUUGAAAUGCCACAAUUAUGAGAUAAUUACUUGAAAUAAUUAUUGAUCAUGGAUGAUAUAUUUUGUGACAUGAAAUAAUUACUUGAAAUGCCACCCGAUCACCGACGGCAUUAAGUCCGUCGGCAUUUCACAGAGAGUUCGAAAAUAAUUACUUGAAAUGCCACCCGAUCACCGACGGCCUUAAGUCCGUCGGCAUUUCACAGAGAGUUCGAAAAUAAUUACUUGAAAUGCCACCCUAUCACCGACGGCUACACCGACGGCCUUAAGUCCGUCGGCAUUUCACAGAAAGUUCGAAAAUAAUUACUUGAAAUGCCACCCUAUCACCGACGGCCACACCAACGCAUUUAAAUCCGUCGGUAAGUUGUCGGCGGGUCAAUUUUACCGACGAAAUUACCGACGGACCGCGCGAAUUUCAAAGGGUUGUGCAUUAAAUGCGCCUCUGACUGCGUCAUAUUGCCGACGGAAUUACCGACGGACCACGAAAAAUAUGGAGGGUCAUUAAAAAUUUUGGUGCGAAAUUCAAAAUUUACCGACGGAUUUUUAACAAAUCACCGACGGAAUAAAUUAAAAUAAUAAUUAAUUUUAUAUCCGUCGGUGAAGCCGUCGCUAAAACUGCCAUAUAAGUUCAAGUGACCGCCCGUUCAGUUCAUUUUUUCUUCUCCUUCGUUUCUCACCUUAAGAAUUUGAUUUUUUUUCCUCUCCAUUCUUCAAAGCUUUCACCUCCAAUCUCUAGCAAGUUUUCUUCAUCAUCUUCAUCAGUUUAAAAGGUUAGUGUUUCCUCUAUUUCAUUUUACUUUAAUAGUUCUUUUUUGCUAUUUUUUUGGUUAUUUUUUUUGUUUUGGUGUAUUUUUUGUAAUGUAGAUAAAGUCUAUAGUUUUUUUUGCAUAAUUCAUUGCUAAAGUUUAUAGUUUUUUUUUUUGAAUUUAUUGAAUAUUUUUUAUUGUUGUAUUGGCAUAAUUACUAUUAGUUAAUUUGUUGAAUAUUUAUUGUUAAUGUUGAAUUUACCAUAGAAUUAGUAAUUGAAUAUGUUGGAAUAAUUAUUAAUUUUACUUUAUUAUUGCAUGAUUUGUGUUUAAUUUUUUCCAUUUAUUUUGAUUGUUAUUCUAGAGUUUUUUUUUUAAUUUAUUGUUUUGUUGUAUUGGCAUAAUUAUUGAAUAAUUACUUGAAUUGUAAUUGUUAAUGUUGAAUUUACCGUAGAAUUAAUAAUUGAAUAUGUUGGAAUAAUUAUUAGUUUUACUCUAUUAUUGCAUGCUUUGUGUUUAAUUUUUUCCAUUUAUUUUGAUUGUUAUUCUACAGUUUUUUUUUUAUUUAUUGUUUUGUUGUAUUGACAUAAUUAUUGAAUAAUUACUUGAAUUGUAAUUCUUGAUGUUGAAUUUACCUUAGGAUUAGUAAUUGAAUAUGUUGGAAUAAUUAGUAUAGAUUGGGUAAAUUGGUUGUGGCUAUUGUUAAUAUGUGCAGGUUUGUGGAUUUGGGUAGUAUCCGGUAUAGGGGAGGUGCUGUCGAAUUUUUUUUUUACAUUUGAAUUUAAUUAUAUAAUUAUUUGUAUCAAAUUGUAUAGAUGCGUAGAACGAAAACCAGAGCUGGUCGCUCAAGUGCGGUCGCAGCUAGUUCGUCUAGCAGCGAGGAUGAUAUUUCCUUAGGUGCCUCUCAAGAAGAGGCACCUACACCACCUGCGUCGUCAACCGAUGUUGCCUCUUCCAGCGGUACUUCACAACGCAGAGGCGGCGUGCCUUCGCAGCGGAAUCAAUUUACCUGCAAGUACGAGGCACAGUGGAAGGACGACCUUUCAAUGUAAGUUAGUUAAGGUUUUAGUUUUUUUUUUAAAAAAUUACAACAUAAUUUAUGAAGUAAUCACUAUUGAAUUUAUUUCAUUUAUUUUGAGGUUCACAAACAUUGAAGCCGCCUGAGUAAUAUCAUCGGCGUUUAAAUCGUCGAUGGAGAUUCCAUUGUUUCAAUGGAGUCAGAUAUCCAAGCAUCCUGAAUGGAUGCCUCAAAUCAAUGCAUGGUUUAACAGGUUUGAGGUUGGUAUUAAUUUAUAAUUUUCAGCUUAUUAAUAUAAUUGUAUUAUUUUUAUUUAAACUUGUUUAUUUAUACACAACACAAAUUCUGCUAGGACAUUGAGCAUAACACUGUUGUGAGGAGGGUGUGGGAAAAUCACGCGGCAACUAGGUAAGAUCGAAAACAAUACAUGUUUUUUUUUAGACAAAAAUUUAUGUUUCGAAAUGUAAUUUUUGGUUGCGUGAUUUUUGGUAUGAAGCACAGAAAAAGGCAAAAAAAACCACGAGGGAUAGGGAUUUCCAAGGCUGGAUCGAUGUUGCGGUUUGGAGUGAUUUCAAACCAAUAUACAUCCCGGAAGAUAUAUGGCCGCACUAUCUUGAGCACGUGACAUCUGAGCGGUUCACACGACGCUCACAGUCCGGUUCUGGCAACCGGAAUCGGCCAAUUCAUGGCGGGGUGACAACGCACACUGGCGGCUCCGUUCCGUUUGCUGCACAUGCGAAACGGAUGGUAAGAUUAAUUUAAAUGAAAUAUAUCGUUAAAUUCAGUUGUUGUUAAUAUAUCUUUUUUCAUUAUAGGCUGCGUCUCUUGGACGUGAGCCGAGCCCGAUGCAGCUGUUUGUGGAGACGCACGUGCGGAGUCAAGACCGCCAGAAGGGGGCGCAAUAGUUCGUUGAUAACCGUGCUCAGCAUUUCGUGGUAUGUUUGUUCAACCAUUUUAUUUUGUAAGUUAUUAUGUAAGUUAUUAUGUUUAUUGUAUUGAAUAUGAUGAUUACUUUUUAUUUUUAUUUUCAGGAGACCUAUAAUAAUCGGUUGAGGGAGAGAUACGGGGACGAUACUUUGACCCAUCCGGAAUUCGAUCCGGAUUUGUGGAUGGAGGUUGGCUCGUCAGGUGGACCCGAUAAAAAUCGGGUUUACAGGCUCUCCAACACUACGGGCGACAACUUGCGGUCGACCCGUAGUGUUUCAACUGUUGGGAGCUCCCAAUCAAUAUCGAGCUCCCAAUCUAAGGAGUUCGUGGCUUUGCAGCAACUCACCGAGAAAUACGAUAACCUAAAAGCAGAGUACGCACAACUCAAAGCGGAACAAAGAGCAGAGUCUGAGCAACUCAAAGCGUCUCAAGCACAACAAAAAGCGGAGUAUGAAGCGGCUCAUGAACAACAAAAAGUGGCUGAUGAACAGCUCCACGAAAUGAUUAUGAAAUUGUCAAAUAGCGGAACAUGUGCGCCUAAUCUUUUUUGGCCGUAUAACCACCAGCCUCCGCCAGGAUCUCCUCCUCCUCCUCCAGCUCCAUCAUCUUUAUAUUAAUUUGUAAUCAACAUUAUUUACCUUUAAAACUUCAUUUAAUAUUUUUCUUGAAACAUAUUCAGUUUGUAAUUAAUAUUAUUUAACUUUGUUUUUUUUUUAUGUUUAAUAUAAAUUUUAUUUGCAUAAUUGGUUUGUAUUACAAUUAAUUUAUAUAGUUUUAUAUUAUAUAUCCUAAAUAAUUUUUUAAAAACAAAUUAAGAAAAAAACUAUUACCAAGGAUUUUACCGACGGAUGAAUUCGGUCGGUAUUUUAAACACUCACCGACAGACUUACCGACGGAAUUAAUCCGUCGGCAUGUAAUAGUAGCUUCCACAAUUACCGACGAAUUUACAGACGGACAUAUGCUGUCGGUAUUUCAUACACUCACCGACAGAUUUACCGACGGUUAUUGUUCGUCAGUCAAUCACAAUAUACCGACGGAAUAAAAAUCCGUCGGUAUAUUUCAAGCGGGAAUCUUUUUUUUUUGGCGCGCAAAUUCCGUCUGUAAAACCAUCGGCAAAUGGUUUUUUUGUUUUUCCGACCGAUAUAGCGAUGGAAUGGGGAAUCACCGACGAAGGUAAAGCCGACGGACGUAAUCCGUCGGUGAUGACGUCGGUAAAAAAAUCACCGACGAACUUCUAAUCACACACCGACAGAAUUUUUCCGUCGGUAAAACUGUGAAAUCUUGUAGUGUUUUAAUUUUCUAACAUAAGUAUAUGAGAUUCAAAGUUAUAUCAAUGUUUUAUUGUUUUUAGAUUUUUUAUGGAGUUGUUUUGAAUUAUAUAUAUUAUAAAAUACAUAAAUAAAUUAUGUGUUAGGUCCUGACAUGUGCAGGACCCAAUUGGGUGUUGGAUCCUGCACUUUGAGUCCUACAAGAUGCAGGACCCAACCUAAUUAGGUGUAGCGCAGGACCCACAAUAACUUUAGGUCUUGCAAGGUGGAGGACCCCAAUUAGCUUCGGGUCCUGCAUAGUGCAGGACCCCAUUUCAUGUUGGGUCCUGCCGGGUGCAGGACCCAUGUGGAUGUUGGGUCUUGACGGUGUAGGACCCAAUUGCGUGUUGGGUCCUGCCACCAGGACUCAACAGUUGUUGACCCACCACCCAAUUGAACCCUUCUGCCACCAGGACCGAACAUCUUUGGACCCUUUUAUAACCAGGACAAAACAUCAUCUCUUUUAUUUUGUUUAGGAGCUCUUUUAAAUUUUUAUUAUUAUUUAACCCGCAGCGGAGCGCGGGUCACAUAGCUAGUUUAUUUCUAUAAGCCAAUGUUUGGCAAAACCAUCUUUUCUUUCCCUAGAAAUUACCAAAAUGGACUUAAGUGUGUGUUUGCCAAACAUUUCCUUGGGCAAAAAAAAAAAUCCUUCACAAAAGGUUGUUCAAACGAACAAAGCCUUACGUACUUAAUCUAAAACAAAACCAAACGAGUCGACCCAAAGACACUAGUUUAACCAUGAACUGAACCAAAAAACAAGGUUUGACCUGAAAAAAAACUCAAACUAAUGUUUAAACUGAAACAAAGUCAAAGUUGAAAAUUAACACAAAACAUAAAAAAAAUUGCAGAAAAAUAGAUCAAACACUCAAAUCGUGAAGAACACAAAGAGCAUUCAUCAACAAACAAACAAACACAAAUCUCAAUCCAGUCAAGUUUUCAUGCAAUCAAGGGCAAUGUUUUAUUUGAAAUCAUGCAAGGAUCCAUAAUCUAGCAUCCAUUACUUCAAUUAUCAAAGAAUUAAUGUGAUUUUGUGAAAAUGAGUUUCGGUUGAAAACCAAAAUUUUAAGAUUAAAAACCCAGAAACUUGUUAUUAAUACAAAUAAACCCUAUAUUAUCUACUAGUCAAGUCGCCUGAAUGGUUUAGUGUAAACAAUGGGACCAAAGUUGAUCUAAAUCAUAGUGCUAAGGCAAUUUUCUUUCCAAGAACAUGAAGAAACCAAACCCAGCAACCUAAAAGUUCCCAGCCUACUAUUAAACCCAAAACUAGCCUCUUAGGCUUCUAAAACAUGUUUCUUUUGGUCCUUACAAACCAUAUUAUCAAUAUUAAGCAUCGUUGAAUUCAAAGAACUAACAAAUAAAAUAAAGCCAUCAAUAACAUGCAUGAAGUUCCAAAGUUCAAAACUACUAAAGAUAAUCAACAAGCAUAUUCAUGCUAUUUGGAUUCAAAACUUGAUAUUUUUAACAUCUAUAUGCCAAAACAUACUUGUAUGAACCAUGAACUUGCACUAAAAUCAUCAAAUUAAUCAACAUGCUUCCAAAUUAUUUAACCCACAAACAAAAACAACUUAUUGUUUUAUUACAAAACAGAUUCAAACACAAAUCAAAAUAUCUCAAAUACAUCAUCAUCAUGCUAUUAGGCUAAAAUCACAUAAUCAAACAAGUGUGACAACCAAGAAUCAUGUCUUUAAUGCAAGCCUCAAUAACAAAUUAUUAACCAAAACUAAAACAAAUUAUCAUAAUGAAAUCUAAUAAAACAAACUCUGCCGAAAAAACAUCAAAUUAUUCCAGCACCAAAAUCAAACCAAAAAAUGCAAGAUAAGCUCAAACAACAUAAAAAGAGGUUUAAACAAUAAGAAAGCAUGAAAAGAAAGGCCACAUGGACUCCACACUUGAAUUUCUACAUGUUAUAACUUCUCUAAGCUUGCUAGCUAUGAACUAUUUUCCUUCUCUUUUAUUUACUUCUUUCCCUUUCACUAUACUUUUUCCAAAGCUUGUUAGACCCUCUAUGUUAGGCUCUUGAACCUUCACACUAGGAUCUUUUCACAGUCAUGUUUUUCCUCUCUCUAUUUUUAUUUUUAUUUUUCAGGGGGUAUUUAUAAGGUUUUACUAGGAUCUUUGAUGGAUUCAAAUAUAGAUCGAUCAAAGCUUAGCUUUUUGAUCAAAAUGAGAGAGUUCUGGACAAAUGUUAACAAUCAGAACCUUUGUCUUUCAAUGGUUUUGGGACAGUGGUUUUGUAACAAAAUUACCUAGGAGGUUUUUUUUUCCUUGAGACAAAGGCAUGCAUCCCUCACCUUCUGAUUAUGGAUGAAAGAUUUAUGACCCUUAAUAAGAACCCUCUAAAAAAUUUUAAGUGUGAACACACGAAAAAGUUGAGAGGCUUUGUACAAUAGGUAUCUUAGUCAAGACUGACUGAGUUGACCAAUUUUGAGGCCACGCCAGAGUAACUCCAACGUAAAUGUCAUUGGAGACCACCUAAACUUUAUAGAGGAGAAUCACACCUUUCGAUUUGGUCCAUUCUUGUACAGUUUGGAUGUUUGUAUUUCCAUAUUCAUUUGUUGAAGGCGACAACUCGAUUAUCCGAGAAUCUGAAAAUGUAGUAAUGACUAAUUGGGAACAAGAUGUUGUUGAGUUCAAUAAAGAAAAUGGGAUAUAAAUGCUUGAUGGUCGUAGUUGAUCUUUGUAGAGGGGGUGUUUCUCAAUUAAAUGGUGGUGGUUACAGCCCUAGAAGUGGUCGGAAACGCUACAUUCAUUCGUUUGAAGGUGCCUACUUGAUCAACCAAAAUUGCCAACAAAACACUAAACAAUGGCCGAACGAUGUGUCGUCUAGGUUAAACCCUAGAAAUUAGGGUUUUUAAUUUGGGAUUUGAAAUUUUUCACUUUAGUCCCAAUUCUUCAAAUUUGUUUUAAUUGCACCUAUAAUUGUCUCUCAAACUCUUAAUUUCAUGUAAUUUCACCCUUGUCCAGCUCAAUCAUUAGCCUCAAAGUUCAGCGUCAUUUUAAUCUUGGUCCUUAGUUUCUAAUUUGUGCACUUGGACCCAUAAUUGACUAUUAAACUUUCAAUUUUCUUCAAUUUGGCCCCUAAUUUGGUCAAAUUUAGUCUCUACAGUCAUGCGCCUUUUUUUCAGUUUGGUCCUUGGCUUUAGAUUUCUUCAAUCAAGUCCCUAAUUGCCUACUAGACUUUAAUAUUCUUACAAUUAAGCCCUUGAUUCAUCCAAUUAAACCUCCUAAAAAACCAAUUAAGUCCUUGGACUUUAAUUUAUUUCAAUUAACACCCAAAUUGACUCUAAAAACUGAUUUUUCCCAGUAAUCAAGUCCUCAAUAAAAUUAAUUAAGCCUUCCAAAAUUCUCAUUAAGUCCUUACCUAUCCAAAUUUGUAUUUCUUUACCCUAAUAGAAAUAUUUUCACCAAUGGGAACCUUUGUCAAUUAGAAUUGGGUUGUUAAUUAUAGCAAUUUUGUACAUUUUGGUCCUCCAACUUUUCCACUUGUAAUUUGGUCCUUCACCAUCAACUUGAGUAAUCUUUUAGGUUUUUUUUUCAUGUAUAUCCUCUUGUAUUUUGAAUUUUCUCUUUCUAUUUUUUCUUUUUUCUUUUCUUGAUUUUUCGUGGAGUCAAAAGUAGGUAAUAACAAAUUGAUUGCAAAUAAGUUUUAAAAAUUGAAAACUAUAAUAUAAUUAGCACAUGAGAUUAAAAUUCUAGAUUUAGAAAAAUCAAGUAAGGACUUGAUUUACGAGAACGCAACCUAAGUGUUGAUCAAAUUCUAGGAGGAAGAACUAUCUUCAUACAAUUUUCACACAAAUCGAUCCUAAAUAAGUUUAUGUUGUUUAAUGAGAUCCAUGAGACUUGAAAAAACUAUUUUCACUAUGUCAUGUAUUUCAAGAAACCCAACAACGUAAUCAUAGAGAAAUAAGAGGUGCAGCAAAUCACUUUAAGGCACUCAUACUUUCUCAUCUUUUGGAGUAGCUGACUCUAAAACACUUGGCAUACACACACACACAAACAGUGGGAAAAGAAGAAGAAAACAAUUAAGUUAAAAAGGACUUAAUUAUGCUUUAUAAUUAACUUAACCAAGCAAAGCAAGGCCCAGUACAUUAUCACUAAAGAGCUCAAUAGAGUAAUUUUUUCUUUCGAUAAUCCAUAAUCACCACCCCACCAUAAUGUUUAGCUGCCUCCUUGUUGUUGAUAACAUCCAUUUUCAUCAUGGGAACUUGGAUUCCACCAUAAUCAUAUCGUUGCUGAUGGUGCUCUUGAGGAGUUGAAGACCUCCUAGGGCACCCGUACCACUCGUCUAUUAGUGCAAACCCUUCCAACCCAAUCUUGUAAAGGCGAUCUGCUUGGCGAGCCAUUUGCAAAAUGACACUAAAAAAUAAGAAGAAGAAACAGUUUAAGUAGGUUCUGAGUUUGAUCAGCUUGACUUGUACAUAUGGUUUGAAGCCAAGCUAGUCCGUAUAUAUAGAAAUCAUAGAAACCCUCUCUAUCUAAGCUUAUAGGUUCACUGUGGUCAAAAUCAAAAUCUUCAAAGAAAGAUAUAAUUUUCACAACUUUUGAUCAUUGAUUCUGUUGCUUUUUCUUUUUUAUUAUUCUCAAUAUGUUGUUAAUUCCAUCACAUCUCAGAGAAACUAUCCAAAGGCUUUACCAAGUAUCACGACUUUUCCAAAAUUCAAUCAAGAAAUAUCAAAUCAUUCUGGAUAUGCAUGCAUGAUUCACCAUAAUAAUUAUAGCAUUCUUUGAAAAUAUAGGGAAGAAGGCUUUGUUCCUUGCAAGAAGGGUGGAUUUAUGGUUAAGUUCUUUGAAAAUAAUUACAGCAUUCACAUUUUAUGCAGUUUCUUUCUCUAAUGAGAAAAAUCUAUACUUUUCCCUUCAUCCCAAACAUUUGUUACAGAGUUAGCUAUGAGUCGAUUGACGAAUUAAACAUAUUCUUUCCUUGUGCAUGAAGUGUGAAGACUGAGAAUGACCUUUUUGACUAAACCCACAAGAUACUCCAAAUUGGAUCCUCAAGGACCGCUUUCCAAAUCGAGCAGGACCAGGGAAAAAAAAGUUCUUAUUAAUACCAAUUUUUCAUGGUAUGAAAAAUCUGCCCCAAUGUUGUGUUGGUAUCUUUAAGGUUCUAAAUGCUUGAAAUAUUCUUGUCAAUUAAUGCGGUAGGCAAAGGUCUGGAUUUAAGGUCCUGGCGGUGGCAAGGCAGGUAAGAUAUUGUCUGAUGCUUUUUUACUUGAAUAUUAUAGCCGGUUCAUGCGAAAGAAUAUUUCAUUUCAAAAUUAGAUUAAGUAUAUGACAUAGAAUUCGGAUUAAUCAAGAGUUCAUGAAUAAAGUGAUAAGAAAUAUAUAUAAUUGAGAGAUAAGAAAGGAAUAUUUAUUGGUAACUCCUUCUCUCUUGAACGGCUUUCAUGCUUAGACAAAUCCACUUGUAUACAUCACCACUUUUCUAUAUUGAAGUUUUUUAAUUACUACUAUUGUUUCAGACAAAUUGCUAUAAUGUUGUGAAAUUUUAAGGGAAAUGCUUAUUAUUGUGUAUUUUUUCUGGACCGUUGGACACUUUUAAUUUGGUUUGAUGUGUAUUAUUGAUUUUGAGGUGAUUUGAGUAUUUGUGGUGAAUUAUGAGUUUAUUAUUAGAUUGUGAUUGUUUUUUGGAUAUUAAAUAUUGAUGUAUGAAUUAUGCUUGGGUUUGUGUUAAUUCCUUCGAAUUAAUACGCAGUUUAAACAAAGUUUGUGAAAUUAAUAAGAUUCGUGUGGAUUUUUGGUGUUGCUCGUUUCAAGUUGAUGAACGAUAUUUUGUUUUGAAUUAAUAUCGUGGUUAAAAUAGCCUUGAUAAAAAUAAUUUAUAUGUGUUUUACUAAAUACGGUCUUCGUCCAUUUUCAAAAUCUUUGGAAGAUCAUCAUGCAAUUAAUUUUGAGUUCCCAAUAUUUUCCAACCAUCACGUAUUUAGUAUUUGAAAUCGUGACUUACACACGAGAUGCUUCUUCGAUGUUAAAGGAAUCGUUUUACCUUUUACAAAAACAACAAAAAAAAAUCUCUUCUUUCAAAAAUACAAUUUUAUUUUAAAAAACAUACAACCAAGUCUCCCAAAAAUAAAAAAAAAUCAUAUCUUGCUUAAAAAAUAAAAUACAUGGUUUGUCUUAGUACCAAACUAUAACAUCCUCAAAUUAUAAUGUCAUGAAAUCUCAAAUGUUUCUUUACGAAUGUUAAGUAUUGAAUAAUAUGUCUAAGAUUAUGGAUUUUUAUUUUUUUUUUGAAAAGUUCGGCAGAGUUUCCUCUAUUUUUGUUGGUACCAAGUUAUCGACAACAUUUCUAUUAUAUGUCAUUACAACUUCCAUCUUGAUCCAAUCAUCCUGGAUCACAUCUCAUUCAUUAAUCAAUCUCUCAAAACUUAUACUUAUCAAUAUUGUUGCUACCCAAUUUUUGACCCAUGUUUUGAUAAAUUUUCAGAAAAAUCCAAAAAUAGCGAAAAACAUUGAAAAUCCAAAAAAAUACGUUUUUAAUACAUUUGCAUCGUUUUUUAGCAUUUUUAGCAUCGUCUCAAAAGAAUUUAAAUUUUCAAAGAUAUUUGGAACGCGUUCAACUUUUCACGCGUCAUUUUUAAAAUCAUUGAUUUCCCGCAUUGAGUCGAUGUUGAUAUUUGCUCGCUUUCAAAAAUACAAAAAAAAUAAGAAAAAUCAAAAUUUACAAAAAAAGAGGAAAAGAGAAGGAAAGGAAAAGUUGAGGGACUAGUUUGAAAACCUAGCAAAACUUUUCCUAUAAAUACCAAGCUACACUGGUUUUUAAAGGGGGGGCAAUUUUGACAACAUAAAAAAAAAUACAAAAAAAACCUAACCCUGGUUUUUCAACCGACCCAGCAGCUGCUCCCACUCCAGCUUUCCCAGACCGUCUUGUUCUCUUUUUCUUCCAGCGGCGGCGGCAGCAGCCAGCCACCUCGUCGCCUCCUUCAAUCAGCGUCGCCGACCGGACAAACGCUCCCUCUCUCCACCGCAGCUCCAACAACUACAGACGACAACCGUGCCAGAUCUGUCACCGGAGCAAACCAUAACUAAAAAAAGGAAUUAAGAACAGAUCCGAAAACAGUUAAAGAAAAACUAAAAUCGACUGUGUUGUUGCGAUUUUUGUUUGUUAUUGCAGGUGAUUGUGUUCCUCACAACCAGCAAGGAAGGGAAGGGGAGAAGAAGCUGAGCCAGAUCAUCCACUUCUCGUUUUCUUCCUGCGGCGGCGCGUGAGUCCACGCGCCGCCAGUAACGGUGGCGCGUGAGUCCACGCGCCGCCAGUAACGGUGGCGCGUGGGAAGACGCGCCGCCACUGUUCCUGCGGUGCAGAAGGGCUUCCCUGUAAUUUCUGGAUUUUUAGGGACUGUUUUUGUAAUUUUUAGGAUUAUGUUAUUGUAAUAUUAUUGUAAUUUUUGUUUAGUUUGUUUAGAAAUUGUAUUUUGUAUUGUGGAUGUAAAAACAAAAGGAACAAAAGAAAGGAAAAGAAAAGAAAAGAAACAAAAAUAUAGUAAGAGUGAAUGUGUGUGUGUUUGUAUUUUUUUUUUUAUAUAUAUAUAUUUUUUAUGAUAAAAUUGCAAAGAUUAAAGAAGAAUUUAAUAUUUUGAUUGGAUCACGGUUAAGAAUUAUUAACUUAUACGUAAGUUGUAUUUCUAAUAUCCGAUGAAAAAACAAUUAUUAAAACUUCUUUAAACACAUUAAAUUCGCGAAGCAGCUUACCUCAGGUAGGGUGCGUUAGGGGUGCUAAUACCUUCCCUAACCACAACCAGUCCCUUACCCGCGAAUCUCUGAUAAGACCAGUACAUCCGGUUUCCUAGUAGCCUUCAAUAAAUUACUAGGUGGCGACUCCAACGAACCAAUUCAAAUCAAACAUAACAACAGAUAAAAUCGCCAGCCGAUGCCGCGCGGAUUUUUUAUGACGUGCGACAAAAUGGCGACUCCACUGGGGAAGGUACUGUUUCUGACAAUAUUGGACUAAGCUUUGUGUAUUUGAUGUGUUUAAGUUUUUGCAUUUUUGUCUUGUUUUAUCUUUGUUUUAUCCAUGUAUUUUUAGAAUUGUUUCAUGCAUCACCUGUAUUUAUUUUUUAAAGCACACACAAGCUUCUAAGUUAGGUGGUGAAUUAGCGAUCUGCCCUAUGACUAUUGGUCAGGGUUCAGAUGCGUGAAAAACCGAACUCAUAUCUGAGUGCCUGCUUGGUAAUGGUGGGUAGACGUACCUUAACUAUUCCUUGCAACGCCCCCAUACUGUCUUUACGAAGAACGUCACUGGGCAGAUAUGAGACCCUUUUGAGACCAGGUAGAAAACCUACCCAUGAUCACAUAAUGAAUAGAACCUAUCCUUAGGUUGUAUGUGCUAUUUUUAUUUGCAUCAGGGCAAACCCUUCUUGAAGCAUCUUGAACUCAAGACUUGUGGGUGACACAAUGACCGUCACUCAGAAAAUUUUCAUUGUAGAGUUUGGGCAAGAAUCAAGAUUCUUGUUUCAUCAUGCAAGAGUUACGACCAUAUUGUCACCCCUCGAAGGGCGAGUUCUUCAUAUAGUUUGCAUGUUCAUACAUUUAUCAUGCAUGUACCGGGAGGAAAAAUAGGUUCCCCCAUCUGAGCUUUGCUACACCUGAUUGAACAAAGAUGAUGGGAAAUGAAGAAAGGGGUCAAAGAGAAGCUCAUCAUCAAAGGUGAAGUAGCUAGACCCAGAUCUCCCUGAACAAGUGUAGAGCAUCAGAGGGAAAGGGAAUGUCUACACAGUCUUCUGUGGGAACACUGCUUGUCCAUGUCCCAUUGAAGUUACACCUCCUCUUUUCAGUCAUGAAUAAUUGCAGUAAUGCCUUCAGUCAUCAGCUAAUGACAACCUUUGUUCUUGUUCAGUUGCACUGAUAAUUAUUCAUCGCCUCCGUAUCUGCUAAUGGAACCAAAUAACUACUAGCCUUCUGUGCAUGGUGUGUUAGCCUUCUUUGACGUUACCCCAACUGUUAGCUCAAUUCCAGUUCAGCGGCACAAGAUGUAAAAAAAAAAAAAAAAAAAAAACCCCGAAAAAAAAAACCAUGAUUCGACCCUGAACUUCUACGUUGCAGAGCUCUCUCUACAAAAAUCCGUUUAUGGCUCUGCAAGUGGGGAAUGCAAGAGGAGAUGUAGAAGUUUCAAAUGAUAUGAAAAUUUACCCCACCAGUUUCAGCAUCGAAACACUGUAGUAGGCAGUAAAGCCAGACUUGAGCUAGAAAACAGGAGCAAAUAUAGAACUUCACCGUGGCAGAGCUCUCUCUGCAGAAAUCUGUUUGUAGCUCUGCAAGUGGAGAAUCCAAGAAGGGAUGCAGUAGUUUCUGAUCAUCUAUAAUUUUCUCUCAUCAGUGUUAGCUUGAAAAUGCAAAAGUAGGGAAAAGAGACAAACCUCGGCUGAAAAAUAGAAAGAAGAUUGAAACUUCAACAGAGCAGAGCUCCCUCUACAGGUGUCUGUUUGAUGCACCGUCAGUGAUGAAUCAAAUAGGAGACAAAGGAGUUUUAGAUUCAUCAGGUUCUCCCCUAGUUGAGACAACGCGUGAUUUCACACAUCAGUAGUGGCAGUGCUGCAUGUUUCUGUGCGCUGCCAAGAUUACCUAGUUAUUGGAAGGCUCUCCAACAACCCUCAAACAACCAUAACAACAUGAGAAGAUUGACAUGAUGUUGUGAAGAUUGUCAAAAGAAUUGAACAAGCUAUGAAGAGAGGAAAGAUUGAAGGAUUUGUCAUGGAUUCCAGAAUUGUGAAGAGAGUUGAAUCAGAAGAUGACUCUCGAUUGAGAAACCUCAAUUAUUUUGCCUAGUCAAGUCUCGCUCAAAGCACCAACUACUCCAAUGUCUUUGCCAAAGAUAGACAUUCCUUUGCCAUGUGGGUUUAUUUACUAGCAUCUGCCAGAUUCCAGACUUAAUGCCUGACUCCGACAAAACCCAUGCAACCACCGUUUUCUAGGUGGUAUAAUCCAGACAAGAGAUGUGAUGUCAUGGUGGGGUCCUCAGCCAUUUCAAUUGAACAAUUGCAAGAAUCGAGUCCGGAAGUUGGUGAGCAAAAGACGAGAGGAAUCUGUGAAGGAGCUUGUCAUCGAUCAUUUUGUCGUCAGAACAUCCUCAGAAUGACGAGUGAUCGAAAUUGCUUGGCAAAACAGAGAUAUUGCCAAAGAGGCUGAUCUAAGAAGGGGUUAAACUGUCAAUCAUUUUUGUUAUGGAUUUUGCCAUCUUGCAUUUUGUUUUGGGGUCACAUCUCAUCCUUGAACGAAACAUGUCUUUCCUUUGUCUUCCUGUUGUUUUGAAAUCAAGAGAUGCUUCUUUCAAAGGGUAUUUUUACAAAAUAUUUUGAUCAAGCUCCAACAUGCGAUUAAGAUUAAUCAAUCCUGAAGAUUAAAAGUAUUUUGAUUGCAGAAAUAACUCGAUGCUUGAAAAUGACAUGAGGUGACGAAACAAUUUUGAACUCAUACCUCCUGAAACUGAACCACACAUCAUAUAACUAAGUUUUAGCAGUAUGCAUAAUGACAUGUAGUGGAUUCAGUAGUUAUGGACUCGUGAAUCAUGACUCUUACAAGUCCAAAUCAUUACAUUGGAUGAGGUCAAAGUUUAUCGGUUCUAACCGACCUUGCUUGAAAUGAGAAAAGGCCAUCUUUGUUAUCCUUUCACAUUUCUUGAAAUAUUAUCCCUUGUGGUCCCCAUUUGAGCCUGGUAAAAUAUUUUCUUUCAAGAAACCUUGACUAGGAUCACACCCCACACUGGGGGCAAUGAGAGAUAUGUUAUUAGGAAGGAUGAAGACACUGAUAGAAUCAAUGAAAAAAGAAAGGCUUAGAAUAAAAGCCCAAUGAUUGAGAAAGGGAGAACAAGAAAAGCCAUAGAUUGAGGGCCAUCCAAGAAAACUUUGAGGAAGGUUAUGUAAAAGCAAAAAAAGUGGAAAUGAAGGAGAAUGCCUAUCAAUUCUAAGAGGGGCAAAAGAGGUUUCAAUGGAAGAAAGACACAACAAAUGUCAAAAGUCAACACCAAAAAAUCAAGUUUCAUGUCUUUUGGUGUGUCUAGGAUAAAGCCUUUAGUGUCUUCAAAAUUUUUUAGAUUCAUUAUUCAUCAGAGAAAGUUGGAUUUGCAUUAUGACCUAUGUUAAGAGAAUUCUGAUAUUUGAGAUUAACAAGGUUAUAUCACUUUCUCUACUAUGACAACAAGAGAAAGAGAGUUGAUGAAUAGUUGAUGUUGAUCCUAGGUCUUUGAAACCCUCAAACACCUUUUGAGCCUGAAUUUUCCUUUCUUUCAUAAGCCAUGAACCAUAGCCUGCAUUACGUGCUUUUAAAAGCCCUUUUUAAUCAAGUAAGCAAUCUGAACCGAUAAAUGACGAUCUCAAAACUUGAAGAGUUUUCCAUAAGAGUCAUAGCUUCAUGGAUUAAGCUACUGGUUAUUAUGCAUGCUGAUAAAAUUGGUGUAAAAAAAAAAAACAAUCUUUCUUGAUGAAUCCUCAAGUUUUGACUUGAGUCUUUUGUUUUUUGAAAUUCACAGAAGGUCACCUCAUUGUAGACCGUGAAAAGAUAUACCCAAGAUCAAAGAUUAAAACUAACAUAAAGAACCAUGAAAAAAGUCAUUUUAAACUUACAACGGGUCCAUUUCUGUUUUCAAAAUACAAGACAAUCAAAGGAUUACAUUGAAUGAUGUGUGUUGGGUCUUUGACCAAAAAGCAUGAUAUUUAAAAGAUCUUUUCCAAAAUAGAUAUCUCUCUAAUUUCAUUUCAACAAUUAGACUUGAAUUGACAUGAUCUUUGAAAUAUGAGAGUUGAUUCCAAAACAAGAAAGAUUGUUAAACAACAAGAACAUCGACCGAAUUUGCAAAAUCCUUGACAAGAAUGACAUCAACAUUUCUCGACACUCCUUGAAAAGUUGACCACCUAGAGGCAACACAGUGGAUCAAGGGUAGGAAAACAAAUAGUAUUCAGAUCAGCUGGGGGCAAUGAAAGAUGAUUAAAUGAUGAAUCAGUGUACUGAAGACAAUGGUGUUCAAAGAAAGAUAAUCAAUGAACGAGCACAUUCAGAUCAUAUUGGGGGCAAUGUUGUUCAAAGAUAGUCCAUGAUCUAGUGAACCCCGUCAACAAUCGGGAAAGCAAAGAUACACUUGAAGGAAAUCUUUUGAAACAUGGCUAUCGACCGAUGUGGGCGUACAGUUGCAUUCGAACGAAUAUGAAAAGAUGCACACCACCAAGAUUGAUUGCGGAACAAUGUUGUACUUGAAGGAUAAUGUCAUAUUAUCAUCUCCAACAUGGCUAUGACUUUUGAACGAUGUUAUCGCAUAGUUGUAUUUGAAUGAAUAUUGGAAGGAUGCACUCAUGAAGACUGACUGUGGGACCAUCUUGUUUUGAAGCUCGAAGGCGCACUUCAUCGCAUGAAUAUGGGUGAUAACAUGAACAUCAUUGAUGAUGUCAAGACAUUUCUUUCCACUAUCUGAUUUGACAAACUGAGAGAAAUCCAUGAGAAAGAACAUUGAGCAUACAACGAUGAGUCUUUCACUGCAAGCUAUGAGAUGCAUGUCUGGACGACUAGAUGAUUUCCAUGAAGACUGGUGAUAACAUAUACUUGAAGAGUAUUGUUUCAGCUUGAGGCAAGUUCAUGACUGAUUAACAAUCUUGAUGGGUUGGCAUGAUGCACACAACCAAUCAGAGGAUAAUUCUCAGAAGAAUCCAGGAGAGAAAAUCCUUCAUGAUGAAUCAAGCAACACCACACUUGGGGGCAGAGUCAAGCUUGAUAAACAACAAGAGCAGUAAUCAUCGUAGACAGCCCGAGAUGGGCACUACACUUACAUUUGAGUGGAAGGCUAGCAUACGAAUGAGCCAGUACAUGGGAAGGACAAAUAAAGCUUUGGAAUGCAAACAAAGGCACCCUGUGAUGAUGGAACAUCGAAGAGGGGGGACCUAUAUUUCGAAUCAGGUAAGGAUGCAUGCAUGUCAGCUAACGUUAAAACAUUGUACAUAUUUUUUAUUUUGUUGCAGGAAAAAUCCUCAAUGUAGUUUAGCAAGAUUGGGGACCAAAAAAAAGAGAGAGAGAAAACAAAAAAGGAGAAUCAUUGAGCUGAUAAUGACAGAGAAUCAUGUUGUGACCUUGGAACGGGAAGAAGAUGAGAUAAGCCUUUUUGUUAGGAAAAUCUCAAAGAAAUGAAAAGAUCAACCUUGCAAUCAGGAAGCAUCGAGUUUUCAAACCCUGCGAUCUAGAAUUAUCAAGAAGCACCAAGUUUUCCGGCCCUUCUUCUAUCAUCCCUUCAGGACUCCGCCAGGUAAGUCCCAUUUUUCACACUUGUCACAUCACAUCUUUUAUUUGGGUAGGUCACCCAUAACAAUGAGACCAAUUCAUAUUUUUUAUAUCCUCCGCCUGGGUAGGUCACCCAUAACAAUGAGACCACUUCACAUUUUUUCUAUCCUCCACCUGGGUAGGUCACCCAUUACAAUGAGACCACUUCAUAUUUUUUCUAUCGUCCACUUGGGUAGGUCACCCAUAACAAUGAGACCACUUCACAUUUUUUCUAUCCUCCACCUGGGUAGGUCACCCAUAACAAUGAGACCACUUCACAUUUUUUCUAUCCUCCACCUGGGUAGGUCACCCAUAACAAUGAGACCACUUCAUAUUUUUUCUAUCCUCCACCUGGGUAGGUCACCCAUUACAAUGAGACCACUUCAUAUUUUUUCUAUCUUCCACCUGGGUAGGUCACCCAUUAUAAUGAGACCGCACUUCACAUUCUUUCCAUUUGGGUAGGUCACCCAUCAUAAUGAGACCGUUUUCCACAUUAUUUUUCUUGGGUAGGUCACCCAUACAAUGAGACCAUCAUUUUUCUUGGGUUCGUCACCCAUACAAUGAGACCAUCAUUUUUCUUGGGUUCGUCACCCAUACAAUGAGACCAUCAUUUUUCUUGGGUUCGUCACCCAUACAAUGAGACCAUCAUUUUUCUUGGGUUAGUCACCCAUACAAUGAGACCAUCAUUUUUCUUGGGUUCGUCACCCAUACAAUGAGACCAUCAUUUUUCUUGGGUUCGUCACCCAUACAAUGAGACCAUUUGUUCCACAUUCUUUGUUUUGGUUUAAUGAGGUCGCCAGAUGGGAUCUCAUGUAGCUUUGGUUAAAGGGAAUCGCCAGAUGGGAUUUCAGGUUGACCGAGUUACGUAACAUCUUUUAGUUUUGGUUUAAUGAGGUCGCCAGAUGGAUCUCAUGUAGCUUUGGUUAAAGGGAAUCGCCAGAUGGGAUUUCAGGUUGACCGAGCUACCACACAUUUUUUAGUUCCAGUUGAAUGAGGUUGCCAGAUGGAAUCUCAUGUAGCUUUGGUUAAAGGGAACCGCCAGAUGGGAUUUCAGGUUGACCGAGCUACACACAUUUUUUAAGUUCCAGUUGAAUGAGGUCGCCAGAUGGGAUCUCAUGUAGCUUUGGUUAAAGGGAAUCGCCAGAUGGGAUUUCAGGUUGACCGAGCUACCAUAUUUUUUAGUUCCAGUUGAAUGAGGUCGCCAGAUGGGAUCUCAUGUAGCUUUGGUUAAAGGGAAUCGCCAGAUGGGAUUUCAGGUUGACCGAGCUACACAUAUUGUUUUUAGUUUUGGUUUAAUGAGGUCGCCAGAUGGGAUCUCAUGUUGGUUCUGGUUAAAGGGGAUCGCCGGACGGGAUCUCAGGUUAGCCCAACCACACAGGAUUUGGUUCUGGUUAAAGGGGAUCGUCGGACGCGAUCUCAGGUUAGCCCAACCACGCAGAUUUUGGUUUUGGUUCAAGGAGAUCGCCCGAUGGGAUCUCACAGAAAAAAAAAAGGAAAAAAAAAAGAAAGAAACAUUUAGAGUUUUUCUUUACAAAGCUUACUAUGCGAAACAUUGAGGAGUUUUGCUUCGUAAGCAUUGUAAAUAGGGGCAUCUGUUGCUACCCAAUUUUUGACCCAUGUUUUGAUAAAUUUUCAGAAAAAUCCAAAAAUAGCGAAAAACAUUGAAAAUCCAAAAAAAUACGUUUUUAAUACAUUUGCAUCGUUUUUUAGCAUUUUUAGCAUCGUCUCAAAAGAAUUUAAAUUUUCAAAGAUAUUUGGAACACUUUCAACUUUUCACGCGUCAUUUUUAAAAUCAUUGAUUUCCCGCAUUGCGUCGAUGUUGAUAUUUGCUCGCUUUCAAAAAUACAAAAAAAAUAAGAAAAAUCAAAAUUUACAAAAAAAGAGGAAAAGAGAAGGAAAGGAAAAGUUGAGGGACUAGUUUGAAAACCUAGCAAAACUUUUCCUAUAAAUACCAAGCUACACUGGUUUUUAAAGGGGGGGCAAUUUUGACAACAUAAAAAAAAUACAAAAAAAACCUAACCCUAAAAAACUUAAUCUUCUUCUUCCUGCAGCCGCCCCCCGGUUGAAAAUUUUCUCCCCUCUCUCAGCCGCACAUAACCCCCCGGUGGUCUCCAUUUUUCCCUCAAACCGGCGCCAUCCUUUCUUCCUUCUACCACACCGCCGGUCCCUCUCUGUCUCCCUUCCUCACACACUGCCAAGCUGGCCAUUACAACUCAAACAACCCACAUCAACCUCCCACAGAGCAGCCGUCCCAACUCAGCUUCUUUUCCCUCUCAGUUGCAGGAGCAAGAGACGAACGGAGUGGAGACCCAGCUCCCUCCUCACUUCGCCUCAGCAGCAGCGUCUCCUCAUCACAGCGCCGCCGUCUCUAGCUCCUUCUCCACGCACGGCUACUGUUGUAACCCAUUUUUGGGUCCCCACAAAAUAUAUAUAAAAAUACAUAGCCAAAGGAGGUUAGAAAAAUAACAGGAGGCAGAAGCACUCAGAAAGUGGUUGGAAAAUUGGGCAAUGAGGGUAAAAAUACAAAGAUUGGAUUUUUGACAGUAUAGUCUUGAAGGAGGAGAGCCCUGUUGAGAAGGAAAAUUUGAAAUUUGAGGAGAAAAGCCCAAAUUUAGAUGUUUAUGGGCUUAAUUUGAUUUUUAAAUGAAUUUAUAGGGGAUUUGAUUGCAAGAAAAAUUGAUUUUUAAGUCAAUUUGGGUUUUAAUUAGAAGAAAUUUAAGUUCUGGGGCCAAAAUAUAAUUUUUAGGAAUUUAUUAGGUCAAAUCAGGGGCCUAAUUGCAUAAAUAUUGAAGUUUAAGGGCCAAUUGGGGACUUAAUUAAGAAAAUUCGAAACCAGGGACCAAAUUGGAAGAGACGCGUAAAUGGAGGGGCUGUAAUUAAUUGAUUCAGGGGCCUAAUUGAAGAAAUUAGAAGUUUUUUUGAUCAAUUAAGGGCUCAAUUGCAUAAAUCAGAGGCCAAGGACUAAAGUGAAAAACGCGGCCAACAAGAGGGGCGGAGACCGAAAUUGGCAGGGAUGCAAUUGAAGAACAAAAAAGAUGAUUGAGGGCUGAUUUGAAAUUUGGCGCGUUUUGGCGCCACAUUUAAAUGAAACGGAGCUUUUUCUCCAAAACGACGCCGUUUCAUACAUUCAAGAAAAAAAAAAAAAAAAGAGAAAGAGCAGAACGGUGUCGUUUUGAACGACACUGUUCAUCUUCUUCCCCCCGAUCACGCAGCGGGGAGGAAGGAAAAGUGAAGCUUUUUUUUGAAUUUUUGCCGGCCACUCUCUCGCCUGGAGCCCACCGACCGGACACAAUGGCCGACCACCCACCGCGCACCACCCACCGAACCUUGGCAGUCGCACCAAUGGCCGACCAGCCGUUUGCUCCCCAUGAGAGCAGUACAAAGCCACGCCUUUGGCUCUAUAAAUAGGACCCCAAGAGCGCUGGUGGACGGAGAGGAAGGAGAGGACAGAGGGGGAAGAGAAAAAAAGAGAAAAACAGAGGAGAGACGGGGAGAAAAAACGAAAAAAACAGAGGAGAGAGAGAGGAAGAGGUAGAACGAAGGAGAGAGAAGGAAAAGAGGGGAACGAAAAAACAGAGAAGAGGAACGGGAAGAGAGGAAGAAUCAACCCGAAAACAAAAGAAAAAAAAAGCAAACCGAAAAAAACAAAGAGAAAAGGAGCAACGGAGAGAACGAACCAAACCGUCGGAAACAGUCGCAGCGCCACCAGCCUCCGCCACAGCGCCGCCAGAAACGCAGCAAGCCACCGCCUCCUCCGCGCCAGGUAACCCCUUCUUCCCCCCCUGUUCUGGCGUUUACGUUUUUUUUUCCUUCUCUGCAUGCAGAACGAAUAGCGUUCUGCAUGCAGAGGUGGGGGGGAAAUUAAUUCCCCCCCCGCCCGUUUUGAUCUGGGCCGGCCGGAUCCGGCCCAGUCCUGCCUUAUGGGCCGGAUCUGGCCCAGCCCUGUCUUCUGGGCCGGGUCUGGCCCAGAAGAGAAUAUUUAUUUUUUUGGGCCGAGAUCGGCCCAAUCCAUUUUGGGCCGAAAUCGGCCCAACAAUUUUGGGCUGAGUCCGGCCCAGUCGGUUGGGCCGGACCAGCCCAGCCCAUUUAGUAUUAUAUAUAUAUAUAUAUAUAUAUAUAUAUAUAUUAUAUUUUGUAUUAUUUAUAUAUAUAUAUAUAUAUAUAUAUAUGAAAAAAAAUUAUAAAAAUUUUACAAAAAUUAUAAAAAAAAUAUAUGUGAUUUUGCUGUAAUUUUAUUACUGUAUUUUGAUUAAUAUCGGUUGGUAUUUUUAUACUGUAAAGAUACAAAUCCGGUAUUAACAUACCCGGUUUUCAUCAAAACAUCAAAGAUUUCAAAAAUAAAAAAUAUCUUUUGCUUUCAAAAAUUUCUAAAAUAUCUUUAAAAAUAUUGUUGAUUUUUCUGCAUUUGCUUUAUCAAAGUGGAUUAAUAUUUGGUUGUAUUUUUAUACAGUAAGGAUACAAACCCAGUAUUAAAAUACCCGACUUGCGUCAAAACGUAUAAAAUACAUAUUUAAAAAAUGUUUUGUUUUAAAAUACGGCCUAGUCUCUCCAAUAUAUAUAUAUAAAUAUUAUAACAUCAUCUUUUUCAUAUAACAAAGAAAAUUUCAAAACAAUAUAUGUAUUAACAUGCAUUUUGGCUUCAAUAACCAGUUUAUUCAAGCCAUGAGAACUAGGCCAAUAUUUUAAAAAUUCUAAAAAUAUUUUUGUCCUCUUUUAGUAUUUGGGAUUACGAAUUUAUACGUAAAACGUAUUCUUGAUAUUAAAAAUAUGUUUUUUUAGACAUUAGAACGGUUAAGCUUUACCCGAUAAGAUAAGGACCUCCUUAUUGAGGAGGACUUUUCUUGAACCAUAGACGGACUAACAAUUAGGAAACACAACGAAACCCUGAAUUUUAUCAGACAAAUAAACCAUGCAGCUUACCUUAGGUAGGGCGUAUUUGGGGUGCUAAUACCUUCCCUUUACGCAACCAGUCCCCGUACCCAAUCUCUGAGACCAGUUAGGGUUCCUAGUGACCAAAAUACUAGGUGGCGACUCCCAUUCCAUUAUCCACCAAUAAAAGACUAGAUUUUCUUAUCCCUCGUAUUGGCCACAUAAAUAAAGAUAUAUACCAUAUACACUUCCUAUCCUUUUUUUAAAAAAAGUGGAAUACUCGCCGCGACGCCGCGCACCCGCGACAGCUACACCCAACCGAGACCCAGCUCCUCCAUAUCAACGGAUCCUCUUCUCCUUCGGUCUCCUCGUCGCCUCCUUCUUCGGCUGAGCAGUGCCGGCUCCAGCCUCCCCCUUAGCAGUGGCCGCGGCAGCAGCAACCCACCGCCGGGUCUCCCUCAACCGACCCAGCAGCUGCUCCCACUCCAGCUUUCCCAGACCGUCUUGUUCUCUUUUUCUUCCAGCGGCGGCGGCAGCAGCCAGCCACCUCGUCGCCUCCUUCAAUCAGCGUCGCCGACCGGACAAACGCUCCCUCUCUCCACCGCAGCUCCAACAACUACAGACGACAACCGUGCCAGAUCUGUCACCGGAGCAAACCAUAACUAAAAAAAGGAAUUAAGAACAUAUCCGAAAACAGUUAAAGAAAAACUAAAAUCGACUGUGUUGUUGCGAUUUUUGUUUGUUAUUGCAGGUGAUUGUGUUCCUCACAACCAGCAAGGAAGGGAAGGGGAGAAGAAGCUGAGCCAGAUCAUCCACUUCUCGUUUUCUUCCUGCGGCGGCGCGUGAGUCCACGCGCCGCCAGUAACGGUGGCGCGUGGGAAGACGCGCCGCCACUGUUCCUGCGGUGCAGAAGGGCUUCCCUGUAAUUUCUGGAUUUUUAGGGACUGUUUUUGUAAUUUUUAGGAUUAUGUUAUUGUAAUAUUAUUGUAAUUUUUGUUUAGUUUGUUUAGAAAUUGUAUUUUGUAUUGUGGAUGUAAAAACAAAAGGAACAAAAGAAAGGAAAAGAAAAGAAAAGAAACAAAAAUAUAGUAAGAGUGAAUGUGUGUGUGUUUGUAUUUUUUUUUUUUAUAUAUAUAUAUUUUUUAUGAUAAAAUUGCAAAGAUUAAAGAAGAAUUUAAUAUUUUGAUUGGAUCACGGUUAAGAAUUAUUAACUUAUACGUAAGUUGUAUUUCUAAUAUCCGAUGAAAAAACAAUUAUUAAAACUUCUUUAAACACAUUAAAUUCGCGAAGCAGCUUACCUCAGGUAGGGUGCGUUAGGGGUGCUAAUACCUUCCCUAACCACAACCAGUCCCUUACCCGCGAAUCUCUGAUAAGACCAGUACAUCCGGUUUCCUAGUAGCCUUAAAUAAAUUACUAGGUGGCGACUCCAAUGAACCAAUUCAAAUCAAACAUAACAACAGAUAAAAUCGCCAGCCGAUGCCGCGCGGAUUUUUUAUGACGUGCGACAAAUAUAUUCAAGUCUCAUAAUAUCAAUUAAUAAGUCAACAUAAAAGAAUUACUAAAACAAAUUGAAAGAUAAACAAUUUCAUCACUAAAGAGUAAUAAAUGCUAACUAACUACAUAUAUGCAUUUAGACUAAAUGAAUACAAUAUUAAGAUUAAGAGUCACAUUGUCUUAAAACAUCCAAUGUAUUCUAUUACUUUAUAUUAUAAACUAAUCUUAUCAUUCUGAAAAUGAUUUAGCCAUACUAACAUCUAUACAUAUAUAUAAUACAUUCAUUACAUACUACACAUCUUCUAUUUGAUUUUUACAAUACGAAGGUAAUACAAUCAUUACAUACUACACAUCUUCUAUCUGAUUUUGACAACACAAGGGUUUUCAAAGAAAAUAAAGACAUAAAUAUUACAUUCCAAAAUGAUAAUUCAUAAACAGAAAAACCACAUUAAUUAAUUUACCCAAUAUCUUAGUCAUAUAUUAAUUAUUUUACCCUUAACCUCUGAAAUUUUAUACUUCUAACUUCAUUCAAUUAAUUUACAUAAUUUUUUCAAAACUUAAAUAUUCAGCUAACUCAUCUCGAUUGCCAAUAAUUCUAACACUUUCAUAUAAUUACCCACAAAUUUCGUUAUCCUUCCUCAGUUACUAAUAAAUCCGAUAAUUCCAUCUUAACGGCUCUCUCUUGAACGGCUUUCAUGCUUUGACAAAUCCACUUGUAUGCAAUUGCUCAAUGUAUUUCAACCUUGUCUAAGAAGUUAUACUAAAACACGUAAGUUAUCAUUCUUUUAAUGAAAGUUUUUUCAAACUUGUAUACAUCACCACUUUUCCGUAUUGAACUUUUUUUAUUACAAAUAAUAGAGAUUGUAUGGGAACUUGAAGAAUGGGAUAUGGUAUCAAUCUAAUCAAUGAUCAUUUAUUCAUUAAAUCGAAAUUGAAAACCAAGUUCUGCUCAUCACAUGCUACCAGUUGUUGACGUCAUUUUCUGCCACGCAUUGUCGCAGCUGAGCAACUCGUCACAACUAUCCCAAUAGCUUCUCCAUGUAACCAAAAACCCCACCGUGAACACCAGGUCUCUUCAGAAUGUUUAGAAACGGUAGAGAGAGCUGAAAGAGAGAAGAAUAAAAGAGAAGAGGACUGACCUUUGAUCGAGCAGAUCUCUACCUUUAGACAUCCGUUUGUCUCACCGUCAGUCUAAGAGCAAAGAGAAGACUUGUUUCAGAUCCGACAGCACACGCUCUUCCACCGGUAGUGGCGCGUGAAUCCACGUGCCGGAAGUGGUGGUGUCAUGUGGUACACACGCUGCCACUUAUUCUAGUAAUCUUCUAGUGUCUAUUGCAAUAUACCUUGACAUGUUAAACACAAAGAAAUGUCGAUUCAUAACCUUAAAAUAUUUUUUUGGACAAAUUGCUAUAAUGUUGUGAAAUUUUGGGAAAAAAUGCUUAUUUUGUGUUUUUUUUUCGGAUUGUUGGACACUUUUAAUUUGGAUUGAUGUGUGUUAUUGUUUUGAAAUAAUUUGAAUAUUUGUAGUGAAUUAUAAGUUUAUUUUUAGAUUGUUAUUGUUUUUUGGACAUUAAAUAUAUAUUGAUGCAUGAAUUAUGUUUGGGUUUAUGUUGAUUUGUUUGGAUUAAUAUGCAAUUUGAACAAAGUUUGUGAAAUUAAUAAGAUUCAUGUAGAUUUUUGUUGUUGCUCGACUUCAAGUUAAUGAAUGAUAUUUUGUUUUGAAUUAAUAUUAUGGUAAAAAUAGCCAUGAUAAAAAUAAUUUAUUUGUGUUUAAUUAAACAAUGUCUUCGUCCAUUUUCCAAAUCCUUGGAAGAUCAUCUUGUAAUUAAUUUUGAGUUCGCCAUAUUUUCCUACCAUUUUAAUAUUUGGAAUUGUGACCUACAUGCGAGGCGUUUUGAGUGUUUCAAACGAAUCGUUUUACCUUUUACAAAAACAAAAAAAAAAUCUCUUCUUUCAAAAAUACAAUCUUAUUUUAAAUAGCAUAUAGCCAAAUAAAUAAUCAUAUCUAGCUUAAAAAAUAGAAUACAUGGUGUGUUUUAGUAUUUUUAUACAGAAUUCAAAAAAAAAUAUUUGCAUUCAUUUUGGAUUUAAUAACUGGUAUAUUGAAUCCAUGAAAACUAUGUCAAUAUUUCAAUAAUCCAUAAAAAAUUUUAAUUCAUGAGAAUUGAUGGUCAAUAUUCUGGUAUAAAUGUUGGACCUACAAAUAGGCUGGUAUUUAAAUAUCAAGAGUUGACCAGAAAAUUCUUAUAAAUAUUUUAAAUAUUCACCAAUUUUAAUUGGAAGUAUUUUUCAUCACAAUACACGAGUUGUGAAAAAACCCUUCUACCUUCGAAGAUAGGUGAACCUUGUUAGGACACCUAUAUGGAUAUUUUUCAUAAGAAUUCAUUUGGGCAUAUGAGCCCAUAAUAAAUUAAAAAAAAACUGAUUUAUUUACAUGAAUAAAUCUUCAUCUUAAGCCCUAGACAUACCACUAUUUAGGAACCUAUCAAAGCCUUUAAACCACAUUCAAACCACACAAUGCAGCUUACCUCAGGUUUCGAUUCCUGCAAUCUAUUUAAGCACAAGGCAAUAGCAAAGCAAAUAUGCUAUUUAUUGUAAACCCCGGGAAAAAAUAAUAAAUAAAUAAAAGUGAAGAAAUUCAUGUAUAUGAUUAAAUAAAAACAGAAAUUCAGAAAUUUUUUAAUAUAAAUUUCCGGGCGAAAUAAUUCAAGACAUUAUAAUAAACCCGGUACUGUUGAGGGUUAGAUUUAAUUGAAGAGAAUAAUGCACUUAAAGGCAAAAGGGGGUCUAAAUAUAAAUAAGGGAAAAUAUAGAGUAUAAAUACUCUCUCCUCAACAAAAAAAUCUGUAAGAACCAUAAGGAGAGAAAAUAGGAGUUUUAUACCCAUUCUCGAGAAAUCAAGAGAGAAACACUAAAAUUUUAAGAACCCAUCCAAGAUUAAGAGCUUAAAGAUGGGAUAAACACUUGAGAGCAAGGAAUUACCAAGAAAUUGAACAAGAAGAAAAGACAGGAGGGGAAUUGAACAAGAAGAAAAGAAAAGAGGGAGUUCAGAAUCUUCAACUGGUUGAAGAUCAAAAUCUUAAUUUGUACCGGGUAAGGUAUUCUAAACAUGAUCUUAAAAAAAAAUUUAUUUUUAAAUUCGAUAAAGAAUUGAUGCCUUGAUAUUGAAUCAUAGGUUAGGGUUCUUAGACAUAAAUUGGGGAAAAAGUACUUAUUAUUGAUAUUAAGUUAAUUCAUGUGUGUGGUAUGUAACUUAUUAAAGUAUUGUGUGAAGGGAAGGGGGAGACGAGUCUAGACAGACUGGUCUCCUAACUUUCGAUGAGAUGUCGGGUAGGAGGAUGAGGGGAUUAGGAUCGGGUUCUUCAUAGAAAUUGUAGAUUUGAAUGUUAGCUAACCAAGGAAACUGGUCUUGCUCAAUUUGGAAAUGUAGAACUCCAGUUAUGGGUUACCAACUGAGACUGCGUCGUGACUGAUUUUGUAGGGCAGUAGGACUAAUUAGUAAAUGCACAAUUUUGACUAUCUUGGAGGCAAAACUGGGUUCUCCUCCCUCAGAGAACUAGUAGCCUCGUGUCUUAGCUUUCCAACGAGAUCAAUCUCAGUUAAAAUGGAGUUUUAGAACUUUAGAUAUAGUUAAAAAUCUGAUGAGUGUUCAGACAAUAACAGUUGGAAAUUGGAUAGUAACAGUUCAAAGUUACACAGUAAUAGUUGGAAAUUGGACAGUAACAGUUCAAAGUCAGACAAUAACGGUUGGAAAAGUCAGACAGUAACAGUUGGAAAAGUCAAAUAGUAACAGUUCAAAGUCAGACAGUAACGGUUGGAAAAGUCAAACAGUAACAGUUCAAAGUCAAACAGUAACAGUUCAAAGUCAGACAGUAACAGUUGAAAAUUGGACAGUAACAGUUCAAAAUUCGACAGUAACAGUUGGAAAUUGGACAGUAAACAGUUCAAAGUUAGACAGUAACAAUAGACUUUCAUGUGAAUACUAUAAAUAAGAAUAUAAAUGAAUUGAGUCAUACGAACACUUGUGUAUUGAGAUAUUAACUCUGAAAAUAUACAUGAUAUAUGUAUGUAUGUUAUUAUGAGGAAAUGAACAUGCAUAGAAAGUAACAUAUGAGUAAUGGAUGAAUAUAAAUUUUCUAUAAUAUCGGCUUGAAAGAAUCAUAACAAAAAAAAAAACUUCCUUGUGAUUCAGGAGGAGCAACCAGGAUCGGAUCUUCUGUUAGGGGAGGUCGCGAGACAGGCGAAGCAGGUGCGUGAUUUUCCCUCCUAUUUGCACUUAUACAAUUUAGAAUCCUUCUGGUGAAUGCAAUUAUAAUAAAUAUCGUGUUCAAUGUAAAUAAAGCCUAGUGUAUUUACAAGAUUAGCUUCGGCUAAUGGCAUCCAUGAUAGGAUUGCCGGGAAAUGAUUUACACGAUUAGCUUCGGCUAAUGGCAUCCGUGAUGGGAUUGCCGGGAUAUGAUUUACACGAUUAGCUUCGGCUAAUGGCAUCCGUGAUGGGAUUGCCGGGAUAUGAUUUACACGAUUAGCUUGCAAGGUCACCCAGUUUAUGCAAGUAAAUAAGAUUAUUCAAUUAAGAAUAUACAAAUGGGUGUUAAUUGGGUUUAAAAGAUUUACAAGCAAAAUAUAAGUUCUUUGUUAGAAUUCUCAUGGAUUCGAUAGAAAGUUAAUACUUCAUUCGUAUUCAUUACAUGAGCAUACAUAUAUUCUUUAUCAACAUAAUGGUAUGUUUAUUUAUGUAACAGGUCCAUCAAACAUCCAGGAAGAUCAUUAGUUUAGGACUCUACUUUGCGAAACUUAUGUAAAUAUUUAACUUAAAACAAAAGAGAAUUAACGUGUUUAUGUAGUAUACUUUUGUGCAAACCUUGAUGUAUUUAUAAAGGUUCAGCUUAGCAUGUAGUAUUUUAGUUAUCUUGUAAUUAACCCUUUUGAAAUAUUUAAGAACACUUCUUAUAUUGUAAAUACUUUCUUUGCAUGUUAGUAUUCCUUUUCCUUUAAAUUUUAUGAUAUAAUGUGUUGGACUAUGUUUAUAUUGAACUUACUCGUAGGAUAUAUAUAUAUAUUGUGUGGAUUGUAUGAGGUUUGAUAUAAGGUCCGGAAUUAAGGGACCUUGUGAUGAUGGGUCGUUUGAGUAAACUGAUAGUAGUCGAUAACUUGGGAUGUCCUAAAUGCAAACGAAACUCUGCCGAAUUUUUGGAAAAAAAAAAUUUACCCUCAAAUAAAGAGGAUAUGUUGGAAUCUUUUAACAUUGAUUGUGUCAGGACUAUUACAGUUGGUAUCAGAGGCCUGGUAUAGGUUCUGGGAAGAAAUCAAAAAAGGUUGUUGAUGUUCAUUAAUUUAUUGCAGGAUGGUACGUACCCGUCAAGAGAUUAGAACAGAUCUAUCCUCUGCAGGGAGGGGGAAUAGAAAUAUAGACUUUUCCGAGGGGCAAGAAGAGAGCCCUUUGGAAGAUACUGCUUCACAUGCACCGGUAGUAUCGACUCAAGCAAGGCAUGAAGAAUCGUUGGGGCCUCAAAUUAGAGAGGCACCAAGGCAAACUGGGGAUGUUCGGCCGACCACGUCAGCCCCGCGGGAAAGAGUAGAGGAGGCCCCUCAGACUACACCUGCAGGGCCAUCUGUUUCUUAUGUUGAUCCGAUGCUCUUGGCCCAGGUAGUCAAAACAGUAAUGGAAGGUAUGGCUAAUGCUGCCACUUCUAUGCCAGCACCCCCACCUGCACCCAUCAUACCAACCGUUUCAGAAGCAGCUACAGCUACUAAUGACGUGGUACAACUAGUUCGUUUGGUGAAAAGUAUGAGAGAAAUGGGUUGUGAACCCUACUUAGGUGAACAAAAUGCUAAAGUGGCGGGAAGGUGAAUUAGAAAGGUGGAGAAAACCAUGAUUCAAAUUAAGAUACCACAUGAUCUGCGGGUAGAUUGUGUUACUCAAUUACUAUCAGACAGUGCUAUGACUUGGUAGGAGACAGUUCAGUUGAGGAGGGCUACAGAAACCCUAUCCUGGGAUGACUUCAAGAUAGAGUUUGAGAAUCAAUAUUACUCCAAAUAUCAUCGGAAGAUGAAGGAACAAGAAUUCCUAGCUUUGAGACAGGAGGGAAUGUCAGUACUUGAGUAUGAGAGACGAUUUCAUGAUCUCUCACUAUUCGCACCACAUUAUGUCCCAUCAGAACAACACAUGAUAGAAAAGUUAAGGGAUGGCUUCAGACAAGAAUUGAAGCAGGGGUUGAUUGCUUUGCAAUUCAAGACAGUAAGGGAACUGAUUGAAGCAGCACAGGCCUUGGAGGCUUGUAUGGAAGAAGGCCAAUAGAGUCAUGGGGGUGCAGGAAAACGAAAGGAUAUGGAAUUUUUAGGCAGGCCACCACUUCCAAAGAAAGGUAGAGGCGAACAGUUCCUUCAAUUCAAAAAGAAAGGGGGGACGUCAACUAGCUUCCGACAGGAUAUCGGUGGGAGGUCGGGAAGUGGUCAGACCCGCUCCAGGGCUAUAGCUGCAAGGGGGCAUAAUGAUCAGAAGGAAAUUGGCUACCCUCGAUGUGCUAAGUGUGAACAAAGACACCCCAGGAGUUGUAUGGUUUCUCCAGGACGAUGCUAUAUAUGUCGAGGAGAAGGUCAUAAGUGGAAAACCUGUCAGUACUUAGGAAGAGGAUGUCAUCACUGUGGUGAGAAGGGUCACUUUAAAAGGGAAUGCCCCCAGUUAAACAGUGAACAGCCUCAGAGACAUAGGCAGCAAAGUCAGAGUCAUCAGCAGUCUAUCACAGUAAACAGACCGGGAAGGUCAACUCAGUCAGGAGCUAACUCAAAUAGGGGACGACCCAGAGUGCAAAAUGAAAGGGGUCAAGGAAGGGUUUUCCAUAUAACCCAGGAGGAUGUCAGAGCAGCAUCAGAUGUGGUGGCAGGUAUGCUGCAAAUGAAUGACUAUCAAAUGCAUGUUUUGUUUGAUUCUGGUGCCACUCACUCCUUUAUAGCAAAUAAAAAUGUAACCAAAUUGAGUAAGGAAACAAAAAGGGUAGAAAAAGGAUUUAUUAUUGGGACACCUUUGGGUGAAACUGUGGAAACAAAUGUUGUAUUGAAAGGGGUGGGAAUUAACAUUAAUGGGUGUGAACUAAAAGCAGAUUUAAUACCCCUAGAAUUAAGUGAUUUUGAAAUAAUUCUAGGUAUGAAUUGGUUGGGAAAAAAUAAGGCUCGUCUAGACUGCUUUACAAAAACAGUAACCUUCCAGGGGGCUAAGGGUGAAAUAAUGGUCUUUAAAGGGGAGAGAACUUCCAACUUUCCAAAUAUGAUCUCGGGCAUGGUUGCGAGAAAACUACUAAAGAAAGGUUGUACAACAUACCUUGCCUAUGUGAUAAAUUUAGAAAAGGGUAAAAUAGGACUGUCCGACAUUCCAAUUGUGAGGGAAUUUCCGGAUGUAUUUCUGGAAGAAUUGCCAGGACUACCCCCAGAAAGAGAAGUUGAAGUCACUCUAGAUAUAUUGCCUGGGGUGUCUCCUAUAGCCCAACCACCGUAUAGCAUGGCCCUAAAAGAAUUGGAUGAGUUGAAAAUUCAAUUGCAGGAGCUUUUAGACAAAGGGUUCAUACGACCAAGCAACUCACCUUGGGGGGCACCUGUAUUAUUUGUGAAGAAGAAGGAUGGAACGUUGAGGCUUUGCAUAGAUUACCGUCAACUGAAUAAAGUGACGGUAAAGAACAGAUAUCCACUUCCAUGAAUAGAUGAUUUGUUCGAUCAGUUGAAGGGUGCCAAAGUAUUCUCAAAGAUUGAUUUAAGAUCAGGAUACUACCAAAUGCGAAUCAAGGGGCAAGAUGUGCCGAAAACUGCCUUCAGAACUUGCUACGGACACUUUGAGUUCUUAGUGCUACCCUUUGGAUUAACUAAUGCUCCAACACUUUUUAUGGAUUUAAUGAACCGAGUAUUCCAACCAUACCUUGAUAAGUUUGUUGUCGUAUUCAUCGAUGACAUCUUGGUUUAUUCCAAAUCCUAUGAGGAGCAUGAACAACACCUGAGACAGACACUACAGACUCUGAGUGUAACAGCACGGCUUCUACAAGCCCAAAACAAUAGUAAUUUUUUUUUUUUGUACUUGACAUACAUCGUGUCGGUAAUCGGCGAACAUGUUCCCUUCACAUCAUCAAUAUAUAAUCCAUACAUCAACAACAAUCAACAUUUCAUUUAAAAGUGAAUCUUACAUAAACUUAUAAUAUUAUGUUUGCAUGAUUAGAAGUUCGCAUUUAAAAUAUACAUGCAUAGUCAUGAGUUUGUAUUCUAUCUUACAAAUAGUCAUCACGAAUUUAAUCUAAAAGGAUCUAAUAAUAGUUAUACAUUCAGUACAUUGAUUCAUAUAAAAUACAUCAUGAUUUAGAAUGCAACUACAUGAUUCCUUGCAAAAGUAGGUUCCCAUGUAUCGGGUUUCCUAGGCACCUUGUUGGUAUGGCGUCCCUACUGCAGUACAAAACAUUUACAAGAAUGCAAUUACUUAAUAAUAAUAAUAAUAAUAAUAAUAAUAACAACAAUAAGAAAAUGGUCUGGCAGUUUAACGAAGCAUUAACAUUAUCUCAUGUUUGAAGCGUGACAUUUGUAGUUCCUUCAUGUUCUUGGUAUACAUAACUUGCAGUAUAUAUAUAUAUACACCAAUUCUUGCAAUUAACUAUAAUCUUAAAUCCGGCCAUUCUUUUAAGACAUCAUUUGUCGAGGUUAACGAUUCACUCACCCCGGCCAUCCCCUUCGAAUUCCAUCAGCCAAUACUAAUCAACCGUUUGUCCUGGUCAUCCCUUUGGAUGCCAUUAGUCGAAGCUAAUCGUUCAUUUAUUCCGGUCAUCCAUUCGGAUGCUAUUAGCCGAAGCUAAUCAAUCGUUUGUCUCGGUCAUCCCUUCAGAUGCCAUUAACCAAAGCUAAUAAUUCAUUUGUCCUGGUCAUCCAUUCGGAUGCCAUUAGUCGAAGCUAAUCAAUCGUUUGUCCCGGUCAUCCCUUUGGAUGCCAUUAGCCGAAGCUAAUCAAUCAUUUGUCCCGGUCAUCCAUUCGGAUCCCAUUAGCCGAAGCUAAUCAUUCGUUUGUCCCGGUCAUCCCUUCGGAUGCCAUUAGCCGAAGCUAAUCAAUCAUUUGUCCCGGUCAUCCAUUCGGAUCCCAUUAGCCGAAGCUAAUCAUUCGUUUGUCCCGGUCAUCCCUUCGGAUGCCAUUAGCCGAAGCUAAUCAAUCGUUUGUCUCGGUCAUCCCUUCGGAUGCCAUUAGCCGAAGUUAAUCAUUUUUUUGUCCCGGUCAUCCAUUCAGAUGCCACUAACCGAAGCUAAUCAAUCGUUUGUCCCGGUCAUCCCUUCAGAUGCCAUUAGCCGAAGCUAAUCAUUCAUUUGUCCCGGUCAUUCAUUCGUAUGCCAUUAGCCGAAGCUAAUCAAUCAUUUGUCAACACUUAAGCAUUUGGCAAUCUGAUAUCUGAACUAACACAAUACGGCAACGUUCAUGAUAAGGUAUUUCAAUGUUCAAGGUCAUCUCUUCAGAUGCCUUUAGCUGAAGCUAAUCGUUCAUUUAUUAACAUUUAAGCAUUUGACAGUCUGGUAUCUGAAUUAACACAAUACAAUAAUAUUCAUGAUAAAGUAUUUUCAUUAUUCAACAUUAUUUAAAAGGAAGGUGAAAGUCACCUACCUGCAGUAGAAGCUCUACUUGUGCUCCCCUGUUGCUACUGUUGCACCACGCCAGUGGUCCCUCCUGCAGUCACAGACUCAUCUCAUAAAUUUUCCUCAUUCAAGGAUAUGUUUUAUAAUAAUCAUAUCAAUAGCUAAUAAAUCUUUCUUUCAAUCAUUUCUUUCUUUAUAUCUUACGUUUUUCUCAUUACACCCAUUAAUGUUGUCAUUCUUUAUCCAACCAUAGUUAUCAUUCCUUCAGGCCGAUAUUAUAGAGAAUUCAUAUUCAUCAAUUACUCAUAUGUUACUUUCUUAUGCAUGUUCAUUUCCUCAUAAUAACAUACAUACAUAUAUCAUGUAUAUUUUCAGAGUUAGUAUCUCAAUGUGCAAGUGUUUGUAUGACUCAAUUCCUUUAUAUAGUAUUCACGUGAAAGUCUACUGUUACUGUCUAACUUUGAACUGUUACUGUCCACUUUCCAACUGUUACUGUCUAACUUUGAGAUGUUACUGUUUGAUUUUGAGCUGUUACUGUUUGACUUUGAACUGUUACUGUCUGACUUUUCCAACCGUUACUGUCUGACUUUGAACUGUUACUGUUUGACUUUUUCAACCGUUACUGUUUGACUUUGAACUGUUACUGUUUGACUUUUCCAACUGUUACUGUUUGACUUUGAACUGUUACUGUUUGACUUUUCCAACCGUUACUGUUUGACUUUGAACUGUUACUGUUUGACUUUUCCAACCGUUACUGUUUCACUUUGAACUGUUACUGUCUAGACAUUUGAACUGUCAUUGUCUACACUUUGAACUGUUAUUAUCUAGACAUUUGAACUGUUACUGUCUACACUUUGAACUGUUACUGUCUAGACAUUUGAACUGUUAUUGUUUACACAUUGAACUGUUACUGUCCAACUGUUACUAUCUAGACAUUGAACUGUUACUGUCGGAACACUCAUCAGAUUUUUAACUAUAUCUAGACUUAUAGAACUCUGUUUCAAGCGAGAUUAGUCUCGUUGGAAAGCUAAUACACGAGGCUACAAGUUCUUUGAAGGAAGGAGAACCCAGUUCUGCCUUUGAGAUAGCCAAAAUUGCUCAUCAACAAACACUACCCUACAGGUUCUGUCAAGACCCAAUCUCGGUUGAUGACCCAUAGCUGGGGUUCUACAGCACCAUAUUGAGCAAGACCAAUUUAUUAGUUAGCUAACAUCCAAAACUACAAUUACUAUGAGAAACUUGAUCUUAAUUCUCUCAUCCUUCUACUCGAAUUCUCUCCAAAUGUUAGGAGACGAACCUUUCCAUUUACACACAACAUCCACAAUUUAACUCUUUUUCUAUCAUCUCAACCCCUGGUCAUAUCACAUAUCGUUUAAGACUGUAAAAAAAAGAAUAUCUUUAUAAGAGCCAAUUUAUCUUAUUUAUUUCAAUCUUCCCUCUUAACGUCAAAAUAAAACAUUCUUGUCGAUUUUACAAACUUUCCGAACAAUAUUCUUCUAAACACAAUCCUUGACACAGUUCCUAUAAACCAUAAAUAACAAACGAAUAAUAUUCCAAACAAUCUAUACUGUCAAGUUAUAAUGCAUUAUUAUGAGUAUAACAUAUCCAAAUAUUAACUUCAUCAAAUGGUGAAAUUUCCAGAAAUAUGGGUUUAACCGAACUGACCUCAAACUUGCAGACCUACUGUGCGAGAUAUACAACUUUUAUACCAAAUGUUUGUUUCAGAUCUCCACCAUUCAGAAUCUAGACAAAAUUAGGAAGAACAACAUAUCCAAGUUAUAGCCUAAUCCAACGGUAGCUGAAGGAGAAAACAGACAGCAAAGAAGACUGUCCAGAAGUGUAUUUUCCCAAAUAUUUUCCUCCCUCGAUAUCUCUCAAACGGGGACUGAUAUAUAAAAUCCCUACGGUGACAAUGUACACGACAUGGAUGAGAACAACAUACCCGAAUAUCGUGCUGAUCCAACGGUAGAAGGUGGAGUUAUAGCUGUCGGUUGAUUUACCAUCAAUAUAUCUUCUCUCCAGCCUCUCUCUAAACUCUCUCCUACUCUUGCCAGUCACUCCAAGAGAGAAAAUAGAAUGAUAUUUAUAGUUCUAACAUCUUGUUAAUUGCACAUUUAUCCCCACCUCUUUUUAUCAUUUAUACAUAAACUCCCAACCUUCUGUUAUUUGAAUAUUGACCUCUCUUGAUCUUACGUAUUCAUUUUGUCCUCACAAAUGUUUUUCUUUUCAAUGAUUUAGUACUAUAUUCACUUUUCAUGUCAUUAAUUUCACUAUUUUUAUCUUGAUUAGGUUUCUUUAAUUUAAUUUAACCCAUUUUACUAUUGGUUAAAUUUCUCAUCUUUUAAAUACCCAGAAAAAUUAUAACCGAGGGUUUACACUGAGGAGCCGCCAGUUGUAUGCCAAGUUGGAUAAAUGUGACUUCUGGUUAAAAGAAGUUACCUUUUUGGGGCAUGUAGUGUCUUCAAAAGGCAUUUUUGUGGACCUUUAGAAGGUGGAAGCAGUUUUGAGAUGGGAAAGGCCUACUACGGUAACUGAAAUACGUAGUUUUCUCGGAUUGGCAGGGUAUUAUAGAAGAUUUAUCGAAGGGUUUUCAACGAUAGCAACUCCAUUAACACGACUCACCAGGAAGAACAUAAGAUGGGAGUGGUCAAAGGAGUGCGAUGAGAGCUUUCAAGAAUUGAAGAGAAGGCUUACUACUGCCCCCGUACUAAUCCUUCCAUCCAGAAUAGAAGGCUUUGUAGUCUACAGUGAUGCCUCAAGAAAAGGACUGGGUUGUGUUCUAAUGCAGCAUGGAAAAGUAGUUGCCUAUGCAUCGAGACAACUGAAGACUCAUGAAGUCAACUAUCCAGUUCACGACUUAGAAUUGGCAGCAGUAGUUUUUGCUUUACGAGUAUAGAGGCACUACCUAUACGGAUCCCAGGUCCAAAUUUUCACGGAUCAUAAGAGCCUUAAAUAUCUAAUGUCGCAAAAGGAGUUGAAUAUGCGACAACGGAGAUGGGUAGAAUUAAUUAAAGACUACGACUGUAUUAUAGAUUAUCAUCCAGGAAAAGCGAAUGUCGUCACGGAUGCUCUCAGCCGUAAAGACAAAGUGAUUAGGAGUGGACCAACGACUUGGAAUGAGGAAACCAUGAUUGAGCUAAAGAGAUUGGGGGCAAUAUUAGGUGUGAGUCUGGAAGGAUCCUUAAUGGCUCAACUAAGGGUGAAGUCAGGAUAUCGAGAGCAAAUAUUAGAGGCAUAGCAACAUGAUGAUGAGGUGUUAAAAGUGAGAAUCAAACUGGAAUCGGGGGGUGAAACUCUUUUUCCAAUGGGUGAUGAUGGAAUAGUGAUGUUGGGGCGACGUAUGUAUGUGCCCAAAAAGACCGGAAUCACAUUGGUGAAAAACAAAAAUGAUGAGCUCAUUCCUACUCGCAUCUCGAGUGGAUGGAGAAUGUAUGUUGAUUACAGAAAGCUCAAUCUUUCUACACGCAAAGAUCAUUUCCCAUUACCAUUCAUGGAUCAAAUGCUUGAACGCCUAGCAGGUAAGUCUUUUUAUUGCUAUUAAUCCUGAGGAUCAAGAAAAGACUACAUUUACAUGUCCAUUUGGUACAUAUGCAUAUAGGAGAAUGCCUUUCGGUCUCUGUAAUGCUCCUGCAACUUUUCAAAGAUGCAUGAUGAGUAUUUUUUCUGACUAUGUUGAAAGAAUAAUCGAGGUUUUUAUGGAUGAUUUCAUGGUGUAUGGUGAUUCUUUUGAUAAAUGUCUAGAAAAUUUAUCUUUAAUCUUGAAAAGGUGCAUUGAAACUAACCUUGUCUUGAACUAUGAAAAGUGUUAUUUUAUGGUAGAACAAGGAAUAGUUCUUGGGCAUGUUGUGUCUUCACGUGGAUUAGAGGUUGAUAAAGCUAAGAUAGAUGUUAUUUCAUCAUUGCCUUACCCCUCAUGCGUGAGGGAAGUUCGUUCUUUUCUAGGCCAUGCAGGUUUCUAUCGACGCUUUAUCAAAGAUUUCUCGAAGAUUACAGCACCCUUGUGCAAACUAUUAGCCAAAGAAGUGGAUUUUGUGUUUGAUCAAGCAUGUAAAGAUGCCCAUGAUGAGCUUAAGAGACGUGUCACAUCUGCCCCUAUCAUCCAACCACCAAAUUGGGAUGAACCUUUUGAGAUAAUGUGUGAUGCGAGUGACUAUGCGGUAGGAGCUGUGCUUGGGCAAAGAAUUAGGAAGAAUUUGCAUGUUAUCGCCUAUGCUUCUCGCAUGUUGGAUGGAGCACAAUGCAAUUACCAUACAACUGAAAAGGAACUUUUUGCAGUGGUGUUUGCUCUUGAAAAAUUUAGGUCAUAUCUACUUGGUACAAAAGUCAUUGUUUUUACUGACCAUGCAGCUCUCAGGUAUCUUUUGAAGAAGAAGGAGUCCAAACCAAGACUGAUUAGGUGAAUCUUGCUUUUACAAGAAUUCGAUCUUGAGAUCAAAGACAAAAAAGGUGUCGAAAACCAUGUGGCUGAUCACUUGAGCCGACUAAGGACCGAGGAUAUACAGAUCGAAACAAUAAGAGAGACAUUCCCUGAUGAGCAGUUGUAUAUGUUGCAUUCCUCUACAAGACCAUGGUAUGCUGAUUUGGUAAACUAUUUAGUCACCAAAGAAUUCCCUCCAGGUUUGUCUAAACCCCAAAAAGAUAAGUUACGAGCUGAUGCUAAAUAUUAUUUUUGGGACGAUCCUUACCUUUUGAAAUUUUGUGCGGAUCAAGUAGUUAGGAGGUGUGUACCACAAGAUGAAUUUCAUUCCAUUCUCACUUUUUGUCAUUCUCAUUCUUGUGGUGGGCAUUUUGGAGCAAAAAGAACAGCCCACAAGGUACUUGAAAGUGGUUUCUAUUGGCCUUCUAUUUUUAAAGAUGCAUAUCACUUCUGCAAAUCAUGUGAAAAAUGCCAAAGAACAGGUAAUAUCACUCAUAAGAAUCAAAUGCCUUUAACGAAUAUUCUUGUAAGUGAAAUUUUUGAUGUUUGGGGUAUUGACUUUAUGGGUCCAUUUCCUUCUUCAUUUGGCAAUCUUUAUAUUCUUCUUGCUGUUGAUUAUGUGUCCAAAUAGAUUGAGGCGAAAGCCACACGAACUAACGAUGCUAAGGUUGUUUUAGAUUUUGUCAGGACUCACAUAUUUGACAGGUUUGGAAUCCCUAAAGCUAUCAUUAGUGAUCGUGGCACUCAUUUCUGUAAUCGUUCCAUGGAAGCAUUGCUACACAAAUAUCAUGUGACUCAUCGAACUUCCACAGCAUAUCAUCCUCAAACGAAUGGCCAAGCUGAAAUUUCAAAUCGAGAAAUCAAGUCCAUUUUGGAGAAAACAGUGCAACCUAACCGGCGAGAUUGGAGUCUAUGUCUUGGAGAUGCACUUUGGGCUUAUCGGACUGCUUAUAAAUCACCUAUAGAAAUGUCACCUUAUAGAAUGAUUUAUGGGAAAGCAUGUCAUCUACCGGUGGAGCUUGAACACAAAACGUUUUGGGCCAUUAAACAAUGUAACAUGGAUUAUGAUGCUGCUGGGAUUGCAAGAAAACUACAACUGCAAGAGUUGGAAGAAAUUCGAAAUGAUGCUUACCAGAAUGCAAGGAUUUACAAAGAAAAGACUAAGAAUCUUCAUGACCGAAUGCUUACAAGAAAGGAGUUUCAUGUUGGAGACAAAGUCCUUCUUUAUCAUUCGCGUUUGAAACUUUUUCCUGGAAAAUUGCGCUCUCGUUUGAUUGGACCCUUUGUUGUUUCUAAUGUUUUUCCUUAUGGUGCAGUUGAAAUUACAAAUUUAGAAACCAACAAAGUACUCAAGGUCAAUGGGCAUCGUUUAAAACCUUUUUAUGAAGGUUGGACGGCAGAACUCACCGCUUCUGUAGAGUUAGCUGAACCAAUCUAUGAAGAAUGAACAUGCCACAUGUCAAGCCAAUGACAUAAAACAAAAGCGCUUACUGGGAGGCAACCCAGCACAAAAAAAAAUCAGAUUUGCUUUCUUUUUCCUUAUCUUUUAUUUUUUCGCAUUUUAAUUUAUUUUCUGUCAUUCUCUUCUGUUCCUUUGCUUUUAUUUCAACAUUGAGGACAAUGUUGUGUUUUAAGUGUGGGGGUAUUGGGAGAAUGUUGGUUUUCUAAUUUUGGUUUUCUUUGUUAUUUUUCAAAAAAAAUAAUUAUGUUUGAUCUUUUGAACUCCCAUUGGUUUUUGAGAAUAUGAGUAUUAUGUAUGAGAAUUAGUUGAGAUAGAUGAAGAUAUAAAUCAAAUGAAGGAGUAUGCAUGUAAAUUUUAAGGUUUAAUUGGUUUAGGGAUUGACUUUGAGAAUAUGCCAUGUUGACUUUAUAGUGUUAUACCAAUGCAAGCUUUUGAGCCUUCAACAUUAUAUUCUUUGAUUGUGCAUUCUUUCAAUGAUAUGUAUCUCUAGAACUUGCUUCAUAUCUUGUUGAGAUUACAUUCGCAUUACAUAUAUACAUGAAGAUGAUAAAGGCAUUAGAAAUUUUAACCACUUGAGCCAAAAAGCCAACCUAAAACAUAUUAUCCUUAGUGAACCCCUUUUGAGCUUGUUUAUCUUUUCUUUGCUUUAUCCAUGUAUAAGCCUUAACUUUUUAUAUGUUUUCCUUUUCCCUUGGCCAAGGAUUAGUAGAGCAUAUACUUAUGAUAUCUCAUGGAAUUAUGGUUGGAAAUUAUGUGAAAAGAAAGAAGAAGUGAUGCUUGAUGAAAAGAUGGGCAAAGUUGCCAAAGGUAAAAAAAAAAAAAAAAAAAAAAAGAACAAAGAAAAAGAAAAAAGUGUUCCUUUAUGUUCUUAAGAUUUUAUGUUGAAAAAGCUUGAAAUCAAAAGAAGAUAAACAUUGGUGAUUAAAGAUGGAAAAUUUAUGUGCUUUGAUGAAAUAUCUUGUUUGAAAUAUCAUUUUUUAGAAUGCUCUACUUUCUUUGGUUUGAACCUUUUCUUUUACUCUCUUUUACCUCACCUAAACCUUAGCCUUAAACACGAUAUUGCAUGUUUUAAAAUGUAUGUUGAUUCAUGCAUUGUUUGUAAUAUGUUAGUAAUGGAGAUGAGAUUGAAAAGCAAGCUUAUGGUAGAACAUAUUCAUUGAUUGAAUUUGAGAGAUUUAAACAUAUAAGCCUUAAACACGUGAGUGUUGGAGCGUAUAUCAAUGAGAGGGCCUAUCACUUUGGCAUGGCAUAGAUUUCAUUUAAAUCCCGACGAUAAAUUGAGUUUUGAAGUUUGCAUGUAAAUGAAUUCAUGAGAAUUAUACUAUUUAUCAUUCUUGAUUGUAUUCUUGUUUAUAAUGCAUAUAUUCUUGGACAUUGAUGGGAGAUUAAGAGAUUGAUCAUAGUUAUUUUCAAUUUAAUUUUAUUUAUCCUUUCUCGAGGACGAGCAAGAGCUAAGUGUGGGGGUAUUUGAUGUAACUAUAUUAUUCGAUAGUUUCACCCACAUCUACCUAAUGUUUUGUCCAUGUUUUAUAUAUAAAAUGCCUUGAUAUUCUUUGUUUUAUGUUUUGAAGGCACUUUUGGAUGAAAGAUGAAAAAGGGAGUAAAUUGGAGGUAAUUGGCAGAUUUGAUGUUCAGUCAAUGUUUUGUGCAGAGCGUGAGUUCUAGAGAUCGAAAUGAAGUGAUUCCAGUGGCACUAAAAAGCUAACAUUCAUACCUUUCUGGAAAUGUAAUGCAAGAAAAAUAAAAAGAGAAAGAUCAUGGAAAUCACAUCCUGCAAAGUCAAAUCUCGCAUUCUGCCAGUGUUGACCUUUGGCCAUUCAAAAUUUAAUAUCUGGAGCUACAGAAGUCCAAUUAAUUCAAACUCAAUUUUCGUGGAUUUAUGACUUAAAGACCUAUCAACGAUCCAAAUUUCAGCCAAAAAAGAUGUCAUAUGAGGGAGAUAUGAUUUUUCAAAGAUGACAACUGAAUUCUGCCAGCAAACAGGUUUCGUGAAGAAACAAGUCCAAAUUACAUUCCGAAGCAUCUAAACCGACAUCCAAGUUUUUAUAUCAGUAAUUUAGCUCCUCUAAGUCAGAGCUUGAAGAUUUCAUGCAAGGCUAUUUCUCCUUUUAGGAAAAAAUAGUUAUUGAAGUACUUAAAUGUAAACUGCCAACUCAAGGAAGGACUAUUUUGUAAAAUAGAGACUAGGGUUUCUUAGCAUAUAAAAAGAAAGAGAGAAGGAGGCAGCAGCCAGCAGAAAAGAGGGAGAGCAGAAGGAGGCAGCAGCCAGCAGAGAAUAAACACAAAUUCUCUCCUCUACAAACCCAAAAAAUCAUGCUCUUUUCAUUCUUUAGAAGUAGUUGUUCAAUAGUUAUGCAAGGCUAAGCUCUUUUCUUGGUUGCAAGGACACAACAAACCUUCGGAUUUGAAGAACCGUGAGAUUUAUUCUUCCUUUUAUUUUCAGUUUAUGUUAUGAAUGAGUAUGAUUGUUUUCCUAUGCAUAUUUCCUAUGAUUGUUUUUGAUGAUUGCUAGAGCGGACUCUAAGUUAUUGUUGUGAACAAUCUAUUGCUAAGUUUAAUAUCAUAACCGGAGUUGUGAUAUAUGAACUUGUGAAGCAACUAAGCUUGAUAAUUGUGGCGGAACUACGUUAUUGAACUUAGGGAGAACAUUUGAACAAAGUGACACAAGCUGCGGACAGCUUGUAUGUUAAUCUUGAUGAAAUUAUCUAGUUCUUAAAGCUACCAUUAAAUUGAAUCAUUAGUGCGGACACUUUGAUUGUUUGUUGGUUAGGAUUAGUUAUACAGUGGAUCCGUUAAUUAAUCAACGUUAAGAAAAGAUAAAUUUCAGAACAUAAACUGCAAUUUUCGUUUCAAGGAUCGGUUCUAAUUUCCGUUGGUGGAUGUGUGCUUGCGACCAAGGUUGGUUUUCUUGAUAAGUUUCGGUUUUAAUUGAUUUUGUUUGCUAGUUUAAUUGCUGCCAUAGUUUAGAUAAUCACAAACCAAAUCCCCCCAAUUACAUAACGUACAACAUAAAAAUUUGACUUGAAACUUCCUCGUGGGAUCGACCCCUUGCUUGCUCUAUACUAUCUUGUGUGCUUUAAGCUAGGGUAAUUAAUUUGUGCGACCGUGACAUCGCAACAAAAUGAAUUUGGGAAUAACCUAAAAAUGGAUUAUGACAAAUACCAAUAGUUUGAAAGAAAUUGUUUAACUUACAAUAUUCACCACACCAAUCAUUUUGAACAGAUUUAAUUUUGUGGGAAAACUGACGCUCAACAAACACUUAAAAACGUUGAAAUAUAGAAAACACAUCGGAUUGGGCAACAAGAGGAUAAUACCAUAAAUAUUUUGUAUGCGCAUCGAUAAAGAUAACAAAGUAACGAAAACCAUCAGAGGAAAACAUAGAAGCAGAGCCCCAAACAUCAAUGAAUAUUAAAUCAAGUGGAGCAGUAGUUUUAUUACCCGUAGGUCACAAUGAUAAACACAAAGAUUUGUCAAGCGGACAAGCUUCACAUUUAACAAGAGAGCGUCUAGAAGUACACGUUAUUUUAUUUUUGAAAACUAACAAAUUAAAAAUACAGGAAGUAGGAUGACCCAAUCGAUGAUGUCAGAGAUCAGCAGUCACAAAGAUGCAAGGAGACCAAUAAGCUUGAGGAAUAGUGGUGGCAGAAGACUUAGAGAGAGCAUAUAGACCAUCAUUGCUUUGACUAGAAAGGAGCACUGCUUUGGUGGUGAGAUCCUUUACAUAAAACACAGAGGCGUGAAAUUCAAAAUAAACAUUAUUAUCACGAUAAAUUUUUUGAACAAAUAGCAAUAGUUUGGUAAUACGAGGAACAUGGAGAAUGUAAAGGUGUGUUUAGGGGAAUGUAACAUGGUAUGCCUAAUAUGGGAUAUGGAAUGACCCUUACCAUCACCAACAUGCAAGUGAUCAUUACCAAGAUAGGUUGCAAAAUCAGUUAGAGUUGCAAAAUCAAGUGUAACAUGUUGGUUCACACCAGUAUCCGGGAACCAAAUAGGGGCAGGAACAGAGCCAACAGCAAGAGGAGUAGAGGGCUGGUGGCCACUGCUGUGAAACUAAGCACAUUGUGGGGCGGUAUGUCUAAAAGAGAAGCACAUUAUGGGGCGGUAUGUCCAAAGGAGAAGCACAUCUGACACUUGAUGUUCUGCUCAAAAGGUCGGUGAGGAGGCCACUGCCCAAAACUAGCAGAGGAGUGAAAACCAUGAAAAUCAGACCUGUGCUGGCUGCUAUAUCGGCUGCUCUUGGGGUGCUAGUUGCCGCGAGAACGACCUCUGUUGCGAUUGAAAUUAGGGCUGUGCUAAUGCUGGGCAAGAUGAACAGAGGGCAGAGGAGAUGGUGUGGGCAACAGAGGUGGAUUUGCAGCCAUGGAUGGAAGGGAAGUCUUAUGCAGAAACUCAUGAGUAAAAAGAUGACUAUGAAGGUCAAGUAUGAUAGCAGUUCUGCCUUGGUCACAAUACUAGUUACCAAGUCUUUAAACUUACCACGAAGACCAUGAAAUAUGUAGAGGUUGAAGUCUUCAAGAGAAAGGGGUCAACUAAAAGCAACCAGUUCAUCAAAUAAUGACUUCGCGUGCUGCAUAUAUUGAGCAACUAAGGCAUCGCCUUGCCAAAGAUCUUGAAAAGACCCAUGGAGUUGUAUGAUACAAGAAUUCGACGAAGAAGCGAGCACUUUCUCAAGAGUGCACCAAACACAAAAAGAAGUCUAACAUUUUACCAUAAGGUGCAGUACAUCCAUGGAGAGAGAGGGGGUAACACACUUAAAAUAAGCUAAUCCUAUUGCUUCCAACAAAGAAAGGAGGGGUUGAUUGCCAAAGAGGAACCAUCAAAACUAUCAAAAACAUAAGAGGGAGGACACAACAUUGAGCCAUCGACAAAGUGGAAAACACCUUGACCAAAGAUAUGGCUUUAUCUGCAUUCGCCAAUAGAGAUAAUUGGUGUUUGUAAGCUUCAAUGAAACCACUUGCUGAGUGUUGGAUAAUGCAAUGAUAGAAGGAGUUGAUGUCCCCAUGAUGUGAAGAGGGAAAACAGAAACAUGGGAGAAGGAACCAUGGUGCUGCUCUGCAAGUGAGGGCUGCUACUGGUGUGAGAAAGAACCAUCAGCAACAACUUUUGAUUGGCUAGCUGGCUUGGCUGCACCGCUAGUAUGGUGGGGGGAGAGGGUGGCAGCAGGAGUAGAGUCUAUAAGGAGAGGGAAGAAAUAGUUGUGAUUGUAGAAGGCUCUGAUACCAAGUUGAGAAUAAUUAGGAGGCUUAACCUAUUGGUUAGCUAGCCUUUUCUAUAUAUAUGUGUACGACAAUAUACAAUAGUAAUGGUGGAGAUUACAAUUUAAGAGUAUACCAAUAAUAUUUCCUAUAUAGGUACAUUCUAUAAUACACAACUAGACCAUUAUCCCUUAAACCCUACUCCUCUUAACCCAUCUCAACCACCACCACCCAUUAAAUAAAAAAAACAACCAACCAUCAUUUUCUCUUUACCAAAUUAAAGAAAUAGACCCAUUUCCUCAUCUCUCUCGGUCUCCACGCUAUCAGCCAUCACGAACACUAACAGCUCCAACCAAUAACAACCACUUCCAAGACUCCCCGUCCACCAUAACACCACCGUCAAAAUCCAACACUAGCAGCCUUUAACCUCUUAUUCAUUUUAUUUUUCUCUAACACAAGUACAGCCAAAACCACCAAAAAAGGUAUUAACUCCUUAUGGCAACACCUAACGUCUUUCAUCUAUGAUAGCAGCAGCAACCACCUGAAGAAGUAAAGAAAAGGCAAACUGAGAUGAAGAAAGAAUGAGAGAAUGAGAUCUAAAAAAAGAAAUAAAAGUAAAAGUUAUUGUUUGUGUGUUUUUUUUCUUUGUCUUGCAGGUCAGGUGACACUCACUGUUGGCACAAGAUGAAAGAGAAGAAGAUUAUGCUUCAGAUCCACCUUGUUUUCCAUCUCUCCAGCAGCAGCAGCGCGUGGUUCCAUGCGUUGUUAGUGGAAAUGGCACCUUGAUACAAGUGUCGCCACUAUUCCUCCAACCCUAAAAUCUUCUAGCACUAUUCCCGAACUCCAACUUCUCCAAAUUAGUUUUGACCUUUGGAAGGCCUACUUUGCAAUUUUUUUAAAUUAUUGUUAGAAAUUUAAAUUUUUUGUGUUUUGUAAACAUGUGUAAUUUUUAGAUGUGCAAGUAAGAUAUAGUAAAAAAGAGAAUGUAUGUGUGUGUUGCAUUUGUUUUAUUAGUUAUUUUCAUUUUGUCAUAGAAAAGAUAAAAAGAUAAAAAAGAAUUCAUUUUUCCAAAUGUUUUAAUUGCAUACGAACAAGUCCCUCAAAAAUACAAAAAUCAUGUUUUUGCUUAAAAAGUAUAUACAUGUGUGUGUGUGUGUGUGUUUUAACAAGUUUUUACAAAAUAUAUAUUUCCGAGCAUUUUGAAUUUAAUAACUAGUUUACUAAAUUCAUGAGAAUUUGGCCAAUAUUUCAAUAACCUUUAAAAUUUUAAUUCAUGAGAAUUAAUGGUCAAUAUUGUGGUAUAAAUGUUGGACCUGCAAGUAGACUAAUAAUUAAAUAUCAAGAAUUGACUAGAAAAUUCUCAGAAUUAUUCUAAAUAUUCAUCAAUUUUAAUUGGAAGUAUUUUUCACCACAACGCACGAAUUAUGGAAAACCCUUCCGCUUUUUAGGAUAGAUGAACCCUGUUAGGGCACUUACACGAAUCAUUUCUAUAAGAAUUCAUUUGGGCACACGAGCCCAUAAUAAAUUCGAAACGCCAGAUUUAUUCACAUGAAUAAACCCUAUCCUAAAACAUAGACAAGAUAACGGUUAGGAACCCAUCAAAACCUUUAAACCAUAUUUAAACCACACAAUGCAACUUACCUCAGGUAGGGUGCCCGAGGGGUGCUAAUGUCUUCCUUAGCCACUACCAAUCCCUUACACUUAGAAUCUCUUAUAAGGCCAGUAUACUCAGGUUUUCUAGCAACCCUAAACCAAACUACUAGGUUGCAAUUCCUUGACCCCGACACAAUCAUAGCAUAGAGACUUAGUUGUGGCUUUCCCUUUAGUUAAUAACAAUAGGAAAAUAGGUUUUGAUCCCACUUCAUGGCUACACUUGAUGAGAUUAAGAUUUAUCGUUUUUAUGAUCUUGGGACGAUAUAUAUCUCAUAUUAUAUGCCUCAGAUUCCUCAGGACUUUCUAUGAAAGACCAUUUUCUUUCAGGGGUACCCUAAAGAGGACUUAAAGAUUUCAGUUGUAUAUAUCCGAUAGCAGAGCAGAAAAACAAAAGUCUCUCGGAUAGCACCCAAUUUGUGGCAGUUUCAUGUCAUCAAAAGUUCACCGAAAGGCGAUGCUUGCAAUCGUUAUGUUUCAGAAGCAAUAAUAUUCUUGUCUAUCCUUCUAGGCUAAGAUGAAAUAUGGUGGAGGUUAAAGCACAUCUUAUGUUUGAUGGGUCCCAUUUAUAAUGAAGGUUUGGGAAAGAUCAAGAAAAGGUAUAUACUCAGAGCAUUUCCCAUUGUUUCCCUUUUUCUGUAAAAGAUAUGUGUAAAUCAAUGCUUCAAAGGGAGGCGUCCCCUUCUCAUUUUCAUAGGAGAUAAGAUAUUUAUACUAGAUACACUUGUUCACAUAUGUAGCUCGGAUUGGGAAUCAUGCUUUUCCUUAACUCUUCAUCGACUAUCAGCUUAGUUAAAGAUUUGUGAAGGAAAUUUUGGUUAUAGAAUUCACAAAUGAUCCAAUCAUGGUCAUGAUCGCUGAUGUUCUUAGAUAUAUUGUAAAUUUCUACUUUUUUUCCUAAGCUAUUGUUUUACCUUGAACUCCGUUUAUUCUUUCUUAAUCCAAGACGCUCCCCAUGGCUCAUCAUUUUAUCCCUGUGCUCAGGACAAUUCCAAAAUGAGGUGAUAAUUCUAAACUCGAAAUUAUUCAGUGAAAUCACACCUUGAAGAGCUUAAAAGCAUUUGAACAGCAAAUUAAUUAUGUAUUUUUCGUAAACAGACUAUAUAUAUGGCCUACCACAUAUUUUCAUGUACUAGUAAGACAUGUUUUGGCCCAAGAAAAAGCAUGAUCACGCAAGACCAGAGUAGUAAUUCUACAUGUUGUUUUCCAAUUAAAAACCACUCAGUAGUUAUUGGAGCAUUGGAUCUCCAAAAAUUAGGCUCAUGAGUUAUUAUUUGGGUUAAUUUUGUUAUUUUUUCUUAAUUUUGCAGAUUUUAUGUUAUUUCCCGUUAUGUUUUGGGAUUUUGAUUUUGUUUCCAAUCUUGGUCCAUUUUUCUAGCCUAUAAUAGGGAUUGUAAACCUCUCUAGGAGGUAGACUUGAUCACAUAAUAUUUUAGAAAUAAAAUAAGGUUUUGGGAUUCUUUUGUGUUUUAACAUAUUUCAGUUUAUCUUCUGUCUUUGCAUGCUUGCAGCUAGUUGAAGUUAAGGGAGAAGGAGUAUUGGAAAAUAUUAUGGAGGCUGUGAUAUGUGAUUAGCAGCACUCCCCUUCUGUAAUAUAUAUAUAGAUGUAGGGUUGUACAUGAUACUAACCAUGUAGUCUAAUACACAUGAUCAGAAACCUAUAUAAGGUAAAUACAAGAUAAAUAUAUAUACAUAAUAACAUUCCAUAAUAUGCCCCCUCAAGCUGAAGGAGGAGAAUCCACAUGAAGCUUGGACCGAAAAUAAGUGAAGGACGCAUGAGGAAGAGGUUUGGUAAGCACAUCAGCAAGUUGAUCCUGGGAGGAGAUGAACCGAACUGCAAUUUCCUUUUUAGCAACGCGAUCACGAACAAAAUGAUAAUCGACCUCAACAUGCUUAGUGCGAGCAUGAAAGAUAGGAUUAACAGACAAGUAGGUAGCACCCAAAUUAUCACACCAAAGGAUAGUCAUAGGAUCAGAGGAAAAAUGAAGAUCUGACAGCAGAGCCCGAAUCCACAAAAUCUCAGCGGUACCAUCCGCAAGAGCCUUAUAUUCCGCUUCAGUCGAUGAACGAGCCACUGUGCGUUGUUUUCCAGAUUUCCAAGAAAUAGGGGUGCUGCCGAGAUAUACCACGUAGCCACCGGUGGAUUUUCUGUCAUCAAGACUACCAGCCCAAUCAGCAUCUGUAAAACCAUGUAAGGAAAGAGAGGACCCCCGAGUGAUGUGUAGACCAUAAGAUGCCGUUCCUUGAAGGUACCGGACAAUUCUUUUAACAAGAGACCAAUGACCAUCGGUAGGCGAGUGCAUAAACUGACAGACUUUAUUUACAGCAUAACAUAUAUCCGGGCGAGUAAAAGUGAGAUACUGCAAAGCACCAACAAUCUGUCGAUAACGGGUAGGAUCAGAGUAUAGAGUAUCUGAGGUUUGCAAUAGCUUAGAUGAGGAUGAAGCAGGCGUGUCAGCAGCUUUACACAAAGACAUACCGGCUCGCCUAAUGAUAUCGAGAGUAUAUUUAUGCUGUGAGAGCAUAAGUCCCAUGGCAGUUUUGGUGACUUCAAUCCCCAAGAAAUAAUGCACAGAGCCUAAAUCCCUGAUUUUGAAUUCGGAAUUCAGUAAGAUAAUCAAGUGGCAUAACAGAGUUGAAUUGUUCCCAGUAAGCAGAAUGUCAUCCACAUACACAAGCAAGUAAAUGAGAUCAUGGCCAUCAGAGUAAAUAAACAUAGAGGUGUCAGCAGUAGAGGCACGAAAACCAAGAGAAAUGAGAUAAUCACUGAGUCUGGUAUACCAUGCCCGGGGAGCCUGUUUUAAACCAUAGAUAGAUUUAUGCAGGUGACAAACAUGAGAUGACAGAGUAGGGUGAGAAAAACUAGGUGGUUGCUCCAUAUACACCUCUUCUUGAAGAAUCCCAUUCAAGAACGCAUUGUGAACAUCAAGCUGAUGAAUAAACCACCCACGGGUCACAGCAAUAGUAAGUACUAACCUCACAGUCGCAGGCUUAACAACUGGACUGAAAGUCUCAAGGUAGUCUAUUCCUUCUUGUUGAGUGAACCCUCUAGCCACAAGACGGGCUUUAUACCUGUCAAUACUACCAUCCGCUCGCCGCUUGAUUUUAUAAACCCAGCGACUGCCAACAACAUUCAUAGAGGAACAAUAAGGAACUAGAGUCCACGUACCAUUUGAUUGCAAAGCCCGAAGCUCAUCUUGCAUAGCUUGCUGCCAUGCCGAAUGUUGAGAGGCGUCUUUGAACGUGAGAGGUUCAUGUUCAGGAGAAGAAGAACUCACGGUAGCAGGGGACUGAACAGGACAUAUAUUAGCAGAUGACGGAGAUACACUAAGAUGCGCCUGUUUGGGCCGGCGAGGACGAAGUGUCAUGUGGUGGCUGCGAGAGGAGUCAGCUGGCAAAGUUGAGGAACUAUGAGAAACCUGCUGAAGAUCAAAAUUAGAUAAAUCAACUACCAGAGGCAGGGCAGGAGGAGAGCCAGAGGAAGAGCUCGAUGUGGGACUGCCAGGAGGCCGAGAGGAAACCACAAUAGGAGAGGAGGCCGCUGACAAUGGGAUCACCGUACCUGGAGAAACAGACACCAUACUUGGAGAGUGAUCAGUAGUAGAGUAAGGUGGAGAUGAAGUAGAGGGACUGUUACUCAUGGGACAAGGUGGAGGAGAGGAGGCAACAGCCCUGUGAGCAAGCGUUGGAGAAGGUGGCAGAAAUAGGGUAGAUGGAGAAGGCAUGGGAGUAGGAAAAACGGUGAAGGCGGGGAGGGCUGUUUGUAGAGAUGGAGAAGGCAAGGCAGUUGUCUGUUCAGAACAUGCAAAAGGAAAUGUAUUUUCAUGAAAUUUAACAUGUCGUGCAAUAUACAUACGAGAUGAUGACAAAUCAAAACAACGAUAACCCAAAUGAGAGGAACUAUAGCCAAGAAAAACACAUGGUGAAGAGCGAAAAUCUAGUUUAUGUCGGUUAUAAGGACGAAGUAAAGGAAAACAUAGACACCCAAAAAUACGAAGAAAAUUGUAAUCAGGGGAAGAUUUAAACAAACGUUCAAAAGGUGUACAACCAUUUAGAACAGCAGUAGGCAUACGAUUUAUGAGAUAGACAGCUGUUUCAAAAGCAUAACUCCAAAAUUUUAACGGAGCCUUACACUGACCAAGAAGCGUAAGACCAGUUUCAACAAUAUGACGAUGACGACGCUCAACAGUACCAUUUUGUUCAUGCAUGUGAGGACAUAUUAGACGGUGAUGAAUGCCAAUGGUUUUAAAAUAUGUGUUUAACUUCCUAUAUUCACCACCCCAAUCUGUUUGGACGGAUUUAAUUUUGGUGGUGAAUUGUCGUUCAACAAGAGCUUGAAAUUGAAGAAAAAUUUUAAACACAUCAGACUUAGCGGCUAAAGGAAAAAACCAGAUAUACUUAGUAUAAGCAUCCACAAAAAUCACAAAAUACCGAUAACCAUCAGUAGAUAACAUAGGAGAAGGUCCCCAAACAUCACUGAAAACAAGCUCAAGAGGAGCACAAGUUUUAUGACCAGUAAGGCCUAACGACAGACGCGAUGCUUUUCCUAAAGGACAAGAUGAACAAUUAAAAUUAAAAACUCUUGAAGUACAUGCAACUUUAUUAUUUGAUACUAGAGACCCUAAAAUACGAGAGCUAGGAUGCCCAAGGCGACGAUGCCAAACAUCAGCAGUGGAGGACACAGACGUUGAUAGGAAAGCUUGAGGUACGGACGUUGCAGAAGACUUGGAUAAGACAUAUAGACCAUCGCUACUCUGACCGGAAAGGAGCACCUCCUUGGUUAUUAGAUCCUUAACAUAAAACACAGAUGAAUGAAAUUCAAAAAAUACAUUAUUCUCAAUGCAAAAUUUCUGAACAGACAAUAGCGGUUUUUUAAUAUGUGGUACAUGCAGAACAUUUGAUAGGAUAAAAGUGCGUUUAGGAGUAUAGAGUUUAGAUUGAGCAAUAUGUGAUAUAACCAGUCCCUUACCAUCACCGACAUGUAAUUGAUCACUGCCAAGAUAUGGCUUUGAACUCGUCAUACUAGCGAGGUCCGGUGUCACAUGCUGAUUAGCACCCGUAUCAGGAAACCAACCUGCAGAGGAGAGCUGAGGAUUCUGAAAUGCCAAGUUAGCAGUAGCCUGCAAAUGCUGUGAGGUAAAUUGAGAACAGUAUUUGGCUGAAUGCCCAAAACCAUAACACAAUUGACAUUUAACAUUUCGAAAAAUUUGGUUGGAGUUAGAAACUCCACGGGAAUACUGCUGCCAACCAGUCCCAGACUCACGGGAACCAUGAUGAAAACUAGACCCAGACAUCUGCUGCCAACCAGAUCCAGAGGUGCCAUGGUUACCACCACGGUAGCCUCUCCAUCCACCUCGAUGGCGCCCACGCCCACGAUAGGAAUGGCCAGAAGGACCACCAAAACUACCACGCUGAACUGAGAAUACUGAAGCUGUGGAAUGUGAAGGUGUGGGCAGCAGAGGUGCUGUCAUAGGAGAGCCAAGAGUGGAUUGAAGGGAGCUCUUAUUCAGGUAUUCGUGAGUGAGCAGGUAACUGUGAAGAUCAGAGUAUGAUAAGGGUUCUGCUCGUGUAGACAAACUGGUCACUAAGUCUUUGAAAUCACUGCGCAAACCCCGAAAUACAUAAAGAUUAAAAUCCUCUAAGGAGAGAGGCCGACCAGCAGCAGCCAACUCAUCAAAGAGAACCUUAGCUCGCUGCAGAUAAGUGCUAACUGAAUCAUCUCCCUGACGCAAAUCCUGAAAGGAACCAUGUAACUGCAUAAUCCUUGAAUGUGACGGUGAAGCAAAGGAUUUUUCAAGUGUCUGCCAUAUGCUAUGAGAUGUGUCACAGUCAACCACAAGAUGUAGAAUUUCAGUAGAUAAAGAAGAGAGGAGUGCACUCAUAAUUAACUGGUCUUGUUGCUUCCAUGAGAGAAAGAAUGGGUUUAUACCAGGAGCUGCUGUAUCGGUGGCAGUAACAUAGGGUGCAGGACAAGGAUAAGAUCCAUCAACAAAAGCAUACACACCCUGACCCAACAAAUAUGGUUUUAUUUGCAUUCUCCAGUACAAAUAGUUAUUGGUGGUCAGUUUCAAGGAGAUAACCUGAUGAGUAUUUGAGAGAGGGACUACAGCAGCACCAUGAAGAUGUGUGUUGGGAACAAUUGAUGCUGCAGAGGGGAGUCCUGGCAGUACCGAAACAAUUGGUGUAGAGGAAGGUAUUGCUGCCAUUGUUAGAGGAAAGCUGCAACCAAUAGAAGGAAUAGAUGCAGACGCAAAAAAUCCAGGAGGAGCCAUUGAAAAACCUGACGCAGGUUGCAUAAGUGAAGAAUUGGCAGGGAGAACAGGGAAUGCUGCAGCUGGCAUGUUUGUUGUAAGAAGAGAGGAAGAUUGAGCUGUAGUAGAAUCCAUGAGAAGAAGAGGGAGGCGCCGAUGGAAGCUCUUUUGAAUAUAAUGCUCUGAUACCAAGUUGAAGUUAAGGGAGAAGGAGUAUUGGAAAAUAUUAUGGAGGCUGUGAUAUGUGAUUAGCAGCACUCCCCUUCUGUAAUAUAUAUAUAGAUGUAGGGUUGUACAUGAUACUAACCAUGUAGUCUAAUACACAUGAUCAGAAACCUAUAUAAGGUAAAUACAAGAUAAAUAUAUAUACAUAAUAACAUUCCAUAAUACAGCUAUAUUGUUGUGCUUCCCACUGCAUUAAUCUUUCAAUAUUUCAUGCUAAGUAAUAGGUGAAUAAAGUGAUAAUCAGGGAAGCAGAGAGAUAUUUAUGACAAUGCAUGCUUGACCAGCCAAAUAGAAAAUUAUGAUAUAUAAAUCACAGAAAUUUUAUUUGAAGUAAGAAAAAGCUCCUGACUCGAGUUCUAGCAACCUCUCCUCGUCUACGUUUAGCAGAGGGAGAAUAUCGUACAGGACUAAAGGUAACACAACUGGAGGAGGUUAUGCAUACAAGAAAGCUAACUGAUUAAUCGCUAGGUCUUUAAAACGGAACUGGUUUCCCCUUAGGAUAAUCGACAUAAACCCUCCCCUUGUAGCGUUGAGCUGCCUCGUUGCUGUCGAUAACUUCUGUUGCAUAGUAAUAUGUGGGAUGAGUAUAGGGAACCUUCAUAACUGGUGGCCGCCUCUUGGCCCGGCCGAAGUGCUCAUCAAUGGCUGCAAAACCCUCCUGUCCAAUCUUAACAAGACGAUCUGCCUGACGUGCCAUGUUAACUACAAUUAAUCAACACACAAAGACAAGUAGAUGUAUAUAGGUUUUCUUGGUUUUCUUGCUUUGACUAAUAUGUAGGAGGCCAAGCCAACCUUUAUAUAGAAAGGAAAGGUUUGGUUGACAACAGCUGUGAAAUGAAUAAUGUUAGACAGUACUCCUUUUUGUAAUAAAAGCACCCAACAUUUGUGUACGAUAAUACUAACCAUUGCAGAGAGAAAAAUCAAUAGAUUUUCUUCAUCUUAUCACUACUGACGAUAAAACCACAAUAAAAUGAAAAAAAAAAUCAUCAAAAGUUUAUCAAUAUCUUAAAAUACAAAAAAAAAUAAAACUAUUAUAUUUGGAUGUUUUCAAUACUUAAUAAAUUUUAUAUAUAAGAAAAUUUUACUGGUUUUUUUUGUCGUCCGAUGACCAUCGAGGACAAAACCAUCACCAAGAGUUUAUUAUUAUCGACUUUGGAUUAGAAUUGAAUGUUCUAAAUACUUUGUAAAUUGAAAAAUAAGGAACGCAAACAUUGCUUAUGAACAACUGUUGUCAGCCAAUCAUUAGAGCCACUUUUAUGAAUUUGUGCUGGGCAUGUGAUUAAAGAAAACAAAAGCUUCCCUUCUUUUUUUUUUUUUUGAAAGAUGUGUAUAUUAUUUAAACGCCAAAGCCUGGCGGGAGUAGUACAGAAACUACACAAUAUCUUACUAUGGCAAAAAAUCAUAAAUAGGAUAAAGCGCAGAAUAAGAAAAACAAAAGCAAAGAAAAACAAAAGCUUCCCUUCUUUUGGACUAAUGCUGUUUCUACCGGUCAGGAAUCAAGUCAGGUCCAAAAGUAGGAGCAGCAAAAACACUAAAUCUUCGCAAAAGCCAAUUAUGAAAGAAGAUUCCUUCUGCUCUCUAAUCAGAAUAAUCUCAUUUUAAUUAUGUUACGAUAUUGCAGUUUCUAAUUAAUGGCAAUAAGCACAAUCGUACGCUAGUAUUAUCUGACCUUGAUCUCGGCAUUGGAUAACCUCCAAGCAAUGUUUGUUCAAGAACAGCAAGCAACUGUUGUCUCGGAACCUCAUAUGUAAACAAAAGGGAAACUUAAACCAAAUGAAAGUCCUUAACAGAAUUACCGAAUCCCAGUCCAAUUACAGGUGAAACAAAUUAAAAGGCAAUUUGUAGGAAAAACUCAAUGAUCUCUGAGCCAAGCCCCCGCACGGUAUUCCAAGCUUAUUUUACAGAAUAUUAACUCACCCUAGUUUUUUAUUUCUUCCAAAAAACUAUAAAAGAAUAGAAUUAUGGUCUUAAUGAGCACAAAUGGCAAACAAAUGGCCUUCAGUACAUUUCAAUAACGAUUCAGUACUUAGUGGCACAGAGGUUCUCUCUAGUGCCAAGUUCAAUUAUUGUAAAAUUGAUUCCUUCCAACUUGUUUCCUAGAAUCGAUGAGACUUAAAUUUCUUUGUGAAUCUGAUUCCUUAUAACUAAACUUUUCCUUUCCAAUUUAUUUUCAUAAUCUUUUUUUUUUUCCUUUAACUGAUCUUGAUUCUCUCCGAAACUUUAUAUCUUUAUUUCUUACUCUAGUUAACUUCAUGACAUAAUCAAUGUGACGCAACCUGACCACCUCAUCCCAACAAAAAAUCUAUUGACAUCUCAAAUCCGAGUAACCAAGUUGCUUGCAUUAAACAUUUUGGUUUAAUAGAGAGUGGAAUUUUGGUCAAAAAGUUGCCUCAGAUUCUAUUCUUUGACAUAGACAAAUUGACCAUAUAAUAAUCAUAAAUAUAACUGUGUAUGAAAAAUAAUAAUAAUAAUAAUAGCAAAAACAAUAACAAUAAUAAUAAUUUUAGGAAGUAUUUUUUCAACCAACAAAACUUAAACAAAAAAGAAUCUAGUGCACUAAGUCCACACAAGUCUAAGCCUAGGAAGGAUAUGAGAGAAGUAGUUUAUAUACUGAAAAUAAAAAUCUAGAGGGAUAGAUCUAGAAAGUUGCUUUAAUUGUCUCAAUCUACGUAUAUAGAAAAAAUAUUGAAACAAUUUAGCAGUUUUAUCUUUUUGUGGGUUGUUGUUACUAUCUUGCUCGGGGUUUUAGCUAGAACUAGGUGUUGUUGUUGAUGAUUUCAAGAUUGUUAUGUGGUGGUUUUGUUUUUAGGUGUUGAAGAUUGAUUUCUAAGGAGCCUAUGGCUAGUUCUAGCCAAUGGUAAAGACCAGUCUAGGUCUCCAUCAUAUCAUUCAUUCUCUUCCAUUUUUUUGGCAAAUCAAAGUAGGACUAAGAAGUGGGUGAUGUUUCAAGAUUGAGAUUUUAGAUUAACCGAGUUUAAGGCAAUAUUUUGGUUCUUUUGGUAAAUGGGAUCGCCAGAUUGGGAUCUCAAGUUGACCAAGCUAAAGACAAAGACCAAGGUUCUGGUUAAAUGGGGUCUCUAAAUUGAGAUUUUAGGUUAACCGAGGUGAAGGCAACAUUUUGAUUUUGGUUAAAGGGAAUUGCUUGAUUAAAAGGAGUCACUAGAUUGAGAUUUCAGGUUAACCAAACUGAAGGAAACAUUUUGGUUCUCGUUAAAUAGGAUUGUCGGAUUGGGAUCUCAGGUUGAUUGAGCUAAAGACAAAGACCAAGGUUUUAGUUAAAAGGGAUCUCUAGAUUGAGAUUUUAGGUUAACCGAGCUUAAGGCAAUAUUUUGGUUAUGAUUAACAAGAAUUGUCAGAUUAGGAUUUCAAGUUGGUUGAGCUGAAGAAAAAGACCAAGGUUCCAGGUUAACCAAGUUGAAGAUGAUAUUUUGAUUCUAGUUAAAGGGAAUCGCCACAUUGGGAUUUUAGGUUAGUCGAGCUAAAGAAAAAGACUAAGGUUGUGGUUAAAAGGGGUCUUUUGAUUGAGAUUUCAGGUUAACCAAGUUGAAGGUGACAUUUUGGUUCUAGUUAAAGGGAAUAAUGGCCAGAUUGGGAUCUCAAGUUGACCGAGCUAAAGACAGAGACCACAGAUCCAAGUUUUAUCCACACCGUCAGCCACAGCAGCCAGCACACGGCAGCCCACAAAUCCACGCCAUUUCCUUCAGCCACCAAUUGCAGCGGCCAAAGCAACAACUUGAAUCCAGCGUCGCCGCCGCCUAACUGUCGGCCACCUGAAGCAAAGGAGAAGAAGAUGUAAACCAAAGAAAGAUCUGCGGUGAAGCAGAUCUGAAAAGGAGAAGACCGAAACAAAUCCGAAAAAGAAAGAAAAAUUAAAAUCAACUGGUUUGGGUGUUUUAUUAUUUUGCAGGUGAUGAAGACCCUAACCUCCGGCAGGGAAGUGAAGAGGGGAGGAAGACGCAGCAGCGCCCCCUGCUGCCUAGAAUUUCUCGCGGCGGCGCACUGUUCAACUGUUCAGGAACCUUCUUCAGCACUACAUGCAGUUCCAGAAAGCUUCCCAGCACUGUUAUGGACUUGUUUUGUGGCUAUUUUUGUAAUUUCAAAUUAUUUAAUGUAAUUUUUGUUUAGUUUUGAAUUUUUGUAAUAUAGAUGUGAAAAAGAACAAAAAGAAAAAGAAAAGAAAAAAUAUAGUGAAAGUGAAUGUGUUUGUUUGUAAUUUUGUUUUUUAUGAAUGUAUUUUUUUUAUGAUAAAAUUGCAAAGAAUAAAGAAGAAUUUAAUAUUUUGAUUUGAUCACGGUCAAGAAUUAUGAACUUACAUGUAAGUCGUAUUUCUAAUACCCGAUGAAAGAACAAAAUUUUUAAAACUUCUUUAUCACAUCAAAGCCACGAAGCAGCUUACCUAAGGUAGGGUGCGUUAGGGGUGCUAAUACCUUCCCUAACCACAACCAGUCCCUUACCCGUGAAUCUCUGACAAGACUAGUACACCCGGGUUUCCUAGUUACCCUCAAUUAAAUACUAGGUGGCGACUCCCAAUGAACCAAUCAAGCAAACGCAUAACAAAAAAAUCACCAUCGGACGCCGCGCGGGUCACGUGCGACAGAAUGGUGACUCCACUGGGGAAGGUAUUGUUUCUAACAAUAUUGGACUAUGCUUUGUGUAUUUGAUGUGUUUAAGUUUUUGUAGUUUUGUCAUGUUUUAUUUUUGUUUUAUCCAUGCAUUUUUAGAAUUGUUUCAUGCAUCACUUGUAUUUAUUUUUGAAAGCACACACAAGCUUUUAUGUUAGGUGGUGAAUUAGCGGUCUGCCCUAUGACUAUUGGUCAGGGUUCAGAUCCGUGAAAAACCAACUCAUAUCUGAAUGCCUGCUUGGUAAUGGUGGGUAUACGUGCCUUAACUAUUUCUUGCAACGCCCCUAUACUGUCUUUACGAAGAUCGUCAUUGGGCAGAUAUGAGACCCUUUUGAGACCAGGUAGAAAACCUACCCAUGUUCACAUAAUGAAUAGAAUUUGUUCUUAGGUUGUAUGUGCUAUUUUUAUUUGCAUCAGGGCAAACCCUUCUUGAAGCAUCUUGAAUCAAGACUUGUGGGUGACACAAGAACCGUCACUCAGAAAAUUUUCAUUGUAGAGUUUGGGCAAGAAUCAAGAUUCUUGUUUCAUCAUACAAGAGUUACGACCAUAUGUCACCCCUCGAAGGGCGAGUUCAUCAUAUAGUUUACAUGUUCAUACAUUUAUCAUGCAUGUACCGGGUUGAAAGAUAGGUUCCCCCACACAAGCUGUGCUACACGUGAUUGAAAAAAGAUGAUGGAAAUGAAGAAAGAUGUCAGAUAGAGGCUCAUUAUCAAAAUAAAGUUGAGAGCAUCAAAGGUGAAGUAGCUAGACUCAGAUCUGCUUGAACAAGUGUUGAGCAUCAAAUGGAAAUGGAAUGUCUGUACAGUCUUCUGUGGGAACACUGCUUGUCCAGUCCAAUUAAAGCUGCACCUCUCCUUUUCAGUAAUGAACAACAGCAGCAAUGCCUUCAGUCAUCAGCUAAUGACAACCUUUGUUCUUGUUUAGUUGCACUAUUAAUUGUUCAUCGCCUUCACAUCUUCUAAUGGCACCAAAUAAUUGUUAGCCUUCGGUGCAUGGUGCAUUAGUCUUCUUUGAAGUUACCCACUUUGAUCUCAAUUCCAGUUCAGCGGCACAAGAUGCUGGUCUUAAAAAAAAAAACAUGAUUAUACACUGAACUUCUAUGUGGCAGAGCUCUCUCUGUAGAGAUUUGUUUUUUUUAAUCUGCCAGUAGGGAAUGCAAGAGAGGAUGUAGUAGUUUCAUAUGCAUUGAAACUUUCUCCCACUAAUGGCACCAGCAAAACAUUGUAGUAGGCAGAAGAGCCGGACCCGGUCUGAAAAACAUGAGCAGACAUCAAAUUUCCACGUGGCAGAGCUUUUGUACAGAAAUUUGUUUGUGGAUCUGUAAGUGGAGAAUCCAAGAAGGGAUGCAAUAGUUUCAAAUCAUCUACAAUUUUCUCCUACCAGUGUUAGAAUCAAAACACAAAAGUAGGGAGAAGAGACAAACCUAAACUGAAAGACAAGAAGAAGACUGAAACUGCAAUAGAGGAGAACUCCCUCUACAGGUGUCUGUUUGUUGCACUGUCUGUGAGCAAUCGAAGAUGAGACAGAAGAGUUUUAGAUUCAUCAAGUUCUCUUCCAGUUGAGACAACGCGUGAUUUCGCACGUCGACAGUGGUGGUACUGCAAGUUUUUGUGCGCUGCCAAGAUUACCUAGCUAUUGAAAGGUUUUCAACAAUCCUAAAACAACAACAACAACAUUGGAAGAAUGACAUGAAGUUGUGUGGAUUGCAAAAAAAUUGAACAAGCUAUCAAAAUGGGAAAGAUUGAAGGUUCUGCCAAGGAUUCCAAAACAAUGAUAAGAGAUGAAUGAAAAGAAGACUUUGACAGUGGGAAACCUUAAUUAUAUGGUCUAGCCAAGUCUCGUUGUAUCAUCGACUACUCCAAUGUCUUUGCAAAAGAUAGACAUUCCUUUGCAAUGUGGUGUAAUCCAGACAAGAGAUGUGAUGUCAUGGUGGGGUCCUCAGCCAUUUCAAUUGAACAGUUGCAAGAAUUUCAAGAAGCGAGUCCGGAAGUUGGUGAGCAAGAGACGAGUAGAUUAUGUGAAGGAGGGCAUUAUUGGCUAUAUUGUCCCCCGAACAUCUUCAAAAUGACAUGUGAUCGAAAAUGCUUGGCAAAAAACAGAUAUUACAAAGCUGAUUCAAGAAUGGCGAUGAAUUGUCAAUCAUAUUGUUAUGGAAUUUUGCAUUUUGUUUUGGGAUCACAUCUCAUCCUUGAACGAAACAUGUCUUUUCUUUGGCUUCCUGUUGUUUUGAAAUCAAGAGAUGCUUCUUUCAAAGGGUAUUUUGACAAAAUAUUUUGAUCAAACUCCAACAUGCAAAAUUAAGGCUAGUCAAUCCUAAAAGAUUAAAAGUAUUUGGAUUGCAGAAAUGACUCGAUAUUUGUUAAAAUGGCAAGAUAAACAACAUGAGGUGACCAAACAAAUUUUGAGCUCACACAUGAAAUUGAACCACCCACAAUGUAGCUAAAUUUUAGCAGUAUGCAUAAUGACAUGUAGUGGAUUCGGUAGUUAUGAACUCGCGAAUCAUGAUUCUUACAAGUCCAAAUCAUUACACUGGAUGAGGUCAAAAUUUAUCAGUUCUAACAGACCUUGCUUGAAAUGAGAAAAGGCCAUCUUUGUUCAUCCCUUCGCUUUCUAAAAAUAUUUAUCCCUUGCAAUCCCCAUUUGAGCAUGAUAGAAUAUUUCUUUUCAAAAAAACCCCUGACUAGGAUCACACCCCACAGUGGGGGCAGAUGAGAGAUAUUUUAGAGACAUUGAUAUAAUUAAUGGAUAAAGGGGAAGGCUUAGAACAAAAGUCCAAUGAUUGAGAGAGGGCUAAGAGAAAACACAUAGACUGGGGGCAUAUAAGAAAAUUUUAAGGAAGGCUAUGAGAAAGCAAAGAAAAAAAAAGAGAUUAAAAAAAAAGUUGAAUUUGCCUUCACUUAAAGACAAGUCAAAGAUAAAGGAAGGAGAAUGCCUAUCAAGUUUAUGAAGAGCAAAAAAAAAGAAAUAUCAAUCGAGGAAAGGCACAACAAAAGUCAAUAGCAGAAAAAAGACUAAACUAUAAACGUGACUUUUGGUAUCCAUUAUCAAGCCUCUAAUGUUAUCAGAUGAUUGAGGUUGGUUAUUCAUCAAAGAAAGGUGGAUUUGCAUUAUGACUUAUGUUAAGAGAAAUCUGAUCUUUGAGGUUAACAAAGUUAUAUGCCAUUUCCUCUACAGAGACAACAAUAGAAAAAGAGUUGAUGAAUAGUUGAUGUUGAUCCUAGGUCUUUGAAACCCUUAAACACCUUUUGAGCCUGUGAAAUUCCUUUCUUUCAUAGCCAUGAACCAUAGCCUGCAUUACGUGUUUUUUUAAAAGCUAUUUUUAAUUAAGCAAACAAUUUGAAUUGAUAAAUGGCUCUCUCACAACUUGAAGAGCCUUUCCAUAAGGGUCGUGACAUCAUGAAUUAAGCUAUUGGUUAUUAUGCAUGCUGAUAAAAUAAGUGCGAAGCAGAGAAACAACCUUUCUUGAUAAAGCCUGAGUUUUGACUUUAACAUCUUGUUUUUUUUUAAUUCACAAAAAAGGUCACCUCAUCACAGACCCUCAAAAGAUAUACCCAAAAUCAGAGUCUAAAAUGGAUACAAAGAACCAUGAAAAAAAGAAGAAGAAGAAGAAGAAAAAAGCCAUUUUAGUCUUACAACGGGUCAAUUUCUAUUUUCAAAAUACAUGACAAUCAAAAGACUGUAUAUAUCGAAUAACGUGUGUUAGGUCUUUGAUAAAAAAGCUUGAUUUUCAAAAGGUCUUUUCAAAAAAAGACAUCUCUGAUUUCAUUUCAACAAACUAUACUUUGAAUAGACAUGAUCUUCGAAAUAUGAGAGUUGAUUCCAAAACAAGGAAGAUUAUCGGACACAAAAGAACAUCGAUUGAGUCUGCGAAAUCCUUGAUAGAAAUGACAUUGAAGUCCUCGACACUGCUUGAAAAGUUGAGCAGCUGGGGGGCAAUACAGUGGACCCGGAGAAGGAAGAACAAGCAGUAUUCAAACCAGCUAUGAGGCAAUGAAAGAUGAUUAAAUGAUGAAUCAGUAAACUGAAGAAAAUGGUAUUCAAAAUCAAUGAACAAGCACAUUUAGAUCAUACUUGGGGCAACGUUGUUCAAAGAUAGUCCAUGAUCUAGUGGCCCCCGACAACAAUCGAGAAAACAAAGAUGUACUUGAAGGACAUCUUCAUAUUGUCAUCUUUUGAAACAUGGCUAUCGACCGAUGUGGGCAUACAGUUGCAUUUGAAUGAAUAUCGAAAAGAUGCACACCACCAAGACUGACUGUGGAACAAUGUUGUACUUGAAGGACAAUCUCAUAUUGUCAUCCUUUGAAACAUGGUUAUCGACAGAUGUUAUCACACAACUGUAUUGAAUGAAUGUCGGAAAGACACGCACCCCGAAGACUGAUUGUGGGACAAUUUGUUUUGAAGCCAAAUAAGCACUUCACCGCAUGAGUAUGGGUGAUAAAAGCAACAUCAUUGAUGAGGCCUAGACAUUUCUUUUCACAAUUUAAUUAGAAGAACUGAGAUGAAUCUAUUGAGAAGAACACUAAGCAUACAACCAUGAGCCUUUGUACUGCAAGCUAUGAGAUGCAUGUUUGGAUGAUUGUAUAGUUUCCAAGAAGACUGAUGAUAACAUAUACUUGAAGAGUAUUGUUUCAACUGGGAGCAAGUCCAUGACUGAUUGACAAUCUAAAAUGAGGUUAAACACUAGAAAACCUCUUGAGAGGUGUUGGCAAAACACACACACCAAAUCAAAUGACAAUUCUUGAGAGAAUCUAGGAGAUGGAUGAUUUGUUCAACUCCUUCAGGAUGAAUCGAGCAACACCACACUUGGAAGCAUGGUCAAGCUUGAGAACAACCGAGAGCAAUAAUAGUCGUGGACAGCCCAAGAUGGGCACGGCACUUACAUCUGAGUGGAAGGCUAGCACACAAAUGAGCAAGUACAUGGGAAGAGCAAAGAAGGCUUCGGUUAGCAAACAAAGGCACCUUAUGACGACGGAACAUCAAAGAGGGGGGACCUAUAUUUCAAAUCAGGUAAGGAUGCAUGCAUUGCACACAUAUGUUUAUUUGUUACAAUAAAAUCCAAAAAAAAAAGUCCAGCAAGAUUAGAAAAUAAAAAGGAAAAAAGAGAGAGAGAAAAAAAAGAAUCAUUGAGUUGAUAAUAAAAGAGAAUCAUUGUUGUGACCCUGGAACGGAAAGAAAAGUGAGAAGAACCCUACCAUUAGGAAAUUUUCAAAAAAAAAAAGAGAAAAAAAAGAAGAAAAAAAAACCAAUGUGAGUGUGAGGGUAGGUCGCUCAUGAAAAUAGACCAUGUGAGUGUGUGGGCCGGUCGCCCAUGAAAAUAGACCAGGAUGAACAUGUGUGGGCAGGUCGCCCUUGAAAAUAGACCAAUGUGAGUGUGUGGGCCGGUCGCCCCUGAAAAUAGACCACGAUGAACAUGUGUGGGCAGGUCGCCCCUGAAAAUAGACCACGAUGAACAUGUGUGGGCAGGUCGCCCAUGAAAAUAGACCAGUGUGAGUGUGUGGGCUGGUCACCCCUGAAAAUAGACCACGAUGAACAUGUGUGGGCAGGUCACCCUGAAAAUAGACCACGAUGAACAUGUGUGGGCAGGUCGCCCCUGAAAAUAGACCAGGAUGAAGUGUGGGCCGGUCGCCCCUGAAAAUAGACCAGGAUGAGCAUGUGCGGGCAGGUCGCCCCUGAAAAUAGACCAGUGUAUGGGUCGAUCGCCCCUGAAAAUAGACCACAAUGAGCAUGUGUGGGCAGGUUGCCCCUGAAAAUAGACCAGUGUGUGGGCCGGUCGCCCCUGAAAAUAGACUAGGAUGAGCAUGUGUGGGCAGGUCGCCCUUGAGAAUAAACCAGCGUGAGUAUGUGGGCCGGUCGCCCCUGAAAAUAGACCACGAUGAACAUGUGUGGGCAGGUCACCCAUGAAAAUAGACUUGUGUGAGUGUGUGGGCCGGUCGCCCCUGAAAAUAGACCAGGAUGAUCAUGUGGGGGCAGGUCGCCCGUGAAAAUAGACCACUGUGAGUUUGAGGGCAGGUCGCCCAUGAAAAUAGACCGUGCGAGUGUGUGGGCCGGUCGCCCAUGAAAAUAGACCAAUGUGACUGUGUGGGCAGGUCGCCCGUAAAAAUAGACCAGUGAGUGUGUGGGUAGGUCGCCCGUGAAAGGAGACCAAUUUUCUUUAAAAGGGGUAGGUCACCGAAGAUAAUAACAUCAUUUUUCUUUUUCUUUUUCUUUACAAGCUUACUAUGCAAGACAUUGAUGAUGUUUUUGCUUCGUAAGCAUUGUAAAGAGGGGGCAUCUGUUGCUACCCAAUUUUUGACCCAUGUUUUGAUAAAUUUUCAGAAAAAUCCAAAAAAAUAUGUUUUUUUAAUAUAUUUGCAUCGUUUUAUUUUUAAAAUCACUGAUUUUCCUCAUUCGAGGCGAUGUUGAUAACAAAAUCCAAAAAAAACAAGAAAAAUCAAAUUUACAAAAAAAAAGAAAGUUGAGGGAUCAAUUUUGAGGCCCAAGCAAUAUUUUUACCUAUAAAUACUGGUCUCCACAACACACAAAAGGAGGAGGGGGGUAAUUUUACACAUUGAGAGAAACAAGAAACCCUAACCCUAAACCUAAACCUAUCUUUACCCAAACGGCAGCGGUCCCCACUUGGCAAAACAAAAGAGCAGCCGCCGCCCCCUGCUGGUUUUUGAUUUUUUCUUCUUCCUUGGCCGCUCCCCUCCUGGUCAUCUUCAUCUUCCCCGCACAAGCCUUCCUUUCCCCUUCUCAACACAAGCCACCGCUCACGCCCCUCACCCAAAAGCAAAUCAGAAUCGGCCGAAAGAGACCAGCCCCCCAGCCAGCCGAUCUCCCCCAUUUCCUUCCACUAUUGCUGCAGACCUGCAACCCCAGAACAAAUUUGCCUCCCUUUCCCCCCGACCUUUUCCUUCAUUUCCUCCUCCCAUCAGUGCCGCCCACACCGGCAGCCACAGCAGCCAGCACACGGCAGCCCACAGAUCCACGCCAUUUCCUUCAGCCACCAAUUGCAACAACCUGAAUCCAGCGCCGUCGCCGCCCAACUGUCGGCCACCUGAAGCGAAGGAGAAGAAGAUGUAAACCAAAGAAAGAUCUGCGGUGAAGCAGAUCUGAAAAGGAGAAAACCGAAAUAGAUCUGAAAAAGAAAGAAAAAUUAAAAUCAACUGGUUUGGGUGUUUUAUUCUUUUGCAGUUGAUGAAGACCCUAACCGCCGGUAGGGAAGUGAAGAGGGGAGGAAGCCGCAGCAGCGCCCCCUACUGCCUGGAAUUUCUCGCGGCGGCGCGUGAGCCCACGCACCGCCAGUGGCGGUUGCGCACUGUUCAACUGUUCAGGAACCUUCUUCAGCACUGCAUGUAGUUCUAGAAAGCUUCCCAGCACUGUUAUGGACUUGUUUUGGGGCUAUUUUUGUAAUUUCAAAUUAUUUAAUGUAAUUUUUGUUUAGUUUUGAAUUUUUGUAAUAUAGAUGUGAAAAAGAAAAAAAAGAAAAAGAAAAGAAAAAAUAUAGUGAAAGUGAAUGUGUUUGUUUGUAUUUUUUUUUUAUAAAUGUAUUUUUUUUAUGAUAAAAUUGCAAAGAAUAAAGAAGAAUUUAAUAUUUUGAUUUGAUCACGGUCAAGAAUUAUGAACUUACAUGUAAGUCGUAUUUCUAACACCCGAUGAAAGAACAAAAUUUUUAAAACUUCUUUAUCACAUCAAAGCCACGAAGCAGCUUACCUCAGGUAGGGUGCGUUAGGGGUGCUAAUACCUUCCCUAACCACAACCAGUCCCUUACCCGUGAAUCUCUGACAAGACCAGUACACCCGGGUUUCCUAGUUGCCAUCAAUUAAAUACUAGGUGGCGACUCCCAACGAACCAAUCAAGCAAACGCAUAACGAAAAAAUCGCCAUCGGACGCCGCGCGGGUCACGUGCGACACUCUUUUUGGCCAUAUGGUCCCGGGAACGAUCAGCCUCCUCCAACGCCGCCAUUUUUCUAGUUUAAUUUUAUUUGAACAUAUAAAUUUGUAAUGAAUAUUUGGCUUUUAUACUAAGGUAAUUUAUUUUUACAUACUUGAAUUUUAUACAAUUUUAUAUUUUUUAUUAUUUUCUUUUUUUGUUCAAUAAAUAAUUUUUAAAAAUAUAUAUAUAUUUUUUAAUUAUUACGCACGAAGUUACCGACAAACUUUGUUGGUCGUUAUAUUCCAGAUAGUUGAAAAAUAAUUACUGCAUAUACCAUUUCAACUGUUACAUCACCGAUGGAAUAAUUCCUUCGGUAUUUUAUAGAGGGUUUGGAAUAAAAUUACUCCAUAUGCCACUGUCAAUCACCGAAGAAAUAAUUCCGUCUGUAUAUUCCAGUGGAAAAAAAAUUGGCUUGCAUUUUCUAUCUGUAAAACCAUCGGGUUUUUUUGUACCGACAUUAAUGAAAUUACUGACAAGAGGAAUUUACCAAUGGACUGUUUCCGUCCGUAAAUCAGUCGGUAAAAUUCAUGUUGACGGAAUGGUAGAGUAAAUACCGACAAAAUAUUUUGUUGGUAAAACUGUUAAAUGCAGCAGUGUUAAGAAGCUUGUCAUCACUUGUGGUUUGCGGAUCUGCUGGUUAUAUUCAUACGUACACUCAUGCUUACAGUGCAACAAUCAGAGACGCCUCCCACGGCUCAUCAUUGAGCUCUGUACAGUUCCAAACUUAGUCGGUGAAAUCACACCUUGAAGAGCUUCAAAGCAUUUCAAGAGCAUAUUGUAUCUUUCAAUUCCAUGCUAAGUAAGAGGUGAUAAUGAGGAAGUAAGAAAGAUAAUUAUGACAAUACAUACAAAUAGAAAAUGAUAUAUAAAUCACAGAAAGUUUAUUUGAAGAAGUAACAAGAAGCUCCUGACUCGAGUUCUAGCAACCUCUCCUCGUCUACGUUUAGCAGAGGGAGAAUAUCGUACAGGACUAAAGGUAACACAACUGGAGGAGGUUAUGCAUACAAGAAAGCUAAGUGAUUAAUCAAUAGGUCUUUAAAACGGAACUGGUUUACCCUUAGGGUAAUCGACAUAAACCCUCCCCUUGUAGCGUUGAGCUGCCUCGUUGCUGUCGAUAACUUCUGUUGCAUAGUAAUAUGUGGGAUGAGCAUAGGGAACCUUCAUAACUGGUGGCCGCCUCUUGGCCCGGCCGAAGUGCUCAUCAAUGGCUGUAAAACCCUCCUGCCCAAUCUUAACAAGACGAUCUGCCUGACGUGCCAUGUUAACUACAAUUAAUCAACACACAAAGACAAGUAGCUGUUUAUAGGUUUUGUUGGUUUUCUUGCUUUGGCUAAUAUGUAGGAGGCCAAGCCAACCUUUAUAGAAAGGAAAGGUUUGGUUGACAACAGCUGUGAAAUGAAUAAUGGUAGACAGUACUCCUUUUUGUAAAUAAAAGCACCCAACAUUUGUGUACGAUAAAACUAACCAUUGCCGAGAGAAAAAUCAAUAGCUUUUCUUCAUCUUAUCACUACUGACGAUAAAAUCAUCACAAAAUGAAAAAAAAAAUAUCAUCAAAAGUUUAUUAAACACAAAAAAGUAAAACAUGUUACAUUUGGAUGUUUUCAAUACUUAAUAAACUUUUUAUAUAAAACAAUUUUACUGGUUUUUUUGUCGUCCGAUCACCAUCGAUGACAAAACCAUCACCAAGAGUUUAUUAUUAUCGACUUUGGAUUGGAAUUGAAUGUUCUAAAUACUUAGUAAACUGAAAAAUAAGGGAUGCAAACACUGCGCAUUAACAACUGUUGUCAGCCAAUCUUAGAGCCACUUUUAUGAAUUUGUGUUGGGCAUAAAUUAUAAUAUCUGAUCAUGUGAUUAAAGAAAACAAAAGCUUCCCUGCUUUUGGACUAAUGCUUUUUCUACCGGUCAGGAAUCAAGUCAGGUCCAAAAGCAGUAGCAGCAAACACACUAAACCUUCGCAAAAGCCAAUUAUGAAAGAAGAUUCCUUCUGUUCUCUAAUCAGAAUAAUCUCAGUUUAAUUAUGUGACGAUAUUUCAGUUUCUAAUUAAUGGCAAUAAGCAUAAUCAGGAUAUUAUCUGACCUUGGUCUCGGCAUUAAUUGGAUAACCUCAAGCAAUGUUUGUUCUUCAUAUGUAAAGAAAAGGGAAACUUACCGAAUCCAAUUACAGGUGGAAAAAAAUUAAAAGGCAAUUUGUAGUAAAAACUCAAUGAUCUCUGAGCCAAGCCCCCGCAAGCUAUUCCAAGCUUAUUUUACAGAAUAUUAACUCACAAAAGAAUAGAAUUAUGUUCUUAAUUAGCACAUAUGGCAAACAAAUGGCCUUCAGUACAUUUGAAGUGGCUCGAAGGUUCUCUCUAGUGCGAAGGUCAAUUUUUGUAAAAUUGAUUCCUUCCAACUUGUUUCCUAGAAUUGAUGAGACUUAAAUUUGUUUGUGAAUCUAAUUCCUUAUAACUAAACUUUUCGUUUCCAAUUUAUUUUCAUAAUCUGUUUUUUUUUUUUUGCUUUAACUGAUCUUGAUUCUCUCCGAAACUUGAUAUCUUUAUUUCUUACUCUAGUUAACUUCAUGACAUAAUCAAUGUGACGCAACCUGACCACCUCAUCCUAACAAAAUUAAAAUCUAUUUACAUCUCAAAUCCGAAUAAACAAGUUGCUUGCAUUAAACCCCAAUAUUGAAGGAAUAAUAGAGAAUGGAAUUUUGGUCAAAAAGUUGCCUCAGAUUCUAUUCUUUGACAUAGACUAGGUAGCUAGAACUAGAUGUUGUUGUUGAUAAUUGCAGGCUUGUUAUGUGGUGGUUUGUUUUUAGGUGUUGAAGGUUGCUUUCUAAGCAGCCUAUGGUUGGUUCUAGCCAAUGGUAAAGACCGGUCUAGUUCUCCACCAUAUCAUUCAUUCUUUUCCAUUUUUUUGGCAAAUCAAAGUAGGACUAAGAAGGGGAUGAUGUUUCAAGAUUCGUAGGAUUGGAAUCUCAAGUUGACCGAGCUAAAGAAAAAGACUAAGGUUCUAGUUAAAGAGAGUUCCCUAAAUUGAGAUUUUAGGUUAACCGAGUUGAAGGCAAUAUUUUGGUUCUUGUUAAAUGGGAUCGUAGGAUUGGGAUCUCAAGUUGACCGAGCUAAAAAAAAAGACUAAGGUUCUAGUUAAAGAGAGUUCCCUAAAUUGAGAUUUUAGGUUAACCGAGUUGAAGGCAAUAUUUUGGUUCUUGUUAAAUGGGAUCGUAGGAUUGGGAUCUCAAGUUGACCGAGCUAAAAAAAAAGACUAAGGUUCUAGUUAAAGAGAGUUCCCUAAAUUGAGAUUUUAGGUUAACCGAGUUGAAGGCAAUAUUUUGGUUCUUGUUAAAUGGGAUCGUAGGAUUGGGAUCUCAAGUUGACCGAGCUAAAAAAAAGACUAAGGUUCUAGUUAAAGAGGGGUCUCUAAAUUGAGAUUUUAGGUUAACCGAGUUGAAGGCAACAUUUUGGUUUUGGUUAAAGGGAAUCGCUUGAUUAAAGGGAGUCACUCGAUUGAGAUUUCAGGUUAAUCAAACUGAAAGAAACAUUUUGGUUCUAGUUAAAUAGGAUUGUCGGAUUGGGAUCUCAGGUUGAAUGAGCUAAAGACAAAGACCAAGGUUUUAGUUAAAGGGGGUCUCUAUAUUGAGAUUUUAGGUUAACCAAGCUUAAGGCAACAUUUUGGUUCUGGUUAAAACGAAUCAUCAGAUUGGGAUUUUAGGUUUGCCGAACUGAAGACAAAGACCAAGGUUCUGGUUAAAGGGGGUCUCUAGAUUGAGAUUUCAGGUUAACCAAGCUGAAGGUGACAUUUUGGUUCUAAUUAAAGGGAAUAGCUAGAUUAGGAUCUCAAGUUGACUGAGCUAAAGACAAAGAUCAAGGUUCUGAUUAAAGGGGAUCUAUAGAUUGAUAUUUCAGGUUAACCAAGCUUAAGGUGACAUUUUGGUUUUGGUUAAAGGAAAUCACUAGAUUGGGAUCUCAGGUUGACCGAGCUAAGGAUAAAGACCAAGGUUUUGGUUAAAGGGGGUCUCUAGAUUGAGAUUUCAGAUUAACUAAGCUAAAGGCGACAUUUUGGUUCUUAUUAAAGAGAAUCGUCGUAUUGGGAUUUUAGGUUGACCAACUUAACGACAAAGACCAAGGUUCUGGUUAAAGUGAAUCGCCAGAUUGGGAUUUCAGGUUACCGAGCUACUUUUCAUAUUUUAGUUCUAGUUAAAGCGGAUCGCCAAAUUGGGAUCUCAGGUUGACCGAACUUUGGCAUUGAUUUUGGUUUUGGAUUAAGCAAAUCACUAGAUUGCGAUUUCAAGAUAACCAAAUUGUACACAGUUUGAUCGUAGUUUCCGUUGAUGGGGAUUGCUACGAAAACAAAGUUUCAGGUCAACCAAACUAAAAGCUUUGAGAAAAACAGUCCGUUAGUCAAGCACUUAACAAGUCUUUGUUCCAUAAGUAUUGUGAAGAAGGAGCAACUGUUGCCAUAAGAGUGGUAAGUUGUAAACCGUGAGUAUAAUCGGCCAACAAGAAUAAGGAUCAACAAAUGACCUGAAUGGGUUGAAUUCAUCUGUACAUAACCCAAGAUGCACGUUCCUUGAUUCAGCUGAAAAAUGAGAAUGCACACUGUUAAAGUGUUUCCAUGCUUCACCGUCAGAAGGAUGCACUAUCACUCCAUCCACUGCAUCAAGUGAUUGGUGCUAUAUCAUGUGCUCAGUAGUCUUUGGUGACAUGAAUAACCUCUACAGUCUAGGCGUGAUUGGGAAGUAUCUAAGUUUUUUAUAUGCCAUAAGAGUCUUUCCCAUGCCAGUUCUGGAUUUGUAACGGGAAUGCUCUCAUGCCAUGCACUCGGUUAGCUCAGCAUUUUCAAGGUAGUACAUCAUGCAAAAGUUUGGACACAUGUCAAUUUUCUAGUAUCCUAAACCGAGGGGUUUCAUCAUGGACUUAGUAGCAUAGAAGUUCUCUUUCAGCUUGUUCCCUUCAAGUAGAAUGCUUCUCGCCCAUUCGAUAAUUUUGUCAUAACCGGCCUCACUCAACCCAUAAUCUGACUUGAUAGUGAACACAUAUGCAACAACUGAUUAUUUACAGUGAUUUGUGCAGCCAUCCCAUAAUGGUUCAUCAGAAUCUUUCAACAAAUCAAAAAACCUGGCCGCGUCUGCAUUAGGUUCUUCUUCUACAAUUGGACAUUGACUAGCAUCUUCUUCUACAAUUGGACAUUGACUAGCAUUAUCUUGAUUCAUUCUCAUUGAAUCCAUAACCAUAUUCCUGUAAGGAUUACUAUUGUCAUUUACAACUCCAUGCACAUUGCUAGCACUAGAAGUUGACCCAACCAUCCUUUCUACCAUGCUCUUGUUACGAACAAAUAAUUCUUUGUGUGCAUACCAACACAAGUAAUCCUCCAUGAACCCUUUGUGUAGAAGAUACAUCGUUACAACAUCUGGAUGCAAAAACUUUUUAUUUUUACACCUCCUGUAUGGACACUUAAUACCGUCUCCACUAAAAUUUCUCGAAAUAGAUGUUGCGAAAUUAAUAAAACUCUGAACCCUAUUAUAAUAAUCCAUCCUCCGCAAUUCUUAAGGUGAAUCUCGAUACAUCCAUGAAUGAUCAUCCAUGACUUCUAUCAAACCUCUAUAAAAUAAUGAUGACAACAUGUAUUAAUUAACUACGUCAAGCAAAUAAAUUUGCAAAAAUAUUGGUUUAGCUCAAGAUUUCCAACUUACUUUCAAACUUCUCUUAAAUAUUCAUUAUCAAUUAUCUACGUCCAUACAAAUUUAGACACAUUAAUUUACAGAAAUUACAACUCGGCAAUAAAAUUGACAAAAAUUAAAACGGACCCAUCAAACAAGUCAUUAUUUAUUUCAUCACAACACACCUAAGUCGGUAAUUCGACAUAAAUUUCAACAAUUUACAAACAAAUAUAAUUUUACAAAAUCUAAAACAAACCAUACCAAGUACAAAAUUAUAAAUCCAUACUACAUGUUUGUUUGAGAAAAGUAAUAAAACAAGUAAACACUAAAAAAACAUUCAAUAUAUUAACUAUUAUCGAUGGAAUUACCGACAUAAUAUUUUUGUUUGUAAAUCCAUCGGCCAUUCUGUCGGUGAAGUAAACACGUCACUGUACGAACAUCCCAGUUUGAAUCACUCUGUAAUUCCAUCAGUAACAUCAUCCACCAAAACUUCCACGUCAUUGCACUGCUUUGUUUUUUAAAAUUCUUUAUAUUCUAUCUGGGAUUCACUCGAUAUAUACCGACGGUUUUAGCAAGGGAAGUAAUUCGGUCGGUAAAUAUCACCGCAAAAUACCGAAAGAAACAGUUUGUCGGCAAUUCCGUUGGUUGAAUUUCAUGUAGUGAUGCCUCAGAUUCCUCAGGACUUUCCAUGCAUGAUAGAUCAUUUUCUUUCAGGCAUGAUAGAUCAUUUUCUUUCAGGGAUACCCUAAAGAGGACUUAAAGAUUUCAGUUGUAUAUGUGUGAUAACAGAGCAGAAAAAGAAAACUCUCUCGGAUAGGACCCAAUUUGUGGCAGUUUCAUGUCAUCUAAAGUUCACCGAAAGGCGAUGCUUGCAAUCGUUAUGUUUCAGAAGCAAUAAUAUUCUUGUUUAUCCUUCUAGGCUAAGAUGAAAUAUGGAGGAAGUUAAAGCACAUCUCAUGUUUUUGAUGGGUCCCAUUUAUAAUGAAGGAUUGGGAAAGAUCAAGAAAAGGUAUAACUCGGAGCAUUUCCCAUUUUUCCCUUUUUUCUGUAAAAGAUAUGUGUAAAGCAAUGCUUCAGAGGGAGGCUUACUAAUAUCAUUUUCAUGGGAGAUAAGAUAUUUUUACUAGAUACACUUGCUCACAUGGCUCGGAUUGGGAAUCAUGUUUUUCCUUAAAUCUUCAUCGACUAUCAGCUUAGUUAAAGAGAUGUGAAGGAAAUUUUGGUUGUAGAACUCAGAAAUGAUCCAAUCAUGGUCAUGAUCGCUGAUAUUCUUAGAUAUCGUGUAAAUUUCUACUUUUUUUUUUCUAAGCUAUUGUUUUACCUUGAACUCCGUUUAUUAUUUCUUUAUCGGAGACGCUUCCCAUGGCUCAUCAUUUUAUCCUUGUGCUCGGGACAAUUCUAAAAUGAGGUGAUAAUUCUAAACUCGAAAUUAUUCAGUGAAAUCACACCUUGAAGAGCUUCAAAGCAUUUGAACAGCAAAUUAAUUAUUUGUUUGCCCUAAACGGACUACUAACAGAUAUGUUCAUGUACUAGUGAAAGAUGUUUAGGCCAAGAGAAAGCAUCAUCACGCAAGACCAGAAUAAUAGCCUAAAAUAAUGAUAACAGGAGAUAUUCUAACCGUUAAAUCAGGUUUAAAUUUUUAUAGAAGAUUCUACAAACCGUUUUCCCAUUAAAAACAACUCAAUAGUUAUCAGAGCAUUGUAUCUCCAUAAAGUAGGCUAAUUAGUUAUUAUUUGGGAUAAUUUUGUUAUUUUUCCUUAAUUUUCGCAGAUUUAUUGUUUAUUUUUAAAUUUUAUGUUAUUUUCCGUUAUGUUUUACAAUAGAGGAGAAGGAAUCAUCCCCUCUUUGGCAACUCUCAACCUCACUCUAUUUCUCUCUUUUCAGUGCUGUAAUGGCAGCUACUGCUGGCUGCCUUGGCAGCCCACUCUCUCCUACAUUUCUCACAUCUUUGGCUCUACACACUCUCUCUUGCUAUCUCAUUUUGCUCUCAACCGUAUGCCUCUAUUUAUAGGCAUCCAUGGUGCUGCUCCAUUUGUUCUUUGGUCAAUAAUGGUGGCUGUCAGCUCCAGCUCUUCUUCAACAAAGGUGGCUGCACCUAGCAGCCCUCUUUGACAAUGGCAAUGGCAGCCAUCCUCUUCUAGAAGAUAGGCUGUAAAUGCUCUAUGAUUGCUGCACAUAAUGGCAACAAUCAUAACAAUCACCCCCUUUGCCAUUCAUGUGGNNNNNNNNNNNNNNNNNNNNNNNNNNNNNNNNNNNNNNNNNNNNNNNNNNNNNNNNNNNNNNNNNNNNNNNNNNNNNNNNNNNNNNNNNNNNNNNNNNNNGUCUUUGGCCAAGUUUCCAGGUACUUGCCAAACCUUUCAAUCACCAGAGUCAUCCAAGCACCCCUUUGCUCACUCCAAAGGAUCACUUCAACCAGAUGGUUUGUCAUAUCUCAUCUGAAGAGUGUUUAACGCUUGUCUCUAGAACAUCAUCCCCCUUCAAGCAUAUCAACCAUGCUUGGCCCGGAAUGAUUUAUCAAGCCUUACACCAAGGCUUACAACACCCCCUCAAACGGAUAUUCCCAAGUGCGACAGUCAUUGAGUAUUUUAAUGUGAUCACGAGCUCACCACUCUUCCAAGAGUCUACUCAUCCCGGAGUUGUGUCUGCCCUCUGUUCCUCCCUAGGAACCACGCCUUACUUCUCCGUGAGUCUCCCGCUCUUAGUCUCAAGAGUCCAGGUAGCUCUCCACCUUUAACCAUGGGGGCAGCCCAUUAAAGGUUGAUCCAUAUUUGUCUUCAUACUCUGAGUAUUACAAUGCCAUUACCAAGCGCACCACCUUGACAAGAGUUAACUUGUUCCCGGAACCUGCGCAUGCCCUCUGCUCCUACAUAGCAGUCGCGUCUUAAUGCUCCACAAGUCAGCCACUUAUUGUCCAAGGCAAAUGUCUUCUAGCUCAUUGAUCAUUAGCAUGGGGCAAUAUCCAUGAAAGUCAAUCCUGCAUUUGUCUCCAUACUCAUCAUAGCCUCUUCAUUGGCUAUACACUUGUCCACUUAAAUCCAGCCAUCACAUUGGCUUUAGGGCGUUCUGAAAUUGGGCUCCUAUCAUGGCCCUCACACCUUCUUCUGAGGUGUCUCUGCCUGUCGUCAUGAGACGGUCUGAACUUGGACUCAUAUCAUGGUCCUCACACCUUCCAUUCGAGGUGUCUCCGCCUGUCGUCAUGAGACGGUCUGAUCUUGGACUCAUGUCAUGGUCCUCACACCUUCUCCUGAGGUGUCUCCGUCUGUCGUCAUGAGACGGUCUGAACUUGGACUCAUAUCAUGGUCCGCACACCUUCUCCGGAGGUGUCUCUGCCUGUCGUCAUGAGACGGUCUGAAUUUGGACUCAUAUCAUGAUCCUCACACCUUCUAUCUGAGGUGUCUCUGCUUGUCAUCAUGUGACAGUCUGAACUUGGACUCAUAUCAUGGUCCUCACACCUUCUCCUGAGGUGUCUCCGCCUGUCGUCAUGAGACGGUCUGAACAUGGACUCAUAUCAUGGUCCUCACACCUUCUACCCGAGGUGUCUUCGCCUGUCUUCAUGAGACGGUCUGAACAUGGACUCAUAUCAUGGUCCUCACACCUUCCAUCUGAGGUGUCUCCGCCUGUCGUCAUGAGACGGUCUGAAUUUGGACUUAUAUCAUGGUCCUCACACCUUCUGUCUAAGGUCUCUUCGCCCGUCGUCAUGCGACGAUUUCUACUUGGGCUAGUUUCAUGGCCCACACACCUUCUGCCUGAGGUGUCUCCUCUCAUCGUCAUGUGGCGGUUUGUACUUGGGCUCGUUUUAUGGCCCACACACCUUCUGCCUGAGGUGUCUCCGCUCAUCGUCAUGUAGCGGUCUUGUAUUUGGGCUCGUUUCAUGGCCCACACACCUUCUGCCUGAGGUGUCUCCGCUCAUCGUUAUGUGGCGAUCUGUAUUUGGGCUCGUUUCAUGGCCCACACACCUUCUGCCUGAGGUGUCUCCGUCCGUCAUGAAGCGGUCACAUCCUCCUUCAUCGGGGAUGUCUCUAGUGGCUCCAAGAUUCUCUACCACCAUGUGGACUUGGGAGAGAUCACUUCCACUGAUCACAUAGAAAGAGAGAGUUGCGGUGCACUCUUCGCAAUCCUCCAUCUCAUUUUCUAUGUUUAGAGCUUCUAUGCCUUUCUGCUUGAUAGCUCCACCCACACCAACUCUCUUUGGUGUCUUCGCCUUUCAUCGGCGAUCGCACCCCCUUAAUUAGGUGCUUCUGCAACAGCUCAUCUUUCCAUCCUUGCAUGCAUUGGAAAGGUCCUCGCUUGUUGCCUUUAUCAAGAGCACAAGAGAUUUUCCUGUUGUACAACUUUUCACACNNNNNNNNNNNNNNNNNNNNNNNNNNNNNNNNNNNNNNNNNNNNNNNNNNNNNNNNNNNNNNNNNNNNNNNNNNNNNNNNNNNNNNNNNNNNNNNNNNNNCAUCCGGGAACUCUUCUUCUCCUUGCAUCUGUUGUCUCAUUACAGUACCUCGUUGGAUCCUUCGGGUACUCCUGCACAAUCUCCGUGUGCUCUCGUGCAAUUUCGGUUCUCCAGAUUUCUCCCUAUUCUUUGCUUUUAUGUUUGACAGCAGCUCAUCCUGUCACAACAUUUAUCCAAGUCAAAAUAGGGUGCCAAUCUUUAUCCCCUUGUGUAUUUCUCUUCCAUUAUCAGGGUCUUCAUCAAUUCUCCCUUCGAGAAAUUACAAUCACCGAAUCUAACUUCUUUAGAGAAAUCACCACUCCAUCAGAUCCUUGAACAUACGGAACCCAACUGUUCUUGUGUGCCGUCAUCUUACUAGUCAUCAACAGUUUCAUUACAAACUGUUACAUAUACAAAAAUAGUACUGUGUGGAUGAUCCUUCAACUAAGCAAGUUCCCAGGAAAGAUUUGGAGUGGUCACACUGGUCCCGCUUAAAACCCAAUCUCCUAGACAUAACUUCUUAGAACGUAUCUAUCCACCGUACUGCCUUUUCGUAUAUACAACCAUUUGCUAGCUUUGUUGCGGCUUUCCUUUACAAGUGAUCUGGGGUAUCCCGGUUUUAUACCUGAUUUCUCAACAUCUGGCGAGACUACCAGUUCUUAGAUUCGUCAAGAUUGGUCUUCAUCAAUUUCCACUCUCCACCUCAAAUUGUCCACAUGAUCGGGUGUCCAGAGUAUCCCAAUUUUGCCUUCCCUCAAGGCAAUUAAAAUUUCUCCCCACUUAGCAGUUCAGCACAUGUAAUUGGGCAAACAUGUGCACUUUCUCCUUCUUCAUCUCCAUCGACCACCAUGAUGACCUUCAAAUGCCUCUUCAUCGGGCAAUCUCUUUCAAUAAUUCACCACCACCAUUUUCGGUCUCAAUCUCAAUGAUAGGACCGUACCAUUGCAUCCGGAAUGAUCAAAUUAGCUGGAAACAAGUCUGAAAUCAUCCAAAUCGCAUUUCAGACGGCUAAGAUUUGAUCAAAACAAUUCUGGCCUGAUUACGGCCCAGAUUCAAUCUCAGAUCCGGUUGCAUGUAGACUCUGCUGCAUAGAAUCUUCUCCCUCGGCUCGCGGCUCGGCUCCAAAACGGCUCGGCUCAACUCGGCUCGGCUCGGCUCGCGGUUGAUGACGUGGCAGGUGGGUCCCAUUGUGCUGACGUGUCUGCCGACUGGACGCUGACAUGGCAUGCUGAUGUCAUCAUGGGCCAUGCUACUGUACAAGAUGAUGUCACAAUUACAUCAUGCUAAUGUCAUCCUUGGCAUGUCUACUGUUCAUGAUGAUGUCACUUUUACGUCAUGCUGACGUCAUCCUUAUCCGAGUCAGUCACAUGGGUCGGGUCAGCUGAUAUUCAGGUCGGGUCAAUCCAUCCGGGUGAAGAAGACGCGUGUCACGCGUGGGGCGCGUCUGCGCGCGUGGGCAAACGCCUUGCUGGAGAGUGAUGGAGAGUGCGGCCAUGUCCGAUGUCCGAUGUUGACGCCGUUUUCACCAGUGGCUUCGUCUCUUCCUCCUCGACACGGUGGUAUGGUCAAAACACAAUUUUGACAACUUUCAUUUUUGAGCAAAAAUCAAACACCACUUUAAACCAUAUGCUCUGAUACCAAUUGUAGGGAAUUCCGACCGGUGAUGUUCUGAUAUUUGCCCAUUGGAGGCUAAGCACACUGACACAAUAUUUAACGUGGUUCGGCAAACCGCCUACAUCCACCGGAGAAGCCAUUGCAUUAUAUAGGGAGAGUACAAGAUUUACAACAAUAGAGGAGAAGGAAUCAUCCCCUCUUUGGCAACUCUCAACCUCACUCUAUUUCUCUCUUUUCAGUGCUGCAAUGGCAGCUACUGCUGGCUGCCUUGGCAGCCCACUCUCUCCUACAUUUCUCACAUCUUUGGCUCUACACACUCUCUCUUGCUAUCUCAUUUUGCUCUCAACCGUUGCCUCUAUUUAUAGGCAUCCAUGGUGCUGCUCCAUUUGUUCUUUGGUCAAUAAUGGUGGCUGCCAGCUCCAGCUCUUCUUCAACAAAGGUGGCUGCACCUAGCAGCCCUCUUUGACAAUGGCAAUGGCAGCCAUCCUCUUCUAGAAGAUAGGCUGUAAAUGCUCUAUGAUUGCUGCACAUAAUGGCAACAAUCAUAACAUUAAAAACCACUCAAUAGUUAUCAGAGCAUUGUAUCUCCAUAAAGUAGGCUAAUUAGUUAUUAUUUGGGAUAAUUUUGUUAUUUUUCCUUAAUUUUCGCAGAUUUAUUGUUUAUUUUUAAAUUUUAUGUUAUUUUCCGUUAUGUUUUGGGAUUCUGAUAUUGUUUCGAAUCUUGGCCGAUUUUUCUAGUCUAUGAAAGAGAUUGUAAACCUCUUUAGAAGGUAAACUUAAUCAAAUUAAUAUUUUAGAAAUAAGGUUUUAGGAUUCUCAGUGUUUUAACAUUAUUUCAGUUUAUCUUUUGUCUUUCUAUGCUUGCAGCUAUAUUGUUGUGCUUCCGCUUGCAUUAAACUUUCAAAACCACUAAGUCAGUUAUCGAAGCAUUGGAUCUCCUAUAAAAGGGAUUGUAAAUUAACCUCUUUAGGAGGUAGACUUGAUCUUAGGAUUCUUCGUGUUUUCACCUUAUUUCAGUCCAUCUUUUUAUUUCCAUGCUUGCAGCUAUAUUGUUGUGCUUCCGACUGCAUUAAUCUUUCAAUAUUUCAUGCUAAGUAAUAGGUGAAUAAGGUAAUAAUCAGGGAAGCAGAGUGAUAUUUAUGACAAUGCAUACUUGACCAGCCAAAUAGAAAAUUAUGAUAUAUAAAUCACAGAAAUUUUAUUUGAUGAAGGAAGAAGAAGCUCCUGACUCGAGUUCUAGCAACCUCUCCUCGUCUACGUUUAGCAGAGGGAGAAUAUCGUACAGGACUAAAGGUAACACAACUAGAGGAGGUUAUGCAUACAAGAAAGCUAAGUGAUUAAUCACUAGGUCUUUAAAACGGAACUGGUUUCCCCUUGGGAUAAUCGAGAUAAACCCUCCCCUUGUAGCGUUGAGCUGCCUCGAUGCUGUCGAUAACUUCUGUUGCAGGAAUUUGGUUUGCAUAGUAAUAUGUCGGAUGAGCAUUGGGAACCUUCAGCACUGGUGGCCGCCUCUUGGCCCGGCCGAAGUGCUCAUCUAUGGCUGCAAAGCCCUCCAGCCCAAUCUUAGCAAGACGGUCUGCCUGACGUGUCAUGUUAACUACAAUUUGUCAGUCAAUACACAAGACAAGUAGCUGUAUAUAGUUCGAGCUGGUUUGCUUGCUUGGCUAAUAUGUGUGAGGCCAAGCCAACCUUUAUAUAGAUCGGGAAGGUUUGGUUGACAACAGCUGUGAAAUGAAUAUUGUUAGACAGUA